CUCAACCGGCGUCGCAAUGACAGAGGUUUCCCCUUGCCCUGCGCCACCAUCCAGAGGGAUGAGAGGUUUGACAACCUCGUCAAGUUCUAUCUUCCUCCCACUCAAUUCUCUCGAGAGAAACUCCUUCUCGAGAAAAGCUCCGUUUUUAGCAACAAACACUUUGCCCUCGGAUUUGAGAUAGAAGGUGUACCCAACUGUCUCUUUUGGGUAACCUAUGAAGACACACUUUUCCGCUUUGGGUUCCAGCUUUUCAGGCUGAAGCUUUUUGACAUAAGCAUCACAUCCCCAAACUUUAAGAAACGACAACUUUGGCCUUUUGCCAUACCACAGUUCNNNNNNNNNNNNNNNNNNNNNNNNNNNNNNNNNNNNNNNNNNNNNNNNNNNNNNNNNNNNNNNNNNNNNNNNNNNNNNNNNNNNNNNNNNNNNNNNNNNNGGGUUUAUACAAGUGGUUGGAGAAUCUUGUAUUUACAAGAAAGUGAGUGGGAGCUCUGUGGCGUUUCUAAUAUUAUAUGUGGAUGACAUAUUACUGAUUGGAAACAACGUAGAGCUUUUGGAGAGCAUAAAAGGUUACUUGAAUAAAAGUUUCUCUAUGAAGGACCUAGGAGAAGCUGCUUACAUUCUAGGCAUUAAGAUCUAUAGGGAUAGAUCAAAACGCCUGAUAGGACUUUCACAAAGCACAUACCUUGAUAAAGUUUUGAAGAGGUUCAAAAUGGAACAGUCCAAGAAAGGGUUCUUGCCAGUNNNNNNNCAAAACGGCGUUCCUUAACGGUUUCCUUAAGGAAGAGUUGUAUAUGAUGCAACCCGAAGGUUUUGUCGAUCCUAAAAAUGCUGACAAGGUGUGCAAGCUCCAGCGAUCCAUUUAUGGACUGGUGCAAGCAUCUCGGAGUUGGAACAAACGCUUUGAUGAGGUGAUCAAAGCAUUUGGGUUUAUACAAGUGGUUNNNNNNNNNNNNNNNNNNNNNNNNNNNNNNNNNNNNNNNNNNNNNNNNNNNNNNNNNNNNNNNNNNNNNNNNNNNNNNNNNNNNNNNNNNNNNNNNNNNNAGAGCAUCAAGUGUUGAUGGUGAGCAAGACCACUAGUUUCAAGAGAAACGGCAAAGGCAAGAAGGGCAAUUCGAAGAAGAGCGGCAAGCCUGUUGCCAAUCCGCCGAAGAAACCCAAGGCUGGACCUAAGCCUGAAACAGAGUGCUUCUAUUGCAAGGGUAUGGGUCACUGGAAGCGCAAUUGCCCCAAGUAUCUGGCAGAUAAGAAGGCGGGCAAAGAAAAAUCAGGUAUAUUUGAUAUACAUGUCAUUGAUGUGUACUUAACCAGCUCUCGUAGUAGUGCCUGGGUAUUCGAUACCGGUUCUGUUGCUCACAUUUGCAACUCGAAGCAGGAACUGCGGAAUAGACGACGGCUGGCGAAAGACGAAGUGACGAUGCGCGUAGGAAACGGUUCCAAGGUUGAUGCAAUCGCCGUCGGCACAGUGUCACUUCAACUACCAUUGGGAUUAGUGAUGAACUUAAAUCAUUGUUAUUUAGUGCCUGCGUUGAGCAUGAACAUUAUAUCUGGAUCUUGUUUAUUGCGAGACGGUUACUCUUUUAAGUCUGAGAAUAAUGGUUGUUCUAUUUCUAUNNNNNNNNNNNNNNNNNNNNNNNNNNNNNNNNNNNNNNNNNNNNNNNNNNNNNNNNNNNNNNNNNNNNNNNNNNNNNNNNNNNNNNNNNNNNNNNNNNNNGCAUAAUUCCAACAGUCUCCCACUUGCACUAGAGUCAAUAAUCUAGCCCUCACAUCACCAUGUGAAUUACAUUGUAAUAAAUCUAACACCCAUACAGUUCUGGUGUCGAUCAUGUUUUGGCCGUGGAAGAGGUUUAGUCAGCGGGUCUGCUACAUUCAGAUCCGUGUGCACCUUGCAUAUAUUUACGUCCUCCUCCUCGACGUAGUCGCGGAUGAGGUUGAAGCGUCGUUUGAUGUGUCUGGUCUUCUUGUGAAACCUUGGUUCCUUUGCCAGGGCAAUGGCACCAGUGUUGUCACAGAACAAGGUUAUUGGAUCCAGUGCACUUGGCACCACUCCAAGAUCCGUCAUGAACUGCUUCAUCCAGACACCCUCCUUAGCCGCCUCCGAGGCAGCCAUGUACUCCGCUUCACAUGUAGAAUCUGCUACGACGCUUUGCUUGGAACUGCACCAGCUUACUGCACCCCCAUUAAGAAUAAAUACGUAUCCGGUUUGCGACUUAGAGUCGUCCGGAUCUGUGUCAAAGCUUGCAUCNNNNNNNNNNNNNNNNNNNNNNNNNNNNNNNNNNNNNNNNNNNNNNNNNNNNNNNNNNNNNNNNNNNNNNNNNNNNNNNNNNNNNNNNNNNNNNNNNNNNGUCGCCGCAACAAUCAUUUGUACGUUUUCACGUGUACGGAAGCCCCUUCGAUGACGUAGUGGACACGGCCGCCCCACGUGCCGUCAGUGGGUCGGACGCCUCCUCGACAUACAUCACUUGGAUGCCCCGCGCGUUGCCACUCAGUCGGACUCGUCUACCUCACUCGGAUGCCCCACGCAUCGCCACUCCGUGUGGCACAUCUUCAUCACUCGGACGCCCCGCGCGCCACCGCUGGGCUUAGCUGCGACUCCAUGUCGCCUAAGUUCAAAACUAAUCCGAGUGCGGACAUGCUCCACAAUCGGGGACUUAGCUGCGAAUCCGUAUCGCCUAAGUUCAAAACUACUCCGAGUGCGGACAUGCUCCACACUCGGGGACUUAGCUGCGACUCCGUAUCACCUAAGUUAAAAACAACUCCGAGUGCGGACAUGCUCCACACUUGAGGACUUAGUUGCGACUCCGUAUCGCCUCUCCACUCUUAGAGACUUGAGUUUGAUCUAGAAAUCAUAUAAUGCNNNNNNNNNNNNNNNNNNNNNNNNNNNNNNNNNNNNNNNNNNNNNNNNNNNNNNNNNNNNNNNNNNNNNNNNNNNNNNNNNNNNNNNNNNNNNNNNNNNNCUAUGUGGGUGAAAUGAUGAUAGCAUGCCAACUUUCAACAUUUUCAGAAUUCAUUUGUAGUGCUUUUCAAUUUUAGGGUCAACUAGCUCAAAAAAAUAAGUAAAUGCACGAAAAAUACCAAAUGAAGUCAGAAAUUGUUGAAAUUUUGUGAUGUGCCUUUGAAUGGUGCAUUUUGGAUACAAAAAGUAUGUAGUUCAAAUAAGUUCAAAAAAUGAAAUCCCUUUGUAAGAGAUGGGUUCUCGUUCGAAACGCUCAUACUUCGAGAGAGAUUGUCCGUUUUGUACACGAAGUGCAUCCAGUUUUUGUCGUAGCCCUCUCAACUUUUAAACACAUGCUAUGUGGGUGAAAUGAUGAUAGCAUGCCAACUUUCAACAUUUUCAGACUUCAUUUGUAGUGCUUUUCAAUUUAGGGUCAACUAGCUCAAAAAAAAGUAAAUGCACAAAAAAUACUAAAUGAAGUCAGAAAUUGUUGAAAUUUUGUGAUGUGCCUUUGAAUGGUGCAUUUUGAACACACAAAAAGUAUGGAGUUCAAAUGAGUUCAAAAAAAUGAAAUCCCUUUGUAAGAGACGAGUUCUCGUUCGAAACGCUCAUACUUCGAGAGAGAUUGUCCGUUUUGUACACGAAGUGCAUCCAGUUUUUGUCGUAGCCCUCUCAACUUUUNNNNNNNNNNNNNNNNNNNNNNNNNNNNNNNNNNNNNNNNNNNNNNNNNNNNNNNNNNNNNNNNNNNNNNNNNNNNNNNNNNNNNNNNNNNNNNNNNNNNUCGUAGAAUAUGUAGGAUCCAAUAUGGGCAUCCAGGUCCCGCUAUUGGAUAUUGACCGAGGAGUCUCUCGGGUCAUGUCUACAUAGUUCUCGAACCCGCAGGGUCUGCACACUUAAGGUUCGACGUUGUUUUAUGCGUAUUUGAGUUAUAUGGUUGGUUACCGAAUGUUGUUCGGAGUCCCGGAUGAGAUCACGGACGUCACGAGGGUUUCCGGAAUGGUCCAAAAACGAAGGUUGAUAUAUAGGAUGACCUCAUUUGAUUACCGGAAGGUUUUCGGAGUUACCGGGAAUGUACCGGGAAUGACGAAUGGGUUCCGGGGGUUCACCGGAGGGGGGCAACCCACUCCGGGGAAGCCCAUAGGUAUUUGUGGGGGUCACACCAGCCCUUAGUGGGCUGGUGGGACAGCCCACCAAAUCCUAUGCGCCAAGGAAGAAAAAUCAAAGGAAGAAAAAAAAGAGAGGAAGAAGUGGGAAGGGGGAAGGACUCCCUCCCACCAAACCAAGUNNNNNNNNNNNNNNNNNNNNNNNNNNNNNNNNNNNNNNNNNNNNNNNNNNNNNNNNNNNNNNNNNNNNNNNNNNNNNNNNNNNNNNNNNNNNNNNNNNNNNNNNNNNNNNNNNNNNNNNNNNNNNNNNNNNNNNNNNNNNNNNNNNNNNNNNNNNNNNNNNNNNGGGGUUCCCUUGGACCCCAAGGCAAGGUCCCCCUCCCUCCUCCUAUAUAUAUGGGGCUUUUAGGAUAGAUUUGAGACGACUUUCUCACGGCUGCCCGACCACAUACCUCCAUAGUUUUUCCUCUAGAUCGUGUUUCUGCGGAGCUCGGGCGGAGCCCUGCUGAGACAAGAUCAUCACCAACCUCCGGAGCGCCGUCACGCUGCCGGAGAACUCUUCUACCUCUCCGUCUCUCUUGCUGGAUCAAGAAGGCCGAGAUCAUCGUCGAGCUGUACGUGUGCUGAACGCGGAGGUGNNNNNNNNNNNNNNNNNNNNNNNNNNNNNNNNNNNNNNNNNNNNNNNNNNNNNNNNNNNNNNNNNNNNNNNNNNNNNNNNNNNNNNNNNNNNNNNNNNNNCACGAAAAAUACCAAAUGAAGUCAGAAAUUGUUGAAAUUUUGUGAUGUUCCUUUGAAUGGUGCAUUUUCAACACACAAAAAGUAUGGAGUCUAAAUAAGUUCAAAAAAAUGAAAUCCCUUUGUAAGAGAUCAGUUCUCGUUCGAAACCCUGAUACAUCGUUUAAUUGAAAAUAACAAAAUAGUUAACAGUUUGGAUAGUCAAAAUAAUUAAUUUGAAAAUAUAAAAUAGUUCAGAAUUAUUUAUUCAAUUUCAAACACUNNNNNNNNNNNNNNNNNNNNNNNNNNNNNNNNNNNNNNNNNNNNNNNNNNNNNNNNNNNNNNNNNNNNNNNNNNNNNNNNNNNNNNNNNNNNNNNNNNNNNNNNNNNNNNNNNNNNNAUCAUAGUUUUGUCAAAUUCUCAAAUAUGCAAAAAGAAUUUUAAUAAACGUAGUUUUUAAUUGAAAAUAACAAAAUAGUUAAUAGUUUGGAUAGUCAAAAUAAUUAAUUUUGAAAAUAUAAAAUAGUUUUGAAUUAUUUUUUCAAUUUCAAACACUUUUCAUUUUCAUAGUUCUGUCAAAUUCUCAAAUAUGCAAAAAGAAUUUUAAUAAACAUAGUUUUUAAUUAAAGAUAACAAAAUAGUUAAUAGUUUGGAUAGUCAAAAUAAUUAAUUUUGAAAAUAGAAAAUAGUUUUGAAUUUUUUAUUCAAUUUCAAACACUUUUCAUUUUCAUAGUUUUUUCAAAUUCUCAAAUAUGCAAAAAUAAUUUUUAAUAAACAUAGUUUUUAAUUGAAAAUAACAAAAUAGUUAAUNNNNNNNNNNAUUUGGAUAGUCAAAGUAAUUAAUUUUGAAAAUGGAAAAUAGUUUUGAAUUAUUUAUUCAAUUUCAAACACUUUUCAUUUUCAUAGUUUUGUCAAAUUCUCAAAUAUGCAAAAAGAAUUUUUAAUAAACAUAGUUUUUAAUUGAAAAUAACAAAAUAGUUAAUAGUUUGGAUAGUCAAAAUAAUUAAUUUUUAAAAUAGAAAAAAAUUGAAACUAUAUGAGGAUUUAUAGAGAAAAUUCAACCUAAAUUCAAAGUGACCUCACUUUGAAUUCAGGUUGAAUUUUGUCCAUAAUUUCGAAUAUAGUUUCAAUUUUUAAAUUUACAGUGUGUUUAGGCCCGUAAGCCUGCUUUAGAGAGGAGGUCGAUGAAGAUGCUGCGACGGGGCUUAUAAACUAGUGUUAGUGCGCCUUGCUCGGCAAGGUGGGACUAAACUUAUCGUGCACCUAGCGAAGGGGCUUUAGUCCCGGGUAGAGCCACGCCCCGGGACUAAAGCCCCUCGCCUCCCGCCUGUCGAAAAGGGGUCUUUAGCCCCGGGUCGUGGCUAGACCCGGGACUAAAGGGUGUCUUUAGUCCCGGCUCGAGCCCCGACCCGGGACUAAAGGCCCGUGCUUCCCGCCUUUUGGUCUGCCGAAAAAGGGUCUUUAGUCUCGGGUCGUGGCUCCACCCGGGACUAAAGGGUGUCUUUAGUCUCGGUUCGAGCCCCGAACCGGGACUAAAGAUCCUUCUAUAUAUACGGCCCCGACGAAAAAUCCAAAAUCCAAACGCCAUUUCGUUCUCUUCUUCCUCUCGCUCGCCUCUCCUGCCGGCGCGGCUGUUGGAAAUAUGCCCUAGAGCCAAUAAUAAAUUAGUUAUUAUUAUAUGUCUUUGUUCAUGAUAAUCGUUUAUUAUCCAUGCUAUAAUUGUAUUGAUUGGAAACACACUGUAUGUGUGGAUACAUAGACAAAACACUGUGCCUAGUAAGCCUCUAGUUGACUAGCUCGUUGAUCAAAGAUGGUCAAGGUNNNNNNNNNNNNNNNNNNNNNNNNNNNNNNNNNNNNNNNNNNNNNNNNNNNNNNNNNNNNNNNNNNNNNNNNNNNNNNNNNNNNNNNNNNNNNNNNNNNNAAAAGUUGAGAGGGCUACGACAAAAACUGGAUGCACUUCGUGUACAAAACGGACAAUCUCUCUCGAAGUAUGAGCGUUUCGAACGAGAACCCAUCUCUUACAAAGGGAUUUCAUUUUUUGAACUUAUUUGAACUACAUACUUUUUGUAUCCAAAAUGCACCAUUCAAAGGCACAUCACAAAAUUUCAACAAUUUCUGACUUCAUUUGGUAUUUUUCGUGCAUUUACUUAUUUUUUUGAGCUAGUUGACCCUAAAAUUGAAAAGCACUACAAAUGAAUUCUGAAAAUGUUGAAAGUUGGCAUGCUAUCAUCAUUUCACCCACAUAGCAUGUGUUUAAAAGUUGAGAGGGCUACGACAAAAACUGGAUGCACUUCGUGUACAAAACGGACAAUCUCUCUCGAAGUAUGAGCGUUUCGAACGAGAACUCGUCUCUUACAAAGGGAUUUCAUUUUUUUGAACUCAUUUGAACUCCAUACUUUUUGUGUGUUCAAAAUGCACCAUUCAAAGGCACAUCACAAAAUUUCAACAAUUUCUGACUUCAUUUAGUAUUUUUUGUGCAUUUACUUUUUUUUGAGCUAGUUGACCCUAAAUUGAAAAGCACUACAAAUGAAGUCUGAAAAUGUUGAAAGUUGGCAUGCUAUCAUCAUUUCACCCNNNNNNNNNNNNNNNNNNNNNNNNNNNNNNNNNNNNNNNNNNNNNNNNNNNNNNNNNNNNNNNNNNNNNNNNNNNNNNNNNNNNNNNNNNNNNNNNNNNNGCCGUCCGCCCCGCCGCCUAGGUAGUGGUUCUGCAACUUGAGCUUUGUUGCAAAUUUUCUUGAAACAUGACCCUUGUUGCAAAAAAUUCUCCCGCAAAAACGAAGAAAAAAAUCCUGCAACAAGCAAUUGUUUCUGAAACUCGACCGUUGUUUCAGGAAUUAACAGAUCCAAAGUUUAUUUUUUACAACAAAGCGAUUGUUUCUGCAACUCAAACGUCGUUUCAGAAAUUAAAUCAGGAGCGGAUAGGACGGCUAUGGACGAGAUCGAACGGCUGUGGAGGUGAUGGAUUUUUAGUAAAUAUCCACCAGUGGAUUGGUAGCAGCCCCCUAUUAAUAAAGGUGUUAACUAAAUAAUGGCGUCGACGUGUUCAUGUCAGAAGAUUUGGUAAUAUUUGGAGACUUGCCUUACGUUUUUAAUACUAUUUUUCUUGCCAAAUCUUUUACCACCGGGAGGAGAUGAUUGCCAGANNNNNNNNNNNNNNNNNNNNNNNNNNNNNNNNNNNNNNNNNNNNNNNNNNNNNNNNNNNNNNNNNNNNNNNNNNNNNNNNNNNNNNNNNNNNNNNNNNNNNNNNNNNNNNNNNNNNNNNNNNNGCUGGGGUAAAACCAUGUGCUUCGUAUCCGGCUGAUUGAUCAGAUCGAUCUGCAGGGUUAAUUAAUGACGUUUGACGUGCCUUUUUAGAAGAGAUGGCAUCGAUUUGUACAGAGUGAUUGCGCCGCAUGCCCCAUUUGUGCGUGUGUCAGAAGAUUUGGUACACCAUUUGUUCGCUAAAUAGUGGCGUCGACGUGUUCGUGAUAUCUUGAUCUUCCAUACAUGUUUUUUUUUAAAGGAGGAUUACCUCCGGCCUCUGCAUCAGCACGAUGCAAACGGCCACUUUAUUAAUAAUAAGGCAAAUAAAUUGCGGUUCAAUAUAGUCUCCGACAANNNNNNNNNNNNNNNNNNNNNNNNNNNNNNNNNNNNNNNNNNNNNNNNNNNNNNNNNNNNNNNNNNNNNNNNNNNNNNNNNNNNNNNNNNNNNNNNNNNNCUUUGAUCAACGAGCUAGUCAACUAGAGGCUUACUAGGCACAGUGUUUUGUCUAUGUAUCCACACAUACAGUGUGUUUCCAAUCAAUACAAUUAUAGCAUGGAUAAUAAACGAUUAUCAUGAACAAAGACAUAUAAUAAUAACUAAUUUAUUAUUGGCUCUAGGGCAUAUUUCCAACAGCCGCGCCGGCAGGAGAGGCGAGCGAGAGGAAGAAGAGAACGAAAUGGCGUUUGGAUUUUGGAUUUUUCGUCGGGGCCGUAUAUAUAGAAGGAUCUUUAGUCCCGGUUCGGGGCUCGAACCGAGACUAAAGACACCCUUUAGUCCCGGGUGGAGCCACGACCCGAGACUAAAGACCCUUUUUCGGCAGACCAAAAGGCGGGAAGCACGGGCCUUUAGUCCCGGGUCGGGGCUCGAGCCGGGACUAAAGACACCCUUUAGUCCCGGGUCUAGCCACGACCCGGGGCUAAAGACCCCUUUUCGACAGGCGGGAGGCGAGGGGCUUUAGUCCCGGGGCGUGGCUCUACCCGGGACUAAAGCCCCUUCGCUAGGUGCACGAUAAGUUUAGUCCCACCUUGCCGAGCAAGGCGCACUAACACUAGUUUAUAAGCCCCGUCGCAGCAUCUUCAUCGACCUCCUCUCUAAAGCAGGCUUACGGGCCUAAACACACUGUAAAUUUAAAAAUUGAAACUAUAUUCGAAAUUAUGGACAAAAUUCAACCUGAAUUCAAAGUGAGGUCACUUUGAAUUUAGGUUGAAUUUUCUCUAUAAAUCCUCAUAUAGUUUCAAUUUUUUUCUAUUUUAAAAAUUAAUUAUUUUGACUAUCCAAACUAUUAACUAUUUUGUUAUUUUCAAUUAAAAACUAUGUUUAUUAAAAAUUCUUUUUGCAUAUUUGAGAAUUUGACAAAACUAUGAAAAUGAAAAGUGUUUGAAAUUGAAUAAAUAAUUCAAAACUAUUUUCCAUUUUCAAAAUUAAUUACUUUGACUAUCCAAAUUAUUAACUAUUUUGUUAUUUUCAAUUAAAAACUAUGUUUAUUAAAAAUNNNNNNNNNNAUUUUUGCAUAUUUGAGAAUUUGAAAAAACUAUGAAAAUGAAAAGUGUUUGAAAUUGAAUAAAAAAUUCAAAACUAUUUUCUAUUUUCAAAAUUAAUUAUUUUGACUAUCCAAACUAUUAACUAUUUUGUUAUCUUUAAUUAAAAACUAUGUUUAUUAAAAUUCUUUUUGCAUAUUUGAGAAUUUGACAGAACUAUGAAAAUGAAAAGUGUUUGAAAUUGAAAAAAUAAUUCAAAACUAUUUUAUAUUUUCAAAAUUAAUUAUUUUGACUAUCCAAACUAUUAACUAUUUUGUUAUUUUCAAUUAAAAACUACGUUUAUUAAAAUUCUUUUUGCAUAUUUGAGAAUUUGACAAAACUAUGAUAAUGAAAAGUGUUUGAAAUUGAAUAAAUAAUUCUGAACUAUUUUAUAUUUNNNNNNNNNNNNNNNNNNNNNNNNNNNNNNNNNNNNNNNNNNNNNNNNNNNNNNNNNNNNNNNNNNNNNNNNNNNNNNNNNNNNNNNNNNNNNNNNNNNNGGCCUUCUCCGGCAGCGUGACGGCGCUCCGGAGGUUGGUGAUGAUCUUGUCUCAGCAGGGCUCCGCCCGAGCUCCGCAGAAACACGAUCUAGAGGAAAAACUAUGGAGGUAUGUGGUCGGGCAGCCGUGAGAAAGUCGUCUCAAAUCUAUCCUAAAAGCCCCAUAUAUAUAGGAGGAGGGAGGGGGACCUUGCCUUGGGGUCCAAGGGAACCCCAAGGGGUCGGCCGAGCCAGGGGGGAGGACUCUCCCCCCCCCCNNNNNNNNNNNNNNNNNNNNNNNNNNNNNNNNNNNNNNNNNNNNNNNNNNNNNNNNNNNNNNNNNNNNNNNNNNNNNNNNNNNNNNNNNNNNNNNNNNNNNNNNNNNNNNNNNNNNNNNNNNNNNNNNNNNNNNNNNNNNNNNNNNUCCCCCUUCCCACUUCUUCCUCUCUUUUUUUUCUUCCUUUGAUUUUUCUUCCUUGGCGCAUAGGAUUUGGUGGGCUGUCCCACCAGCCCACUAAGGGCUGGUGUGACCCCCACAAAUACCUAUGGGCUUCCCCGGAGUGGGUUGCCCCCCUCCGGUGAACCCCCGGAACCCAUUCGUCAUUCCCGGUACAUUCCCGGUAACUCCGAAAACCUUCCGGUAAUCAAAUGAGGUCAUCCUAUAUAUCAACCUUCGUUUUUGGACCAUUCCGGAAACCCUCGUGACGUCCGUGAUCUCAUCCGGGACUCCGAACAACAUUCGGUAACCAACCAUAUAACUCAAAUACGCAUAAAACAACGUCGAACCUUAAGUGUGCAGACCCUGCGGGUUCGAGAACUAUGUAGACAUGACCCGAGAGACUCCUCGGUCAAUAUCCAAUAGCGGGACCUGGAUGCCCAUAUUGGAUCCUACAUAUUCUACGAAGAUCUUAUCGUUUGANNNNNNNNNNNNNNNNNNNNNNNNNNNNNNNNNNNNNNNNNNNNNNNNNNNNNNNNNNNNNNNNNNNNNNNNNNNNNNNNNNNNNNNNNNNNNNNNNNNNUAUAUAUAUAUAUAUAUAUAUAUCCGUCAAAAUAGGUGCUUUAGUUCCUUAAUUGUUACAUCUCAAUUAUUACAAACCCAUAGAGAAAAUGGCAAAAAAUUAAAAUAAUAUCGUAAAUACAUACUGAUCUGUUUUGCCAAUAAUAUAGAUACAGACGUGAUUGAUGCAAACACAUGACACCAUUCGAUCGAUACCCCUUAUUGUUGAGUUUAAGGAGACCUUUCAAUCAAGUUGAUGAUCUCCAAGUCCGUCUGUGGAAUGGAAUAGAGAUUACUUAGAGCAGAGGGUGUGGAUGAUCUCCAUCUUCCCAAGGAUCACGGAGGCCUGAUCCUGCACGACCUUCCAUCCAUGGGCAACGUGGUGUUGCUCCGUGAGGGUGCUCCCCACCGCACACCUUAGCAUGAACAUGCCACCUACGUUUGCAGAGCUCAUGUAGGGGCCUGAGGUGACGGCGUUCACCUGCUCGAGGAGGGCUCGGUUGAGGUCGUUGGCCGUCUUUUGGCCGCCAAACUUGUCCACCGGCCGAAUCCUGAAGCACACGAGCGCGAACGUCCUUUCCGUCACCACCUCGAACCUCUCGUCGGCCCUCACCAUGUCCUCGAACUCCACGGCCAUGCGCACGUGGGAGCGGAUGUGGUCGCGCAGGCCAUGGACGCCGUAGCAGCGGAGCACGAGCCACAUCUUGAGGGCGCGGAACCGGCGGGNNNNNNNNNNNNNNNNNNNNNNNNNNNNNNNNNNNNNNNNNNNNNNNNNNNNNNNNNNNNNNNNNNNNNNNNNNNNNNNNNNNNNNNNNNNNNNNNNNNNNNNNNNNNNNGUCCUUGUAGUCCACCACGUCGUGCCCCUCCGACGCGGCGUCCUUGAGGAUGUACUCCUGCUCCGUCCCGAGCGCCGCCACCAGCGCGCUCGGCUUCUUCACCCACAUGACGCAGCAGUCGUUGUUGGCCAGAAGCCACUUGUGGGCGUUCAUGCUGAACGAGUCCACGGCCUCCACGCCGUCUAUCAUGUGGGUGAACUCCGGGCACACCAGCGCGGAGCCGGCGUAUGCCGCGUCCACGUGCACCCACACUCCGUGUGGCGCGGUCACGGCGCAGAGCUCGCCGAUGGGGUCGACGGCGGUGGUCUGCGUCGUCCCGAUCGUCGCGCACAGGAACAGUGGCACCAGCCCGGCAUCAACGUCGGCCUGCAUGGCGGCCUGCAGCUCGGUCGGCGAGAGCGCGAACAUGUCCNNNNNNNNNNNNNNNNNNNNNNNNNNNNNNNNNNNNNNNNNNNNNNNNNNNNNNNNNNNNNNNNNNNNNNNNNNNNNNNNNNNNNNNNNNNNNNNNNNNNNNNNNNNNNNNAUCGCCCGGCAGUGGUCACGCUGGAUGCCGGCAAUGCGUGCGGCCUUGCGGAAGGCGAAGUGGGUCUGGUCCGAGCAGUAGACGACCAGGUCGCAGAUCCUGUUCUCGCCGAUCUCGGCCAGCUUCUUGUCCCUCGCGGCGACGAGAGCGCAGAGUAUGGCCUCGCACGAGGUGCCAAGAAUCGUGCCCCCGCCGCCUCCGGCGAAGAGGAGGCGCUCCGGCAGGUGCAGUGCCNNNNNNNNNNNNNNNNNNNNNNNNNNNNNNNNNNNNNNNNNNNNNNNNNNNNNNNNNNNNNNNNNNNNNNNNNNNNNNNNNNNNNNNNNNNNNNNNNNNNNNNNNNNNNNNNACCACCAUCUCAAGCUCAGCGGCGGCCGGCGAGGCGGCCCACGUGAAGGGGACAACGUUGAUGCCGGCGGUGAGCGCCUCACCGAGGGCGCCGAUGGUGCUGCUCGACGCCGGGAAGUGGGCAAAAUGGCGGGGGNNNNNNNNNNNNNNNNNNNNNNNNNNNNNNNNNNNNNNNNNNNNNNNNNNNNNNNNNNNNNNNNNNNNNNNNNNNNNNNNNNNNNNNNNNNNNNNNNNNNNNNNNNNNNNGCCGGGGAGGAUGAUGUCGCGGACGUCCUUGAGCGCGGAGCCAAACGCGUCGGGCUCCGGACGGCACGGGGCCUCCGCGGGGAGCAGGUUGCGGAGAAAGCCGGGGGUGACGCUAGGGUGCACGGGGUAGUCACCCAUGCCGCCAUAGUAAUCGGAUAUGAAGUCGAUCACCUGGUGACCCUGGCGCCGGAACUCAUCGGCGUCAAGCAGGUUGGAGCAUUGCAUCUUCUUCUCCGGCGCUUGCCCCACCACCGGGACAGCGCCGCCCUUCCCGACGGUUGCAACGGUGGCAGCCUCCAAGCAUUGCACCGUCGGGGCCAUUUGUGGAAUGCACUCGAGGUUUUGGAUGGCCCAACCCGCUGUGCAACGCGUAGGUCGGGAAAUGUGGAUUGGUGNNNNNNNNNNNNNNNNNNNNNNNNNNNNNNNNNNNNNNNNNNNNNNNNNNNNNNNNNNNNNNNNNNNNNNNNNNNNNNNNNNNNNNNNNNNNNNNNNNNNUUGUUCAUCUUUCUUCUUCUUGUAACCCUAACCUAAUUCUAAAUAUUACUAACCCUAAUAAUCUAGCGCAAACCUAAUAACAAUAGGAAUUAAAUGACAAAAAAAUCUUUUCUUCUCCUUUUUCUUCUUUUCUUCUCCCUUUUCUUCUUUUCUUCUCCUUUUUCUUCUUUUCUUCUCCUCCUCACCGGCACGACGGCGGCGGUGGCGUCCCCGCCGGCGGGCGCCGGAGGCUCGUCCUUCGGGUUCGGCAUGGGGAGGAGGGGGCGGGGGGUUACUGGCCGGAGUGGGAGGGGAGGGCGUCGACGACGGAGAGAGCGAGGCGAAGGAGGACGGCAGGGCGAUGGCGAGGAGGACGGCAGGCGGCGGCGAGGAGGACGGCGGGCAGCCUGGCGGCGUCGAGUUCGUCCGGUGCCGCUGUUGGGGAACGUCGCAUGGGAAACAAAAAGUUUCCUACGCGCACGAAGACCUAUCAUGGUGAUGUUCAUCUACGAGAGGGGAUUUCCGAUCUACGUACCCUUGUAGAUCGCACAGCAGAAGCGUUAGUGAACGCGGUUGAUGUAGUGGAACGUCCUCACGUCCCUCGAUCCGCCCCGCGAACCGUCCCACGAACCGUCCCGCGAUCCAUCCCACGAUCUAGUGCCGAACGGACGGAACCUCCGCGUUCAGCACACGUACAGCUCGACGAUGAUCUCGGCCUUCUCCGGCAGCGUGACGGCGCUCCGGAGGUUGGUGAUGAUCUUAUCUCGGCAGGGCUCCGCCCGAGCUCCGCAGAGACGCGAUCUAGAGGUAAAACCGUGGAGGUAUGUGGUCGGGCAACCUUGAAAAAGUUGUCUCAAAUCAGCCCUAAUUACUCCAUAUAUAUAGGAGGAGGGAGGGGAGGCUUGCCUUGAGGCUCAAGGAGCCCCAAGGGCUGCGCCACCAAGGGGAGGAGGAGUCCUCCUCCAAUCCUAGUCCAACUAGGAUUGCAAGGUGGAGUCCUUCUCUCUUUUCCCACCUUUCCUUUUUUUUUUCUUUCUCCUCUUUUGGUUUUUCUUUCUCUUGCGUAAGACAGCCUUGGGCUGACCCCACCUACUUGAUGCGCCACCCCCAAGGUCCUUGGGCCCUCCCGGGUGGGUGGUCCCCCCUCCCGGUGAAGAUCUGGAACCCAUUCGUCAUUCCCGGUAAUGCCCGAAAACCUUCCGGUAACCAAAUGAAGUCAUCCUAUAUAUCAAUCUUCGUUUCCGGACCAUUUCGGAAACCCUCGUGACGUCCGUGAUCUCAUCCGGGACUCCGAACAACAUUCGGUAACCAACCAUAUAACUCAAAUAUGCAUAAAACAACGUCGAACCUUAAGUGUGCAGACCCUGCGGGUUCGAGAACUAUGUAGACAUGACCCGAGUGACUCCUCGGUCAAUAUCNNNNNNNNNNNNNNNNNNNNNNNNNNNNNNNNNNNNNNNNNNNNNNNNNNNNNNNNNNNNNNNNNNNNNNNNNNNNNNNNNNNNNNNNNNNNNNNNNNNNNNNNNNNNNNNNNNNNNNNNNNNNNNNNNNNNNNNNNNNNNNNNNNNNNNNNNNNNNNNNNNNNNNNNNNNNNNNNNNNNNNNNNNNNNNNNNNNNNNNNNNNNNNNNNNNNNNNNNNNNNNNNNNNNNNNNNNNNNNNNNNNNNNNNNNNNNNNNNNNNNNNNNNNNNNNNNNNNNNNNNNNNNNNNNNNNNNNNNNNNNNNNNNNNNNNNNNNNNNNNNNNNNNNNNNNNNNNNNNNNNNNNNNNNNNNNNNNNNNNNNNNNNNNNNNNNNNNNNNNNNNNNNNNNNNNNNNNNNNNNNNNNNNNNNNNNNNNNNNNNNNNCCGCAACUUACACUAAGUCACAUUGCUUGCAAGGCUUGUGUGUGAUGUUGUAUUACCGAGUGGGCCCCGAGAUACCUCUCCGUCACACGGAGUGACAAAUCCCAGUCUCGAUCCAUACUAACUUAACGAACACCUUCGGAGAUACGUGUAGAGCAUCUUUAUAGUCACCCAGUUACGUUGUGACGUUUGAUACACACAAAGCAUUCCUCCGGUGUCAGUGAGUUAUAUGAUCUCAGGGUCAUAGGAACAAAUACUUGACACGCAGAAAACAGUAGCAACAAAAUGACACGAUCAACAUGCUACGUCUAUUAGUUUGGGUCUAGUCCAUCACAUGAUUCUCCUAAUGAUGUGAUCCCGUUAUCAAGUGACAACACUUGCCUAUAGUGAGGAAACCUUGACCAUCUUUGAUCAACGAGCUAGUCAACUAGAGGCUUACUAGGCACAGUGUUUUGUCUAUGUAUCCACACAUACAGUGUGUUUCCAAUCAAUACAAUUAUAGCAUGGAUAAUAAACGAUUAUCAUGAACAAAGACAUAUAAUAAUAACUAAUUUAUUAUUGGCUCUAGGGCAUAUUUCCAACAGCCGCGCCGGCAGGAGAGGCGAGCGAGAGGAAGAAGAGAACGAAAUGGCGUUUGGAUUUUGGAUUUUUCGUCGGGGCCGUAUAUAUAGAAGGAUCUUUAGUCCCGGUUCGGGGCUCGAACCGAGACUAAAGACACCCUUUANNNNNNNNNNNNNNNNNNNNNNNNNNNNNNNNNNNNNNNNNNNNNNNNNNNNNNNNNNNNNNNNNNNNNNNNNNNNNNNNNNNNNNNNNNNNNNNNNNNNGGAUCCUCGACCGUGAGUGUCUUUAGGUCGAGACAUUGCUCGAUCGACGUGACGAUCUGGAUGUAGCGCGCCGGCGCGGCGCGCAAAAAUCGUCGAACGAUCGCAACUUCUUCUAGAGUUGAACCAUAGCCGCGUAUGCCGUUGACGAGGGUCUUGAGACGAGAGGCAAACUGAUCAACCGUCUCGCUUUCCUCCAUCUUCAGGAACUCGUAGCUUCUCAUGAGGGACUGAAGGUGUGCUUCCUUGACACGGUCAUGACCCUGGUGCAGGAUCUUGAUGGUCUCCCAUGCCUCCUUCGCCGUUUUCUUUCCGACGAGGUGUUGCAGCACAUCCUUCGGCAUGGCGGAGUAGAUCGCCGUUAACGCCUGACGAUCCGUCCGGUACUUUGCCGCGCCCUUCGCGUACUCGGCGCCGCCGGGAUCGACAGCUUCCCAGAAUUCCGCUCCCUCCAUUGCGACCUCCAUGUUCAUCGCCCAUAGUGCGUAGUCCUCUCGAUCCAGCCGGGGGAAUUGCGACCCCCCAACCAUCGGCAUCGGUGCUCUAGCUCCCGCCACAACGAUCUCCUUGCCCGGGUUUGACAUGAUCCUUCGAUUGCUUUCCGAAGAUCACGUCAAUAAACCAAGCUCUGAUACCAAUUGUUGGCCCAAACCAGACGCCGAGUACUUUCCGGCGACGGUAACCAGGGACGAUGACGAAAACAAAUAAAGCUCGUUGACGAACCCGACGAAGUUCCUUUGCGUCGAGCUGUAACCGCUAGCCGGACUAUCGGUUCCUGGAGGAGACGUGCACGUACGCGUAACCUAAGCAGGCAGGUUAGCAGGUGGAUGGUUUCUCAUGCACACGUACGUAGCAACCUGGCUGCUGCCUUGAUCGAUCGGAACUAGCGUCGCCGAGACACACACGCGAGAACACGAGGAUAUGAUGGCUACGGGAGCGUGUCGCUCCCGACUAUUUCUGUGUAUUGCUUUGAUCUGAUCCAAUAUUACACGGGUACUUGUACGUAUAUAUAGUAGCUAACCAAGACAACUACUAAUCCUAUACCUACACGGUGACGGUUCCAAGUCCAAGCCGGACUAGGACUCGUGGUUAAUUCCAACAUCUCCUACCAAUUGCUAAAGGUAAAAAUGCCGGUGCAUCGAGGGCCUGGCGGUGCAAACAUUGCGAUAAGAAGUUCACUAGCAGCUAUACACGAAUUCGCCAGCACUUCUUUGGUGCUGGCCCCGCCAAAAAAGCCUAGAUCUCACGCUGCACUCUCAUAUCUACCGAUCGUGAGAAGUACAAAAAGUUAUAUGAAAAGGUAUGUGUAUAUAAUUAGAUGUUUAACUUCAUAAAACAACACACAUGUGUAUCUCUGUUUCUUUUCUAAGUUGAUUUUCAACAGGAUGAACUAGCUCAGAAAAGACAAUUUUCAAACUCAAUGCCUACUAAGAACCGUACUCCAUUAGUAGAUGCUUUUGCUGGGAUGGAAAGAGACAGCGUCGACAUGCAUAUUAUGAUGUUCCUUUGUGCUAAUGGAAUUCCCUUCAAUGUGUUGAGAAGUCCUCAAUAUGUUGAAAUGGUAGCAUCCAUCCAAAAAGCGCCGAAGGCAUACAAAACUCCUUCGUAUGAGAAGGCCAGAACUACCCUACUAGAUGCAUGUAAGAGAAAGGUGGAGGCUGACUUAGCACCAGUCAGAAAAACAUGGUACGACUUCAACAUUUAACAGUUCCAGUCAUCUGCUGUGUCAAAUAUGUUACAUACCUUUAACACUUCGCUUAUUUCGUUUACUUAGGUACUCUAAUGGUGUCUCCGUUGUUUCCGACGGCUGGACAAAUGUUAAGGGCAAACCUUUAAUCAAUGUCAUAGCCUCAAAUAGCCGUGGUUCGAUGUUUAUGUAUGCACAAGAUUUCUCUGGAAUAGAAAAAACAGGUCCAGCCAUUGCAAAAAUUUUGUUGCAAGCCGUCGAUGAAAUUGGUCCAGCAAACGUGCUCCAAGUUGUAACAGAUAAUGCGUCUAACUGCAGACUUGCAGGCAAAGAAAUUACGGAUGUAAGUGCCUGGUAGUUUAGUUUUACUUAUUACUUUUUUGCAACCGACUUCUAAUUUUUCUUGCACUCCCUAAGUGUGAUUGUGUUUCCUUUUUCUAUAUUCACAGGUGCAUAAACAUAUAUUUUGGUCCCCCUGCGUGGUUCACACAUUAAAUCUCAUUUUCAAAGAUCUUGCUGAUACAUACCCCUGGAUGGUCGAGACAUACAAAGAAGGAAAAGAAAUUGGGAGUUACUUCCGGGACCAUCAACAUUGCCAAGCUCUAUUUAGAGAUAACUCCCAGCUGGAGCUUCUCAGGGUUGCGAAAACAAGGUUUGCAUCAAAUUACAUUGUGCUAAGAAGGCUUAGCGAUGUUCGAGAGGCACUUGCUACUACUGUCGUUACAACCAGGUGGAAGGACCUACUGAAGGCAUGUGACACACAAGGAAGAGCAAAAGCAACAGCGAUCGCUCAAAGUAUAAAUAGUGAGAGGUUUUGGGAAAAUGUUGAUGCCUUCCUUGCUAUGACGAAGCCACUGUUCAUGGCUAUAAAGUUCAGCGAUGGAGAAGGUCCAAAAAUUGGUGAUGUAUAUGAGAGAAUGGAUAAUAUGCUUGGCGAGAUUCAGGAUGUGGUGACAAAGGAAGAUAACCCACGGAAAGAAGAUUGGCCCAAGAUAAGUGAAAUUGUUAUUGAACGAUGGGGAAAAAUGAACUGGACUCUUCACUAUUUAGCUUUUGCUCUUUCUCCAAAAUAUUAUGAUCAUUCAUAUCUUACAACCCCUGCUCCUGGGGGCAUCACUAGGAAACCUCCUAACAAGGAUAAAGAGGUCAUGGUUGCUGUUAUAGAUGCUCUUAAGAGAAUUGCAGAAGAUGGAGCAGAGCAUAAACUCCUGCGUGAGGAAUUUAACACCUUCAUCAUGAAGAAGGGUAUAUUCUCUCUAGCAGCUGUUCAAGCUGAUGCAGUUACAAUGAGUGCAAUAGAUUGGUGGUUUAAUUAUGGAUCAGAAACACCACACUUAGCUGAGGUUGCAAAAAAGGUUCUCUCCCAGCCAAUUAGUAGCUCCUCUGCUGAGAGGAAUUGGAGUACAUAUAUACUGGUACGUAUAUAAUGUCAAGAGAAACCGGAUGAACAUAAAAACUGCAGAUAAGCUCGUUUAUAUCCACUCAAACGAGCGCCUCAUGAGAAGGUUUUCAGAGUCGUAUAAAGAAGGUCCGCACUAUAAGUGGGACAUUGAUCCGGAAAAUAGUUUGCUGGAGGAGUCUAACUUGAGGCUUGAGAAGAUACGUUGGAAUGGUUUAGAGGGAAAUAAUGAUAAUCCAACAUUUGAUGAUGCACCUGAACCACAAAGAAAAAUCCAGAAAACAAGGAAGUGAAUGGUACACUGCUUUGAACUUUAGAUAAAAUUGAAGCAUUUGUUUGUAUUUUACUAUAGUAGUUACUUAUUAUGGUUCUUUUUUGCUUGAAGGUACUGGACUAUACGGGUGACAUGGUGAUGGAGAUGGAAAUGAGCAUGACAUGGUGAUACCUGGAAAUCAAGAUAUGCGUGCAUUUAUAUUCAAGUAUUUUUGUAACAAACUGAAGUAUUUUGCUUAGUACUCCCAUCAAAACUUUAAUAAGUACCCAACAUAUAUAUUGGCUUCGUUGGUAUGGUUGAUGUAAGCUCGCUAAGGUCAUGAUCCUGAUAUUGUUGCUGGGUCAGCGACCCAAAUUGAUGAGGAACACGUUUCUCGAUCCAUGGUAUCGUUCUGGGGUAAUCGAUCCAAAUCAUCGCGAGUCGCGUUUCUCGACCCACCACGUCAUUCCGGGGUCAUCGGCCCAAAUUGGUGAGGGUCGCGUUCCUCGACCCGCCUUGUCCUUUCGGGGUCAUCGUUCCUAAGUUAAUUGGGUCACGUUUUACCUAUCGACCGGUUCGCUCGAAAGAUGUAUACCCCCAUCGUUCCCUAUUAUGGCCACAUGGCGAUCCUCGACCCUUGUUCUCGUCGUUCCGGGAACUUGGCCACCGUGGCCACCCCCCCCCCCCCCCCCNNNNNNNNNNNNNNNNNNNNNNNNNNNNNNNNNNNNNNNNNNNNNNNNNNNNNNNNNNNNNNNNNNNNNNNNNNNNNNNNNNNNNNNNNNNNNNNNNNNNNNNNNNNNNNNNNNNNNNNNNNNNNNNNNNNNNNNNNNNNNNNNNNNNNNNNNNNNNNNNNNNNNNNNNNNNNNNNNNNNNNNNNNNNNNNNNNNNNNNNNNNNNNNNNNNNNNNNNNNNNNNNNNNNNNNNNNNNNNNNNNNNNNNNNNNNNNNNNNNNNNNNNNNNNNNNNNNNNNNNNNNNNNNNNNNNCCCCCCCCCCGCCGCUGUAGGCUUCGGCGGUGCUCACGAGGUUGUUCUCGUAGGCGAUCUUCCCGUCGUCGUGAUCCUUGCUCAUGUUGCCCCUGUUGUACGCCUAUGCUACCACCGCGCGUGCGUGGGCAUGAGGUGCCGCCGCCUGCUCAUGGGCGUGGCUUGCCGUAGCGGUGGUGGUGGUGCCCAUGGGCAGGAUGUAGCUCGACGGCGCCGUUAUUGUACACGACGGAGUUGGAGCCUGUGCUGUGUUCAAGCGAGGCGCCCGCCGUCGCGUUGUCAAUGCUGCCGUGGGCGCCGUGCUGCUGCUGCAUCGACUGGGCAUGCUGCGAGAGGAAGUNNNNNNNNNNNNNNNNNNNNNNNNNNNNNNNNNNNNNNNNNNNNNNNNNNNNNNNNNNNNNNNNNNNNNNNNNNNNNNNNNNNNNNNNNNNNNNNNNNNNNNNNNNNNNNNNNNNNNNNNNNNNNNNNNNNNNNNNNNNNNNNNNNNNNNNNNNNNNNNNNNNNNNNNNNNNNNNNNNNNNNNNNNNNNNNNNNNNNNNNNNNNNNNNNNNNNNNNNNNNNNNNNNNNNNNNNNNNNNNNNNNNNNNNNNNNNNNNNNNNNNNNNNNNNNNNNNNNNNNNNNNNNNNNNNNNNNNNNNNNNNNNNNNNNNNNNNNNNNNNNNNNNNNAGCGCCAGCGCCAGCUCCGAGGUUGAGGUGGUGGAGCUCCUGCAGGCUGUGCGCGGCCGCGAUCACCGCCUGGUCCGGCUCCUGCUUGCACCACCCGCGUAGCGGCUGUGCAUGGGCGUAUGGGUGGUACGUGUGUCCACCACCGACGCUGGAUACCUGUUGCUGGGGAAGGGCCUGGAAUGCGAUGGUCGGCCAUGCAGUGGCGCCGACAACGGAGGGAUGGUGGUGGUGGUAUGCCACGCCAUACGCGGCCAGGGCACCGAUAUUGUAGCCGCUCACCACGCAGGUGUGAUGAUGCUGCUGCUGCGCGAGGACGACGUCGUGGCCGCCUCGGCGUCCUUGAGGCGCUUGGCGGCGCUGCCGAUGGGUAGCGCGGUGCUGUCAAGGAUACUCUUGACGUCGUAGCGCGUCAUGUCGAAGUUGGUGAUGGCGUUGAGCCCCCGGAACUUGAUUGCCGCGACGUCGUACGCCUCCGCAGCCUCCUCCUGUGUGCCUACAUUACACACAGACUAUAGUUAGUAGAGUACAACAUUACACACAGACUAUAGUUAGUAGAGUACCAACGCAAUCUACUGGUCGAUGCCAUGCAUGUAGAUGUAUGCAUGUGAGCUGUGGCAAGCUAGCUUAAUUACUUUAAUUAAUCAGGUGAGAAUCAUUAUAUAUUCAAAUGUCACAAAAUUAGAAAAAUUCUUUGUAUAACAAGACGCCCGUCAGACCGGCUGGUUUCCGAACAAGUACGCGUGGGACUCCAUCGCGUCAUACUCCGAAAAACAAUAAGAUUAUAAACUAUAACCGAUGUUUAUCGGAACCGGGUAUAAGAAACUGACACACGGAGCAAGUUUUACGAUAUUUUUAGCCCGUUGCAACGCACGGGCAUUUGUACUAGUAUUAAUAAAGCACCUAUUGCUUCUGUGGUACGUCAUAGAAAUUGCCCCUGAAGUUUGCAUAAAUUACCCACCAUGCCACCGGUAAGUAAUACAAAACGUUUCAUAAAGCGAAAAAUCGCGGACUGGGUCGGCCCAUGGAAAAACCUCCGAUAUUACGCUCUGCACCCUGGGAGAAUAUCCAACACACCAUAUGGGCCGGCCCAUGCACAGGCACCAGUUUUUUAGUUCCGUUUAUUUAUUUAUCUUCAGUUCCAUUUUAUUUUCUAUUUUAAAUAAUUUAGAACUUCAAAUAACCUUUAAACUUUUAAUAAACUUAAAAUUUUAAAUCAACAUAUUUAAAAAAUAAAAUGUUUGUGACUUCAAAAACUGCUCGGAGUUUUUGUAAAAAAUGCUUGCAUAUACAAUAAAAUGUUUGCAAGUUUGAAGAAAUGUUUAUAAAAUAAGAAAAGUCCAUAAUUUCAAAUCAAACUCCAUGUUUUAAAAAUUAUUAAAAGCAUUUAACAAAAUGCUUUCUAAUUCAAAAUAUGUUAAUGCAUUUAAAAAAUGUCCUAAAAUUUUAAAAAUAGCUAAUGCCUGUUUUGAUAGUUUCUUUUUUGUUUAAAUUUUUCCAUUCCAUUUUUGUUUACUUCUAAUUUAAAUAAUUUAGAAUUACAAAAGCAUUUGCAUAUUUAAAAAUAGGAAUUCUGAAUUAAAAUGUUGACGAAAACAUAAAAUGUUUGUGGAUUCAAAAAAGGCAUCGUAUUUUUAUAAUUGUUUUUGCAAAUUCUAAAACAAUGUCCGUGAAUUCAAUAAAUAUAUUACUGACUUAUAAAAAUGUUUGUUUAUUCAGAAAAACUUCAUGCAUUUCACAAAUGUUAGUGAAUUUAAAGUAAAAUCAUUCAACAUCAAAAAUUAUGUUCAUCUUUUCUAGAAUUGGUCGCCAAUUCAAAAGAAAAUAUUUAAACCCGUUUCAAAUAUAAAAAAUAUUCACAAUUUUUAGUAAAUGUUUGUAAAUUUUAAAAAAUGUUCUCGAUUUUAAAAUUGUUCUCAUAUUUGUAAAAUUGUUCAUGAAAUAUCUAAUAUAUGUAGUUAAACAUUAAUGCUUCUAAGUCUAUGAAAAUAUACCCGUGUGAUUUUUGAAAAAUUAACUGUUGCAUGGAUCGGAUUAUUAUUGUAUGUUUUCUAAACAAACUCUUGAAAUUAAGAAUAAUUCUUUGAGUUACCAAGAUUUUUGAUAACCAUGAUAUUUUUUUAAAAUGUAAAGAUUGCUUCAACUUGUGAAUAAAUUUAAAAGAAGAAACAUUUUCUUCCUUUUGUGCAAAAAAAUUCAAAAUCAAGCGAUGAUGUGCGAACAUAAUGUGGUCAUCAUCAUUGAAGAUUAUAUUUUUUUUUCUCCCGCCGCAACACACGGGCCAUUUUGCUAGUCUUUAUCUUUACCUAUUAAUAAAGCACAUAUUGCUUCUGUGAUACGUCAUGGAAAUUGCCCCUGAAGUUUGCAUAAAUUACCUACCAUGCCACCGGUAAGUAAUAGAAAAAGUUUCACAAAACGAAAAUCUCGGACUGGGCCGGCCCAUGUGCAUCCUGGGAGAAUAUUCAGCAUACCGUAUGGGCCGGCCCAUGCAUAGGCAACAGUUUUUUUAGUUCCUUUUAUUUAUUUCUCUUCAGUUCCAUUUUAUUUUGUAUUUUAAAUAAUUUAGAACUUCAAAUAACAUGUAAACUUUUAAUAAACUGAAACUUUUAAGUCAACAUAUUAAAAAAUAAAAUGUUGUUGACUUCAAAAACUCCUUGGAGUUUUUGUAUAAAAAUGCUCACAUAUACAAUAAAAUAUUUGCAAGUUUGAAAAAAUGUUUGUAAAAUAAGAAAAGACCAUGAUUUCAAAUCAAACUUCAUGUAUUAAAAAUUAUUAAAAGCAUUUAACAAAAUGCUUUCUAAUUCAAAAUAUGUUAAUGCAUUUAAAAAAUGUCCUAAAUUUUAAAAAUAGCUAAUGCCUGUUUUGAUUGUUUCUUUUUUUAUUGAAAUUUUUCCGUUCCAUUUUUGUUUACUUCUAAUUUAAAUAAUUUACAAUUACAAAAGCAUUUACAUAUUAAGAAAUAGGAAUUUUGAAUUAAAAUGUUGACGAGAACAUAAAAUGUUUGUGGAUUAAAAAAGGCGCCGGAUUUAUAUAAUUUUUUUCGCAAAUUCCAAAACAAUAUCCGUGAAUUUAAUAAAUAUAUUACUGUGUUAUAAAAAUGUUUGUUUAUUCAGAAAAACUUCAUGCGUUUCAAAAUGUUUGUGAAUUUAAAGUAAAGUCCUCCAACAUAAAAAAUUAUGUUCGUUUUUUCUAGAAUUGGUCGCCAAUUCAAAAGAAAAUAUUUAAACCCAUUUGAAAUAUAAAAAAUAUUAAAGAUUUUUAGUAAAUGUUUGUAAAUUGUAAAAAAUGUUGUCGAUUUUAAAAUUAUUCUCAUAUUUGUAAAAUUGUUCAUGAAAGAUCUAAUGUAUAUAGUUAAACAUUAAUGCUUCUAAGUCUUUAUGAAAAUAUACUCGUGAGAUUUUUGAAGAAUUAACUGUUGGAUGGAUCGGAUUAUUAUCGUACGUUUUCUAAAAAAAAUCUUGAAAUUAAGAAUAAUUCUUUGAGGUACCAAGAUUUUUGACAACCAUGAUUGUUUUUUGAAAAUUUAAAGAUUGCUUCAACUUGUGAAUAAAUUUAAAAGAAGAAACAUUUUCUUGAAUUUGUGCGCAAAAAUUCAAAAUCAAGCGAUGAUGUGUGAAUAUAAUGUGGUCAUCAUCAUUGAAGAUUAUGUUUUUUUUUUGCAACGCAUGGGCCAUUUUGCUAGUUAAAACAUAAAAAACACAAUCAUGAUGGUGUGGACUCAACAAAGCAGAAAGUGAAAAACAAAAAUAAAUUUAUUCAUUGGGUUGACUCCCAACAAGCGCUAUUGUUUAACGCCCCUAGCUAGGUUUAACGAUUUCAAUGAUGCUCACAUAAAAGUAGUAGUUGAGAUAUGCAAAAGAGCAUCAUGAAUGGCAAAAAACACGUUUAAGUCUAACCCACUUUCUAUGUAUAGGGAUUUUGUGAGCAAACAAUUUAUGGAAACAAGAAUUAACUAGCAAAGGAAGGUAAAACAAGCAUAACUUCAAAACGUUGAACACAUAGAGAGGAAGCUUGAUAUUAUUGCAAUAUGUAAAAGCAUAUGUUCCUCUCAUAGUAAUUUUCAGUGACAUCAUGAAGGAAUCUUACAAUAUAACUAUCACACAAAGCAUUCUUUUCAUGAUCAAUUAUAGCAUAAGGGUCAUCACCAAAACUUGGGAAACAAAAAAUAUCAUCUUCAUCAAGCAUAGCAUCCCUAAGCUUGUGGUUUUGCAUAUCAUUAGCAUCAUAGAUAUUCAGAGAAUUCAUACUAACAACAUGGCAAUCAUGUUUUUCAUUCAAGCAGAUAUCAUGAACCACUUUAUAAUUUUCUUCUUUCAACACUUCAUCAAAAUUUUCAGAUUCAUGAUUUUCAAACAAAACUCCAUAGAGAUAGUCAAGUGCACUCAACUCACAAGCAAAUUGUUCAUCAUAAUUUUGUCUUUUGAAAAGAUUAGCAAGUGGAUGAGGAUCCAUAUCAAUGGAUUUUUAGCAAGCGAAGAUGCAAGCAAAUAGAAGGCACAUGGCAACACAAGCAAAUAGCAAGCAAGCAAAAGAAAGGGCGAACGAAAAAGGCAAAUAAGGAAAGGCAAAUAUUUUUGUAAAUUUUGUUUUUUAGAAGUGGGGGAGAGGAAAACGAGAGGCAAAUGGCAAAUAAUGUAAAUGCAAGAGAUGAGUUUGCGGUAGGUACUUGGUAGAUAUGCUUCACUUGAAUACUCCCUGGCAACGGCGCCAGAAAUUCUUCUUGCUACUUCUUGAGCUUGCGUUGGUUUUUUCCUUGAAGAGGAAAGGGUGAUGCAGCAAAGUAGAGAUAAGUAUUUCCCUCGGUUUGAGAACCAAGGUAUCAAUCCAGUAGGAGUAUCAAGAUUAGCCACGAAUGAACCUGCGCAAAGACAAACAAACUUGCACCCAACGCGAUAAAGGGGUUGUCAAUCCCUUCACGAUUACUUGCAAGGUGAGAUCUAAUAGUGAUGAAAGGUAAAUAAGUAAAAGUGCAACAAUGUAUUUUUGGUGUUUUUGUAUGUAGAUCUGAAUAUAUGAUGUGUAAAAUAGACCUGGGGGCCAUAGUGUUCACUAGAGGCUUCUCUCAUGAUAGCAAGUAAUACGGUGGGUGAACGAAUUACUAUCGAGCAAUUGAUAGAAUCACGCAAAGUCAUGACGAUAUCUAAGGCAAUGAUCAUACAUAUAUGCAUCACGUCCGAGACAAGUAGACCGGUACUUUCUGCAUCUACUACUAUUACUCCACACAUCAACCGCUAUCCGGCAUGCAUCUAGUGUAUUAAGUUCAUAACAAACAGAGUAAUGCCUUAAGCAAGAUGACAUGAUGUAGAGGGAUAAAUUCAUGCAAUAUGAUAUAAACCCCAUCUUUUUACCCUUGAUGGCAACAACAUGAUGUGUGCCUCGCUACCCCUUCUGUCACUAGGUGAGGACACCGCACGGUAUGAACCCAAAACCAAGCACUUCUCCCAUUGCAAGAAUUAUAGAUGAGGUUGGCCAAACGAAACCCAUAACUCGAAGAGAAUUAUAAGGAUACGAAAUCAUGCAUAUAAGAAAUCAGAGGAGACUCAAAUAAUAUUCAUAGAUAACCUGAUCAUAAAUCCACAAUUCAUCGGAUCUCGACAAACACACCGUAAAAGAAAGUUAUAUCAAAUAGAUCUCCAUGAAGAUCAUGGAGAACUUUGUAUUGAAGAUCCAAGAGAGAGAAUAUGCCAUCUAGCUACUAGCUAUGGACCCGAAGGUCUGUGGUGAACUACUCACGCUUCAUCGGAGAGGCACUGGUGUUGAUGAAGAAGCCCUCCGUGUCCGGAUCCCCCUCCGGCAGGGUACCAGAACGGUCCCCAGAUGGGAUCUCGCGGAGACAGAAGCUUGCGGCGGUGAAAAAGUAUUCUCGUGGCUCUCCCUGGAGGUUUCGGGAAUUUUGGGAAUUUAUAGGCGAAAGAGGUAGGGCAGAGGAGGCAAGGGGGGCCCACGAGCCUGCUAGGCGCGUCCCCCUAGGGCGUGCGUAGGGGGCUCGUGACCUCCCACGAGACCUCCUGCCUUGGUUCUCAAGUCUUCUAGGUAUCUUCUGUUAUGGAGAAAAUCAUCCCACAAGUUUUAUUCCAUUUGGACUCCGUUUAAUAUUCUUUUCUGAAAAAGGUCAAAAACACGGAAAAAACAGAAACUGGCACUAGGCACUGAGUUAAUAGGUUAGUCCCAAAAAUGAUAUAAAAUGGCAUAUAAAUGCAUAUAAGACAUCCCAAGUUGGUAAUAUAAUAGCAUGGAACAAUAAAAAAUUAUAGAUACGUUGGAGAUGUAUCAGCAUUUUGUUUCCUUUUAUUUGGCAUGUGUCAAUGGAUAUCUCAUUCCUUGAGGUAUCUUUUCAUUGAUAUCCUUCAAGUGAUAGUUUUUCGUUUGGUAUCUUAUUAUCACCUGAUACCUUGUCUUUUGGUGUAUUAUCAACUUUGUGUUGAGUUGAUUCUCGAAAGCCUUGAGCAUGCAUAUUUACUAUAUAUAUAGCUUCUCUUGCUUGCUUGAUUUCUUUGACCCAAUAUAUAGGGAAAACUCCACCUUGUCAUAAAUUGGCUGAAGUGUGCAUGAAAUUAAAAUUCAUAUCUAUGUGCACAUAUGUAUGUGGAGUUUUUCCUAUGUAUUGUUGGUUUUCUAACUCUUUGGUCCCUAUGAGCUUGGGCACCAUUUUGUUUGUUUUGUUGUUCCCGGAUCAAUUGGAGAUGCAUUGGAUGCUCGGCUCACCUAUAAGGAAGGUGUUGAGACCAUGUGAUUAUUGGAGCCAAGUUAGGAUGAUCAACGAACAACUAUCUACUACAUCAAUCCAAUGCUGUCUCAGUAAAAAGUAUCUACUUCAUGCAUUCAUUUCUUGCAAAGGCCCAAACCUGUCUUUUCUUUUCCAGGUUGCAUCAUGGCAUGAAUCUCUUGAUUCGUUCUUGUAGUACUUGUUUCCUUUCUCAAAGAAUCCGAACGAUGAUGUCUUAUUGCUAGUUGGGAUGUCUUUGAUGUUCGCAUGUUGGAAGUUCAUAUUGUACAAUAAGAAAAUAUUAGGCCAUGUGCUAUGCUUCCAAGCAAAGAUCUUAUUGAUAUAUUUAUGACUUACUUUUGGAUAUAUUAUUUGUUCCUUCUUGUAACCAUUUCGUGUGUACAUCCUUCUUUGUGGAUAUAUAUCAUCAUGAUUGUCUUCUACAUAGAAUUUUUUACACAUGAGAGAAGUUACAUAUCUAAUUGAUAUCCUCUUUUCUUUCACGUCCACUGUUGCAUUUCCUUUUUUCAGUUUUUGGUGGCUUCGUGAAAGGAUUUGUCUUGAGUGCGUAUCUUAUUUUCCUACAUCUUGAAGCACUCUUUGGCCGUGAAGAUAAUUUUUCCUCAUGCUUUGUCUUGAUGAGGGUUUUUCCAUUUCGAUUGGUAUCUCUCCUCUUGACAAGGUACUUAUUUCCUAUCUUCACCAUGGGUUUUCACAAGCGUUGGUUCUUAUUUUCUUUAUUAGUAAGCUUGUGAACCCAUUGUCUAGUAUGUGUGUGUGGGAAUGAUAUGUCUUGCACUUUGUGUCUCAUUUCAUCAAGAUUAUGUUGAUGAGUAAUUCUCAUCCUUAUAUUAGUCUUAUCAAGUGCUUUGCCAUGACUCACACACAUUAUUUUGGUUGAGCCUAUUCUUAAGUUGCUUCUUUUACAUGUUGCUCAACCAUUUGUUGUGUGCAAGUGAUAUGCUUAUUGUCUCAUCUAUCUUCUUGCACUCGUUGUGUGUUUUUAUUAAUUUUGGGGGAGCAACGAUCCUAUUUUGUGCACUUGUAUCAAAUACAAAAACCUCUUAUUAGUGCACAAAUCAUGGGAGCUUCUCUAGUUUUGAUAAAACACUCUAUCUGCCUUUAUCAUAAUAUCUUUUAUUCAUGUGGUUCGAAGGACCAUAUGAUUGUUUGUUCCAUCUGGUAUCUUUUGAUUGAUUGCCACUAUUUUUGUAUGUCUUUGUGGCAUACAAUCCUUUUAUUUGCAAUCUUUGGGUCCUCAACAUAGUUUGUUUUUGUCCAACUACUUCUCAUUGUAUUUGUGUAUUUCUUUGCACUCAUUUGCUGAGAAGUACACACUUUUUGGAGGACCACCUACUAUAUUGGCUUUCUAAACUUUUCGUCCAUUUUGGCAAUCGAUGCCAAUGGGGGAGAAGUUUAGAGAGUUUACUUUGGAUAUGUUUAGAGGGUUUUGCUUUUAUUGCGUAAGCAUUUACAUUUUGCACUCAAGCAUUAGCUUUGUAUGUGUGCACUUGGUUAUGCUUAUUUCCUUAUAUAAACUCUCUUGAAGUGGUUGUCAUCAAUUACCAAAAUGGGGGAGAUUGUUAGAGCAUAUAUCUCCAUAUGUGGUUUUGGUAAUUUAUGACAAUUCCUAUGGACUAAUGGUUGCCUUAAGUUAUAUUUAUAGGAUUUGUCCAUAUGCACUUCUUGAAGUCCAUCUGUUGGGUUCAAGGAGUUUAUAUGAUGACCAAGAUGGUAUUCAAGGUAUUAUCCAAAGAAUGGUCAUAGAGACACAAGGUUGAUCAAGAUCUCAGACAAAGAGUAAAUCAAGAUGAUCAACACACAAAGCGUACAAGAUGUACCGAAAGGGAUCAAGUGAUCCCAUGGUAUGGUAAGCAUUGUCCAUUACGUGUUUCUGUACUAACCCAUGGUCUUCAUGAGAGUUCUAUGUGGGGUUAGGUGUGUCUCCAUGGGCUUGCGUCUAGAGGAAGAUCUCAUACAAAAGCGUACAAGAUGUAUGAUACGUCUCCAACGUAUCUAUAAUUUUUGUUGGUUCCAUGCUAUUAUCUUGUCAACUUUGGAUGUUUUGUAUGCCUUUUAUAUCUUCUUUGGGACUAACUUAUUAACUCAGUGCCAAGUGCCAGUUCCUGUUUUUUUUCGUGUUUUUGACCCUUUCCAGAGGAGAAUAUUAAACGGAGUCCAAACGGAAUAAAACCUCCGAAAAGAUUUUUUACGGAACAGAAGAUACGCGGGGAACUUGAGAACCAAGGCAAAGGACCCCGAGGGAGGUCACAAGCCCCCUAGGCACGGCCUGGGCGGGGGCCGCGCCUAGUAGGCUUGUGGGCCCCCUGUGGAUCCUCUGCCCUAUUUCUUCCGCCUAUAAUUCUCCGAAAAAUCCAAAACCACGGGAGAGAGCCAGGAAAAUACUUUUCCGCCGCCGCAAGCUUCUGUCUCUGCAAGAUCCCAUCUGGGGCACGUUCUGGUGCCCUGCCGGAGGGGGGAUUCGGACACGGAGGGCUUCUUCAUCAACACCAUUGCCUCUCCGAUGAUGCGUGGGUAGUUCACCAUAGACCUUCGGGUCCAUAGCUAGUAGCUAGAUGGCUUCUUCUCUCUCUUGGAUCUUCAAUACAAAGUUCUCCAUGAUCUUCAUGGAGAUCGAGCAAAAACUUGGUUUUCAUCUUUGCCCAAAAAUAGUAUUGAUUCUUGGAAGAAGUGCAAAGAUGCUUAUAUAUCCAAGUAUUUUCCACCGGCUAAGAUUAUCUCUCUCCGUAAUGAUAUCAUGAAUUUUAAGCAACUAGAUCAUGAACAUGUUGCACAAUCUUGGGAGAGAAUUAAAUUGAUGAUUAGAAAUUGUCCCGCUCAUGGCUUGAGUCUUUGGAUGAUUAUACAAAUCUUCUAUGUUGGUUUGAAUUUUGCUUCUAGAAAUAUCUUGGACUCCGCCUCCGGUGAAACUUUCAUGGAAAUCAUAUUAGGAGAAGCCACAAAACUCCUAGACAAUAUCAUGACAAACUUGUCUCAGUGGCACACUGAAAGGUCACCUACUAGUAAAAAAGUGCACGCUAUAGAAUAAAUUAGCUCGUUGAGUGCUAAGAUGGAUGAGUUAAUGAAAUUGUUUGCUAGUAAAGGUGCUCCUUUAGAUCCAAAUGACAUGCCCUUGUCUUCCUUGAUUGAGAGUAGCAAUGAAAGCUUGGAUGUUAAUUUUGUUGGUAGGAAUAAUUUUGGCAACAACAAUGCUUUUAGAGGAAACUAUAUUCCUAGGCCUUUUCCUAGUAAUCCCUCUAAUAACUUUGCCAACUCCUACACCAAUGCUCAUGGAAAUUAAAACAAAUUACCCUCUGAUCUAGAGAGUAAUAUUAAAGAGUUUAUCAACUUGCAAAAGAUUUUCAAUGCGUCCAUAGAAGAAAAACUACUCAAAAUUGAUGAUUUGGCUAGGAGCGUUGAUAGAAUGUCUCUUGAUAUUGAUGCUUUGAAAGUUAGAUGUGCUCCUCCCAAGAUCAAUAUGGAUGAAACUUUGAAAGCUAUGCGUGUUUCCAUGAAUGAGAGUAAAGAAAGAACCGCCCAAAUUCGUGCUAGACAUGAAUGGCUUAAAAAGGCGUGUUCUCGUGAUGAGAAUCACAAAGAUCUUAAAGUUCUUGGUGUGACUCCCAUUGAAUCCUUGUUUUCUAGUGUCAAACCUAAUGAUGAUGGGGCUGGAUGUGAAUCCACUUUGGUUGAAAAACGCCCCAUUGAUUUGGAGUCCAUCUAUCUUGAUGCUAAAAGCAUUGAAAGUGGAGUAGAGGAUAUCAAAACUUUGAGUAGUAAUGAAACUACUACUUUGGAUUUCAAGGAAUUCGAUUAUGAUAGUUGCUCUUUGAUUGAAUGUAUUUCCUUGAUGCAAUCCAUGCUAAACUCUCCACACGCUUAUAGCCAAAACAAGGCCUUUAACGAUCAUAUCGUCGAUGCUAUGAUGAAAUCUCUUGAAGAGAAACUUGAAUUGGAAGUUUCUAUUCCUAGAAAACUUCAUGAUGAGUGGGAAACAACUAUCAAAAUCAAGAUAAAAAAACUAUGAAUGCAAUGCUUUGUGUGAUUUGGGUGCUAGCGUUUCCGCGAUUCCAAAGUCUUUAUGUGAUGUUCUAGGCUUCAAUAAGAUUGAUGAGUGCUCUCUUAAUUUGCAUCUUGCAGAUUCUACUGUUAAGAAACCCAUGGGAAGGAUCAAUGAUGUUCUUAUUAUUGCAAAUAGGAACUAUGUACCCAUGGAUUUCAUUGUGCUUGAUAAUGAUUGCAAUCCGACAUGUCCCAUCAAUCUUGGUAGACCUUUCCUAAGGACUAUUGGUGCUGUCAUCGAUAUGAAGGAAGGGAAUAUUAGAUUUCAAUUUCCAUUAAAGAAGGGCAUGGAACAUUUUCCUAGAAAGAAAAUAAUAUUGCCUUAUGAAUCAUGAUGAGGGCUACUUAUGGUUUGAGCACCAAAGACGACGAUACGUGACUCUAUCGCCUUAUGCCUAGCUAAGGGCGGUAAACAAUAGCGCUUGUUGGGAGGCAACCCAAUGAAUUUAUCUUUGCUUUUUUGCUUUCAGUUUUGUUGCGUACACACCAUCAUAACUCUGUUAUGAUUGUGUUUUUUGUGUUUCUUUUUGUGUUUGAGCCAAGUAAAACCUUUAUGACUAGUUUUGGUGAUGGUUGUUUGAUCAUGCUGGAAAAAGACAGAAACUUUUCGCUCAUGAAAUUAUUUUUCAUUUUUAUACAGAAAGAGCUUUUGAGUUGAUUCUUUUUUGCUGCUGGUUGAUAUGCCACUUUUCCAAAUUGUCGUAAUUGUUCAGGAUUUUUGAGAUACCAGAAGUAUACGAAGUACACAGAUUGCUACAGACUGGUCUGUUUUUGACAGAUUCUGUUUUUGUUGAGUUGAUUGCUUAUUUUGAUGAAACUAUGGAUAUUAUCGGGGGGUACUAGCCAUGGAAAAGUAAGAAUACAGUAAUCUAACACCAAUAUAAAUAGAAAUCAAGUUUGCUACAGUACCUAAAAAGGUGGUAGUUUGUUUUCUUGUGCUAAUGAUAUCAUGAGUUUCUGUUUAAGUUUUGUGUUGUGAAGUUUUCAAGUUUUGGGUGAUGUUCUCAUGGACAAAGGGAUAAAGAGUGGAAAGAGCUCAAGUUUGGGGAUGCCUAAGGCAUCCCAAGCCAAAUUCAAGGACACUAAGAGGCCUAAGCUUGGGGAUGCCCCGGGAAGGCAUCCCCUCUUUCGUCUUCAAUCCAUCGGUAACAUUACUUGGAGCUAUAUUUUUAUUCACCACAUGAUAUGUGUUUUGCUUGGAGCGUCGUGUAUUAUAGGAGUCUUUUCUUUUUGUUGUAUCACAAUAAUCCUUGCUGCACAUCUUUUGAGAGAGACAUGCACUCAUCGUGAAUUUGCUAGAAUACUCAUUGAGCUUCGCUUAUAUCUUUUGAGUCAGGCAAUUUAGCUCAUUGUGCUUCACUUAUAUCUUUUGAGCUAGAUAACUUUGCUCUAUGUGCUUCACUUAGAUCUUUUAGAGCAUGGCGGUGUCAUAUUUUGGAGAAAUAAGAACUCUCAAUCUUCACUUAUAUCUCUUUGAGAGUGCUCUCUCUGAGUAACUUGGUAGUUGGUUUGUGCUAUGAAAGUAGUCCUAAAGAUGAUAGGCGUCCAAAGAGGAUACAAUAAAACUUCCAUAUUCCCGUGCAUUGAUUAGAAAGAGAAGUCUGAUUCCUCUCAAUUAGUUUUGAGACAUGGAUUUGGUAAUAUUAAGAGUCAUGUUAGUAGGGUGUACUGAAUCUAGAAAUACUUGUGUUGAAGUUAGUGAUUCCCGUAACAUGCACGUAUGGUGAACCGCUAUGUUAGGAAGUCGAAGCAUAAUUGAUUUAUUGAUUUUCAUCCUUUGUGUUGCGGUCGGGAUCGCGCGAUGGUUAACACCUACCAACCCUUUCUCCUAGGAGUAUGAGUUUAGCACUUUGUUUCGAUUACUAAUAAAAACUUUCACAAUAAGUAUGUGAGUUCUUCAUGACUAAUGUGAGUCCAUGGUAUAGAUGCACUUUCACUUUCCACCAUUGCUAGCCUCUCUAGUGCCGCGCAACUUUCGCCGGUACACAAAACCACCAUAGAUCUUCCUCAAAACAGCCACCAUACCUACCUACUAUGGCAUUUUCAUAGCCAUUCCGAGAUAUAUUGCCAUGCAACUCCCACCGUUCCGUCUCAUGACUUGUGCCGUCACUUACAUAUUUCCAUUGCAUGAUCGUAACAUAGCUAGCGAGAUGUUUCAAUGGCAUACGCUAAGCUAGAUCGUUGCACAUCCCGGUACACUGCCGGAGGCAUUUCCUGUAGAGUCUUAAACAUUCUAAGCAUUGAGCUUUGAGUAAAUGAAAGUGUGAUGAUCAUCAUUAUUAGAGCAUUGUCACAUGUGAGGAAAUAAAAAAAAGAGGCCAAAGUUGCCCACACAUAAAAAAAAGAGAGAGAGAUAUGGAAAGAGGCCAAAGAGCCCAAACAAAAAAGAAAAAAAAGAGAAAAAGAGAGAAGGGAUGACCCUACUAUCUUUUUCCACACUUGUGCUUCAUAAUAGUACCAUGAUCUUCAUGAUUGAGAGUCUCUUGUUUUGUCACCACCAUAUACUAGUGGGAAUCUUCAUUAUGUAACUUGGCUUGUAUAUUCCAAUGAUGGGCUUCCUCAAAAUUGCCCUAGGUCUUCCUGAGCAAGCAAGUUGGAUGCACACCCACUAGUUCUCCUUUUGAGCUUUCACACACUUAUAGCUCUAAGUGCAUCCAUUGCAUGGUAAUCCCUACUCUUUCACAUUGAUGUCUAUUAAUGGGCAUCUCCACAGCCCUUUGAUACACCGAGUCAAUGUGACCAUCUCCUCCUUUUUGCCUCACAACCUCCACCACAGUCUUUUUCACCUAUAGUGCUAUAUCCAUGGCUCACGCUCAUGUAUUGCAUGAGAGUUGAAAAAGGUUUGAGAAAGUAAGAGUGUGAAAACAAUUACUUGGCCAAUACCGGGGUUGUGCAUGAUUUAAAUUCGUUGUGUGGGGAUGAUGGAGCAUAGCUAGACUAUAUGAUUUUGUAGGGAUAACUUUCUUUGGCUCUCUUAAUUCGAAAGUUCAUGAUUACCUUGCUAGUUUGCUUGAAGUAUUAUUGUUUUCAUGUCAAUAGCAAACUAUUGUUUUGAAUCUUACGGAUCUGAACAUUCAUGUCACAUGAAAGAAGUUACAAAGGACAAAUAUGCUAGGUAGCAUUCCACAUCAAAAGUUCAUUCUUUAUCACUUCCCUACUCGAGGACGAGCAGGAGUUAAGCUUGGGGAUGCUUUAUACGUCUCCAACGUAUCUAUAAUUUUUGUUGGUUCCAUGCUAUUAUCUUGUCAAACUUUGGAUGUUUUGUAUGCCUUUUAUAUCUUUUUUGGGACUAAGUUAUUAACUUAGUGCCAAGUGUGAGUUCCUGUUUUUUUCCGUGUUUUUGACCCUUUUUAGAGGAGAAUAUUAAACGGAGUCCAAACGGAAUAAACCUCCGAAAAGAUUUUUUCCGGAACAAAAGAUACGCGGGGAACUUGAGAACCAAGGCAAAGGACCCUGGGGGAGGUCACAAGCCACCUAGGUGUGGCAUGGGCGGGGGCAGCGCCUAGCAGGCUUGUGGGCCCCUUGUGGCUCCUCUGCCCUACUUCUUCCGCCUAUAAAUCUCCGAAAAAUCCAAAACCACGGGAGAGAGCCACGAAAAUACUUUUCCGCUGCUGCAAGCUUCUGUCUCCGCAAGAUCCCAUCUAGGGCAUGUUCUGGUGCCCUGCCGGAGGGGGGGAUUCGGACACGGAGGGCUUCUUCAUCAACACCAUUGCCUCUCCGAUGAUGCGUGAGUAGUUCACCAUAGACCUUCGGGUCGAUAGCUAGUAGCUAGAUGGCUUCUUCUCUCUCUUGGAUCUUCAAUACAAAGUUCUCCAUAAUCUUCAUGGAGAUCUAUCCGAUGUAAUCUUCUUUUGCGGUGUGUUUGUCGAGAUCCGAUGAAUUGUGGAUAUAUGAACAGAUUAUCUAUGAAUCUUAUUUGAGUUUCUUCUGAUCUCUUAUAUGCAUGAUUUCAUAUCCUUUUAAUUCUCUUCGAGUUGUGGGUUUUGUUUGGCCAACUUGAUCUAUGAUUCUUGCAAUGGGAGAAGUUCUUGGUUUUGGGUUCAUACCGUGCGGUGACCUCACCCAGUGGCAGAAGGGGUAGCGAGGCACGCAUCAUGUUGUUACCAUCAAGGGUAAAAAGAUGGGGUUUAUAUCUAUUGCAUGAAUUUAUCCCUCUACAUCAUGUCAUCUUGCUUAAGGCGUUACACUGUUUGUCAUGAACUCAAUACACUAGAUGCAUGUUGGAUAGCGGUCGAUGUGUGGAGUAAUAGUAGUAGAUGCAGAGAGUAUCGUUCUACUUGUCUCAGACGUGAUGCCUAUAUGUAUGAUCAUUGCCUUAGAUAUCAUCAUGACUUUGUGCGGUUCUAUCAAUUGCUCGACAGUAAUUCGUUCACCCACCGUAAUACUUGCUAUCAUGAGAUAAGCCUCUAGUGAACACUAUGGCCCCCGGGUCUACUUCACAUUAUAUUUUCAGCUCCACACUUUUACUUUGUUGCACUUUCCGCCUUCAGAUCUCACCUUGCAAUCGAUCGUGAAGGGAUUGACAACCCCUUUGUAGCGUUGGGUGCAAGUUUGCUGUUUUUGCGCAGGUACUUUAGGAACUUGGCUUGAUACUCCUACUAGAUUGAUACCUUGGUUCUCAAACUAAGGGAAAUACUUACUGCUACUGUGUUGCAUCACCCUUUCCUCUUCAAGGGAAAAACCAACGCAAGCUCAAGAGGUAGCAAUGUACCGAGAGGGAUCAAGUGAUCCCAUGGUAUGGUAAGCAUUGUCCAUUACGUGUUUGUGUACUAACCCAUGGUCUUCAUGAGACUUCUGUGUGGGGCUAGGUGUGUCUCCAUGGGCUUGCGUCUAGAGGAAGAUCUCAUACAACCCAUGAAGGAUGAUGCCAAGUGGUGAUCGUCAUCAAGGUUGCGGUGUGCAAGUUCAAGUGGAUCAGCAUGAAGAUAUCAUGCUUGAAGCAUGCCGUCCAUUGUGGUGGCAAUGGACUUCUGAAGAUAUACUGAAGAGCGGCUCACCCAUGUUGUGUAUGGGGGAGCAAUCAACUAGUCUUCAUCAAGCCAUCGCAAUCAAGAAGGUGGUCCAUCUUGAGGAAGCCAAGAUCAUCGUCAUCUAGCUCAAGAGGAAGAGGUGCAAGGUAUAGGUUUGCCCUUGAUAGGUUUUCUGUUUUAGGAUAGAUUACCGUUCUGUCAAGCGGGGCUCUCAUGUGAGUAGCUCGAUCGUAUCGUUCGUUGAGAGCUCAAACCAUUUCCAUCCUUGCAUCAUACUUUUUGGUUCUUAUUUGGUGUUUCUCUUUGUGAGUUUUAGAGCUUAUGGUCAUCUUCAUGACAAGCUCGAGUUCAUCGAAAACGGAGUCCAUAUGCAUCUUCUAGGAUGUUUACGAUGUUGGAGUUUUUGCCGGUUCUUCAUUCAUAGAGGUCUCACAUCGUUGUUUGGAUAGUUCUUGUCAUCCUGAAUCCAACAAGCUUGGGUUUGCUCGAUUCGGAGCUCGUAUGCGAAAGUUAUGGUUGUUUCAGUGGCGAGCGGUAGUACCGCUCCAGUCCUAGCGGUAGUACCGCCAGGGGCAGCGGUAGUACCGCUCCGGGUGGGCGGUAGUACCGCUUCGGGACGGUAGUACCUCUCUCUGAGCGGUUGUUCUUUGUCGGACUUUUUGCGAAGACUUUCUUUAGCAGUAGUGCCGCCAGGGGCGAGCGGUAGUACCACGAGGGCUAGCGGUAGUACCACGAGGGCGAGCGGUAGUACCACGAGGGCGAGCGGUAGUGCGCGGACUGUAAGUGGGGGUAACAGUCUGCUUCCUUCCCCCACUAUAUAAAGGGGGUCUUCUUCCCCCUUGGCCUAACCUAUCCAUUGAGCUCAUGUUCUUCCCCCAUUGUUGACCUUCUUAGAGCUUGCUAACUCUCAAUCCCUCCAAUGAUUCUUGCUUGUUUUGAGGGAAAAGAGAGAGGAGAUCUAGAUCCACAUCUCCACCAAUCACUUUCUCCUCUAUGUGAGGGGAACCACUUGGAUCUUGAUCUUGGAGUUCUUUGUGAGCUCCUUGUUCUUCCUCUCAUAUUUCUCCAUAGAUUUUGUUGUUGUGGAGGGAUUUGAGUGUGAGGGACUUGACCACUUUGUGUGUUCUUGCCAUUGCAUGAGUUGCAUCGGUUUGAGUUCUCCACGGUGAUACGUGGAAGUGAAGUUUGAGAAGCCAUAUUACCUUUUGGUACUUAGUACCCUAGAGAUUGUUCUUCGUGGAUGCUUUAGCAUCUUAGAAGCUUGGUGGUGUCUUGGAGCUCAAUCAUUGUGGUGUAAAGCUCCGGGCAAGCGUCGAGGUCUCCAAUUAGGUUGUGGAGAUUGCCCCGAGCAAUUUGUACGGGUACCGGUAACCGCCCCAAGGGUUGCCAUUUGUACGGGUUCGGUGACCACCCUCAACGGUCCCUUAGUGGAACCACGGCAUCUUGCAUUGUGCGAGGGCGUGAGGAGAAUACGGUGACCUUAGUGGCAUCUUGGGGAGCAUUGUGCCUCCACACCGCUCCAACAGAGAUUAGCAUCCGCAAGGGUAUGAACUUUGGGAUACAUCAUCGUCUCUGCAUGCCUCGGUUAUCUCUUACCCGAACCCUUUACUCAUGCACUUUACUUUGUGAUAACCGUAGUGUUUAUUGUCAUAUAUCUUGCUAUCACUUAGUUGUUUAUCUUGCUUAGCAUAAGUUGUUGGUGCACAUAGGUGAGCCUAGUUGUUGUAGGUUUUGUGCUUGACAAAUUAAACGUUAGUUUUAUUCCGCAUUUGUUCAAGCCUAACCAUAAUUAUUUUAAAGCGCCUAUUCACCCCCCUCUAGGCGACAUCCACGUCCUUUCAUAAAUCCUAGCUGUUGGAAUCGGGACUAGAGGUCACAUUAGUCCUGGUCCAAAAUUCAACCGGGACUAAUGCUCUGAACGAAAGGUCCUUUUUCUACUAGUGCUUAUAGAGAGUGUAAAAGAUUACAAGUGUUGAACCUUGAGCCGGUACCCGGGAGUGGCUUACAUAAUGGCUGCCACGACCGGCCGAGCGCCAUCACAAGACAAUAAAUGAUAAUAAAGAGGGAAGUUACAAGUAACGACGGCCUUAAUCCCUGGCGUUGCUGGUAACGCGGGUCUUCCUAAGCCUUCACGCAGGUGUUUGAGUCCUUGGGCGUUGCAGUCCUUUCAUUGUCCUUGCCUUGCUAUGGACCGAGUGCUGGGAGCGUCCGAUUGCCACAAAGCAGACCGAGUGACCUCACGUGACCGAGUGAGAACACAAUGACCGAAUGAGGUUGAGACUAUCACGAUGACUUGUACGACAUUGAUGUCCUUACGGGUACUUAGGUGGGCCCUAUGGAAACGGGUUCGAAGGCCUACCGCUUAAGUAUAACCCCGUGAGUAGCCCCCGAACCGGUAGAGGUUUUCUAGCCGAGUGAAUGCCUUCCUUGGUAUUUCGAAGACACAUGGGUCGCCGUCAGAGUCAGAACUUAUCCAUCCAUAACUCUCAUGGUAGUUCAUUCUCUAGUUGUAGAGAAAGAUCUAUUUAGACCAACAAAUGAUAGAAAUACGAUAUUGGGACUCAAUGUUCCAUCAUGCCGUUGGAUCCACCAAACAUAAUUGGUUGGGACUCAAGAAUAUCUAUCGAUAUCUUCAAAAGGCGUCAAACAUCUUGUCCUGGUUUUUCAUUUUCAGAUAAAUCUGAACACCAAUACUGUUGGAUACAAUGAUCUGAUCGCUGCUAUGUCAGAUCAUAGGCAAGCUUAGUGUUCCUACUAGUUGUUGUAGCCAUCUCAUGAGUGUCUUCGAAACAUACCUCAUGGGUACAUCAACCAACAAUUAUCUCAAAGAUAAUGUUUUUUAUGUUGCGCGGAUGCAAAAAGGUUACACAAUAAGCAACAUCGCUACAUUGCAUAUCUUGCAAAUCAAAUCAUGUAACUAAUUUUCUCACGAAGUCUCUACCAACUUUUACAUUCCCGAAAUAUGUUCAUUGAAUUGGUAUGUGACGGUUUCAAAAUUUGCAAGAAUCAGGGGGAGUAUCUUCUUGAAUUAUUCUUUUUCAAUGCAUCAUAUUAUACUCUUUUUCCCUUCAAGAGUUUACUAUACAUGUUCUCAUAAAGGUUUUUAAUGAGGUAAUAUCAACAUGAAAUCAUAUGUCAUACUUUCAGUUUUCCCCACUGUGGUUUUUGAGAAAGUAUAUAUGACAUAUUUAUUGUCCUCUUAAUUGUAUGAGUUUUCUUGUAUUGAGUUAAAAGAGGAAACAAUCAUUAUAUGUUGCAUCAUUUGUAUCCUUAUUUUUUCCACUGGGUUUGAAGGAGUUUUAGCAAGAUAUCAAACACCUAUCCCCUUAUAUUUUUCCCACACGGUUUUUCAAGAAGAAUUUUUAUCAAGAUGAAGUCUGCUCACAAGAUCAAGCGUGGAUUGAAUGGAGUGUUAGGAUUAAUUAACUAAUGACAAUUAAGGGAUAAUCCCUGCUUUACUAACCACAAACAAUUACACCUGCCACGUCGGUUCCCUGCCAAAUAGGCAUAUCCCGGAAAAGACACCUUUCUAGUGGCAUGUCUUCCCUUUGUAUAAAAGCCAGCACUACGGAUCAAUCGGCUGAUCCCGCCCAGACAUCAUCUGCCUCGUCAGCCAGCCGAUUGACUUGCUAAUAGCCGUUCGAUGAAGACGCGAAGUCAUUCAUUUCCUGCCAGGCUGCCACGCAUCAUAGUCAGACGUACGCGCAUUCGCAUGCUUGUAGCGUGUGUUCACGACAACGUUGUAGCGGCCACACUUGCAUUAGGCUGUCCGUAAUGAUAGUAUCAUAGGUAGUAUUAUGCAUGCCAACUAAAUAAUUUUAUUGAGAUGGCAUAUAAUUAAAUGAAGAAAAAGAGAGUUGGGUAUCAUAUUAAAUGAUGUGCUACUAUGUGUCUUGAAUGACAAUAAAUAACCUACUCUAUGAUACUAAUAUAUGAUACUAUGCAUUACGCAUGUGGUAUCAUACACUAGUAUCAUAUCCAUGAUACUAAUAUAUGAUACUAUCAAUUACAACCAGCCUUAACUGUGGCGAGUUUCAGCCAUGCACGUCUAUAGCUUGUAGUGGUAUGACAACAAAAGUGAGUAUUUUAUUUCCAGCAAGUGCAUGGCAGCAGCAUGCGAACUUUUGAGACCAAAUGACAGAUGCCAUUGCAGCAACACGAGCUACUGUAAAGACAAGCGUGGAGUGGCUCCUGGUGUAUGAGGGCGAACACGAUACAGGCCAAGAUGACGAUGCUGUGACGGUGGUCCGGCUACCGCGGGUUUCAGUGUGAGGCCAUGAGCAGUGCUGCGAUGUUGGAUGGUGGACUCUGCGAUAGCAACCCGGCUGCUUCACUAUGGUGAUGCUGUAAGGCGUGCUCGAACGACAUGCUUCGACGACCAUUGCGAUGGCGUGGCAGCGUGCUUCAAACGACCAUUGUGUGCUUGCGAUGGCAAAUCGGCUGCUUCAAUGAUGCUGUGACGGCGUGCUUCGACAACGAUGACGAUGUUGCGACGGCUGCUCGAUUGCUUUGCUGAUGAUGCGGCGACGUGCUUUUCGGUCGCGGCGAUGCUGAGAUGGCAGUCGCUUCGAUAAUGCUAUGACGAUGUGCUUCGAUGGUCGCGGUGAUGCUGCGACACCGUGCUACAAAUGGUCAUGGUGAUGCUGCGACGUUGUGCUCUAACGACCACAGGACGGAGACCCAGAUGUUCCGAUGGUGUUUUUGACGGUUGUCGCGGUGUUGUGACGAUAGCAGGGCUGCUUUGACGACGUCGUUCGAUGGCCGCGUCCAUGCGACGACCGGCGACAAGGCUAUUCCUGAGUUGUUGGGAUGGCAUGCUUCGACGGCGGUAAGGUUGCUCCAAUGAUGAUGCGGUGGCAUGCUUCGACUGCAGUCAGGUUGCUCCGAGUCGGCAUUCAACCAGGACCCGCCAUAUGCAAUGUGGCCAAUGUUGUGCUCGGUAAGUUUGCAACUGAGCCAAUGUUGCAAACACUCGCCGGCUGCCUGAUCUCACAUGGGUGGACCACAUCACACAUUUUCCUUUUUUACUAGGAGGACCGUGUUUUUUUGGGUGAUGUUUGGAUCAAAUUGGCUGUUUGAAUACCCAUUUGGAUGGCAUGCAUGACAACCACAGUUUGCAAGAAGAACCGUGUUGUGGUUGGGAAUUUGCAACACGAGUUGUGUUGCAGUCCAUUUCGAUCACCAUUAGGAACAUUGCAACAUGAAUCAUGUUUUGGUCAACCAUGGCAAUAUGGACCCUGUUAUGGUCAACCAUCGCAACAUGGACGAUGUCACUGUCACCCGAAGCUUGCUAUGAAUUCACCCAUUGCAACCGAGACUAUGUUAUGGCCACCCAUUGCAACAUGGAUCAUGUUGUCGUCACCUCGACAUCAUCGGGCAGGCCCUAGCAUGGAGACGACGGCCACUAGCAAGUAGCGGCGGCAGCAUGGACAGCUUGCAGCUUUGCGGCAACGGUUUUGUAGUAGCAACGGGUUGUCCUUGCACCUACGUCUGGCUGGUUUGCAACAACGGACGGUACUUUGUUUUGUGGGGCCGGUUUGCAGCUGUCAUGGUAACGAUUCCGACAAUAGAAAGAGGGUAGGAUAACGGAGCAUGAUCUAUCAAGAUGCACAUGGGUGACAUGGUGGUUUUAGCGAGUUCAGGCCUCUCACAGUGGAGAUAACAACCCUACGUCUCGUGCUCCGGAGAGGCUUUGUUUUAUCUGUCAUGGACAUGAGUUACAAGGUAUAGAGAGAGAGCAGAGCUCCAGGGAAGGAAUGAGCCCGCUGGGGGAGAAGAAGAAGAAGAUGUCUUAGCUAUGUGGAGGGGGUGGCUUAUAUAUAGUGCGCCACCUCCUCACCUCUUAUGUUACAAGAUGGGCCAUUGAUGCCAUAAUGUCAGCCCACUACAGAUGUCUUGCCGACUGUUGGUAUUCGCAUGACCGAGUGAGUCAUACGACCGAGUGGUUGACUAUCAUCCGAGUGGAUGGAAUGUACUUGUCUGAGUGGAUCCGUACCGAGUGGAUUAGAUGUUGUCACGAUCCAGUAGGAAUUUCCCUUGUAGUCCUUAAACUAAUAAUGAGGUGCCCUUGGGUAGGACGUAUUGGUCAGACCUAUGACCCUACCCUAGGGCUAUAUCCCCGUCAUUAGCCCCCGAAUGGAUCAGGGUCCGAGUGGUGAAGGUGUCGAUGUAAAUCUUGUAGCAGCAGACCGAACUUGAACGUGCUUCAGAGCCUUGCAAAAUUAUGCGUUGAUUGAAGUCUUCAUCAUUCGCCCUGAUCGAUUCCGCUGAGUAGUACGUCCGAGUGAACUUAAGAAUUGAAGUAGGUCCGAGUGACCAACAGGACUUGAGACUUUGCCUGACUACUGGUAGUCGGUUGGAAUCUGUUGAUUCUGUUGAACUUGGAUGUUGUUGGUGGACCUGACCAAGCAGAAUGUUUCUUUUUUGUUUUUCUCUUCUAGUGGGGGCACGCUAAGUGCACCCACUGGGUGUAGUCCCCGAGCCUCUGUCGGACUAGAUGAGUCCGGCAGAGGGUUUAAGUCAUCCAAAUCUCGUCAUGUUGAAUGUUUGUUGUAUCUGCAUUAUAUGAUUUCUAGAUCAAACUCAAGUCUCUAAGAGUGGAGAGGCGAUACGGAGUCGCAACUAAGUCCUCAAGUGUGGAGCAUGUCCGCACUCGGAGUUGUUUUUAACUUAGGUGAUACGGAGUCGCAGCUAAGCCCCCGAGUGUGGAGCAUGUCCGCACUCGGAGUUGUUUUUAACCUAGGCGAUACGGAGUCGCAGCUAAGCCCCCAAGUGUGGAGCAUGUCCGCACUCGGAGUUGUUUUUAACUUAGGCGAUACGGAGUCGCAGCUAAGCCCCCGAGUGUGGAGUAUGUCCGCAAUCGGAGUUGUUUCUAACUUAGGCGAUACGGAGUCGCAGCUAAGUCCCCGAGUGGGGAGCAUGUCCGCACUCGGAGUAGUUUUGAACUUAGGCGAUACGGAGUCGCAGCUAAGUCCCCGAGUGUGGAGCAAGUCCGCACUCGGAGUAGUUUUGAACUUAGGCGAUACGGAGUCGCAGCUAAGUCCCCGAGUGUGGAGCAUGUCCGCACUCGGAGUAGUUUUGAACUUAGGCGAUACGGAUUCGCAGCUAAGUCCCCGAUUGUGGAGCAUGUCCGCACUCGGAUUAGUUUUGAACUUAGGCGACAUGGAGUCGCAGCUAAGCCCAGCGGUGGCGCGCGGGGCGUCCGAGUGAUGAAGAUGUGCCACACGGAGUGGCGAUGCGUGGGGCAUCCGAGUGAGGUAGACGAGUCCGACUGAGUGGCAACGCGCGGGGCAUCCAAGUGAUGUAUGUCGAGGAGGCGUCCGACCCACUGACGGCACGUGGGGCGGCCGUGUCCACUACGUCAUCGAAGGGGCUUCCGUACACGUGAAAACGUACAAAUGAUUGUUGCGGCGACUGAGCCUGAGUAGCAACGAGGAUGGCACACGGAUGCGUCGAGUGAUCGUGUAACCUGUGUAUGAAAAAUAGCACAAGCCAGCAUAAAAAUUAUCAAAGUAAUUUGAUCUUUUCUUAAAUAGUUUGUGUAAAUAAGACCCAUAGACAGCCACUGGGUGUGCCAGGUGCUUGUACUUGUGAAGAAUCUGACUGUACUUAUGCAAGUGAAGGAUCCGACUGAACUCGUUUAAGUACCGGACCCAAACGAAGCGGAAGUGAAGUGUUCCCACAUAAAAAUAAACAACCAAGUGCAGAGGUACGCUCUGAGGCGUGACUUCCUUGACACUCGGUGAUGCGGAAGCAACCAUUUAAUUUAAUGUAGCGUAUGAAGAAUGACUUAGCUGUCUGGCGCAGGAGUGGCCGAGUGACAAAGGAGUGUCCAGUUGAGUGACGGCGCGCGGAGCGAUCGAGUGACGAAGGAGCAUCCGGUCGAGUGGUGAUGCACGGAGAUGUCGAGUGAUGACGACAUGUCUCAUCGAGUGAUGGUGCGCGGAGCGACUGAGUGACGAAGGAGCGUCCAGUCGAGUGGCGAUGCGUGGAGCUGCCAAGUGACGAAGGAGCAUCCGGUCGAGUGACGGCGCGCGGAGCUGCCUAGUGAUGUAGUCGUGCUGCACGGAGUGGCAAAGACGUGUCUCACCGAGUGGCGAUGGGCGGAGUUACCGAGUGACGAAGGAGCGUCUGGCUGAAUGAAGGCGCAUGGUGUUGCCGAGUGAUGACGACACGUCCGACUGUGAGACGGCGCGUGGGGCGUCCGAGUGCCUUAUUUUGGCCGUAACCUGUGCUUGUUUUGGCCUUGAUUAGCUCUGAAGAUGCUCACUGAAUGACCAAUUAAUGACGCGGCCAAUUAAUCUGGCAUUCAAAUCACCACGUCCCUUCCUUUUCCUUUUUUGCCUGCAUGCAGUCAAUUGAUGGAGGAGGUAGCCCACGUUAUGCAUGUACUUACGAGGAUUGUUACUUCAGAAUGGCCAUCGGCUGCGGGCUGAGACUGUUUCGAAGGCAACCGCCCCAGCGCGCUUCCGCCACGGGGACCGCCGCCGGCGACCGGCGCGGAAGAAGGAGCGUUGCACGCCAGUGUCGCGACGGGCCUGUGCCUACACCGCGGAGGUCGCCACCGAGCAGCCGAGAACACGAGGCCGGAGUCGACGAUGAGGCGAACGGCGUCAAUGGCCGUGCGUGGCGGUUCAGCGACAAGGUUGAAGACGACGAUGAGGCGAAAGGCACUCCGACCGUGCCGACGACGAUGAGGCGGACGGCACCGGCGGCCACACGUGGUGACGAUGAGGCGGACGGCUCCUACGACCACCCAUGGCGACGAUGAGGCGGACGGCGCCGUUGGCCGCGCAUGGGGGCCGCACGACGACAUCGCAGAUGAAGUGCAGUGUGCAGCGUCGAGGUCAGAGACGACGAUGAGGCGGACGACACCGGCGGCCGCGUGCGGAGGGGCAGUCCAUUUCCUGAAGGUCGGUGGUGCUCCUUGUAUGUGCUUGGAUAGAUGUCUGUUUUCCUUCUGCUUGCGAUGGUUUGCUCGUCUUGGAGAUGAACAAUACAGACAAAUAUGUUAAAUCAUGAAGAUGAAACCGAAUAGAGGGCACCAACGGAAUUGAUCUGCCGGUGGCUGAAGAAAUAACCAUAUGCAUCAUGGCUCGAUAGACGCCACGCCCCAAGGUGGGCGCCAACUGUCGUGGUAACGAUUCCGACAAUAGAAAGAGGGUAGGAUAACGGAGCAUGAUCUAUCAAGAUGCACAUGGGUGAUACGGUGGUUUUAGCGAGUUCAGGCCUCUCAUAGUGGAGAUAACAACCCUACGUCUCGUGCUCCGGAGAGGCUUUGUUUUAUCUGUCAUGGACAUGAGUUACAAGGUAUAGAGAGAGAGCCAGAGCUCCAGGGAAGGAAUGGGCCCGCUGGGGUAGAAGAAGAAGAAGAUGUCUUAGCUAUGUGGAGGGGGUGGCUUAUAUAGAGUGCGCCACCUCCUCACCUCUUAUGUUAUAAGAUGGGGCAUUGAUGCCAUAAUGUCAGCCCACUACAGAUGUCUUGCCGACUGUUGGUAUUCGCAUGACCGAGUGAGUCAUACGACCGAGUGGUUGACUGUCAUCCGAGUGGAUGGAAUGUACUUGUCUGAGUGGAUCCGUACCGAGUAGAUUAGAUGUUGUCACGAUCCAGUAGGAAUUUCCCUUAUAGUCCUUAAACUAAUAAUGAGGUGCCCUUGGGUAGGACGUAUUGGUCAGACCUAUGACCCUACCCUAGGGCUAUAUCCCCGUCAGCAGCAGUGGCCGGUCCUUGUCCCAGAUUGCAACAACAUGGUAACAUAUUUUUAUCUGGACAUGGAAACAGUAUUUCCUUUUUCAAAGUAAACGUGGCGACAUUUUUCUUUGAAGUGACCAGCGAAGUCUUGUACUAGCUACGGGUAUUAGCUGGUGCAUGAGCUAACAUUAUGACAUGAAAAAAGGGGUGUAAAAGAAUCAACUAGGUAUGUCAUACGCAACUGGGACAAGGCACGUGAUAAAGCAAACGAGACGUGGACAUGCAUGUCCGCAUGAUUCAGCUAAUCAGCCUCGGCUGAUCGGAUGGCGCAGCGCGGUUUACGCGCUGGCCGUAAUCAGUCGGCUGAUUUAGAACCUUUUUCUUGUAUAAAUAGCAGAUUUCAUCUAAUACAGAUCACACAGUUUUCUUUCAACAGUGACCGAACCGGCAAACGAGGUAGGUCGGGAUAAGUUGCCGAGCGCCUUUUGCACCGCUUGCCUUCCCGAGCGCUUUCCCAAAACGCUUUUUUUGAAUUAGCAAAAAAUGCAUGAACAUUUUUUGAAUUAGCAAACAUUUUUUCAAUUGCACUCAAAAAAUAAUACACAAACUUUUUAUUUUAAAAUCAUGGACUUUUAUUGUUUUCACCAACAUUUUUCUCAAAAUUAUGAACAUUUUUCUGAAUAUGCGAAUAUUUUUACAAAAACCCUGAGCAUUUUUUGAAUUCACAAACGUUUUAUGUUUUCUUCAAAAAAAUUUCAAAAUUCUCAGUUUUAUAAAUUGCAAAAAAAAAAUCAAAGUUCUAAAUUAUUUAAAUUAAAAAAUGGACCGGAAAAACUAAAAUAAAAAACAGACUAAAAACAGAGGCACAAACUGUUUUUAAGAUUUUUAAACGGACUUUUGUUCAAAAUCAUUGAAUUUUUUAUUUUAUGGACAUUUUCUCAAAAUUUAAACAUUUUUUUGUAUAUGCAAAAAAAUUUCAAAACUCCUGAGUAGUUUUGGAAUUCUCAAAUUUUUUAUGUUUUUUUCAAUAUUUUAUUUCUAAAUUAUCUGUUUCUUAAAAUUUAGAAAAUUUAUUUGAAGUUCUAAAUUAUUUAAAGUACAAAAACAAAAUGGAACUGAAAAGAAAAAUAAAAAAACUAAACCAAAAAGAACAGGCACCCACGCAUGGGCCGGCCCAAACUGGUGUGCUGCAUCUUUUUGCAACGCCCAAAGCGUACUAUAGGAGGUGCCUACAUGGGCCGGCCUAGUCCAGAGAUUUUCCUGUUUGAAAUGUUUUUUAUGACUUAUCGGUGGCAUUGGUGGAUAAUUUUAGUCAACUUUAGCGGCAAUUUGAAUCGGCAGAAGCAAUAUUUAUUUUAUUAGUAGGUAAGAUAAGAUAAGAUAAGAUAAGAUAAGAUGUCUAUAUACAUCCGUAUGUAGUUCAUUGCUUGAACCUUUAAAAAGACUUAUAUUUAGAAACGAAGGGAGUAUUAUUGUUUCUUAGUGUUCCCAUGACAAGGCUCAAGCGCCAUUGGAAGUUUACAACAUUCUUCCUUAGGUGCCGGUGAUGAAAAGGAUUUGUAGUGGCACAUGUUAAUCUCUAGUACGUCUAAGAAAUCCGGGUGAGUAGACAUGAAAUAUGUUUGGUAAACGUUUUUCGCCUGUGCGCCGGCGGAACAUUCGGCCGGACGCACGCGCGUCGUUGAUCUCGCGCGCUCCUCCCCAUCCUGAACGGCCCGCGAUCUCGUCCUCAUCUCGAACGGCUCGCGCGCUGCGCCGCCGCCGUAGCUGCGCCGGUCGUGCCCCCGUCGGCCCGCCCGAAUCGCCAGUUCCCACUACCGUCGACCGUCCGCAUCGCCGGAUCCAGCUUUCGCCCGUCGUCCUCGUCGUCUGCCAGCCAUGGCCGGGGCGCACGUAUACAAGUGUUCACAAAACGUCACUCAAAAAUGCUGCAACGGCUAUUUAAAAAAGCUUCAACCGUUGAUUAAAAAAGUUGCAAGGCAAAUCAUACUUUUUCCACGUGAAGUAUUUGGUUGAAGCUUUUUUUUAACGGUUGAAGUUUUUCUAUACACGGUUGAAAGUUUUGAGGAGUGACCAUGCGAGAUGCUGCAGUCGGAGCGGCGUUUGAAACUUUUUUCAUACACGGUUGAAGCUUUUUCUGUCAACGUUUGCAACUUUCCCUCGUUGAAGUUUUGGUUGAAGCUGUUUUUCUUAACGGUUGAAGCUUCUUCUACACAUGGUUGAAACUUUUUAUCCAUCCUUUGCAACACAGGGGUGAGAUGCGACCGAAACGAGGUGAAGACCGACGGGCUGCAUCCAUGGUGCUUUCGACGAGCGGCCGAGGCGGCAACCGACGGUGAGGACGACCAGUCAUGAGGAGGCGAGGCGAGGCGGUCGGCGCUUGCUGGGGCGUCGACGCAGGCGAGGCGGUCGGCGCGUGCUGGGGCGUCGGCACGGGCGAGGCGCGUGCUGGGACGCCGGCGCGUGCGAGGAUGACGGACGGUGGAGGCUCGCGCGACCAGAUCUGACGGUCAGGGGCCCUGAUCUGACGACUGUUGCGCGACCGGCGCGAGCCUCGGGCCGGCGCGCCGGCGCCUAGCACUGUCCAAUAUGUUUUGUUUACACAAACCAACAUGAAAAAUUUCAAGAUGGAGGACACGCAUGUUGCCCUUGCUUCCUUUUAUUCGAACACAAAAUACAAAAUGAAACGAUUGGGUUAACACACCAACCCUCCCUCUUACGGUCGAUUAAGAUUUAUUAGAAAUUGAGCUGGUAGCAAGAACACAGCAGCAUGCUAUACGAGCUGUGACCUCGCUACUUGGUGUACUCCAUUGCCCAGAAGUCGGCGUAGAUGUAGGUGGCCUUGACGCCGGUAAACCCGGCAGCCCUGGCGAGCUUCUCGAGGUCCCUCAGGUACCUUUCCUUGCCGCCGGGGCUGUACGCCAGCAGGCUCACGUCCACGCUGAUUAACCCCUGCGUGCUGUUUGUGGCGUCCGGGUUCACCGGCAGGAUACACUCCACGUUGAUCACCUUACCAUGCGCCGGCAGUGCGUCGUAGCAGUUCUUGAGCAGGAUGGCACACUCGUCGUCGCUAAAGCAGUUGAGGAUCCACUUCAUGAGGAUGGCGUCUCCGGUGGGCACCUUCUCGAACAUGUCGCCGCCGACGUGCUCCACGCCAGGGCAAGGCUGUGCAUCGGAGAUCACAUGGGGAAGGUCGAAGUUGAUCCCCUUGAUGCUCGGGUACUUCUUGGUGAUGGUGUGGACGACAGCACCCACGCCGCCGGCGACAUCCACCAGGGUGCCGAUGCCGUCGAAACCGGUGUACAGUUCGAGGAGCUUCUUGGUGAUGAUCACAGAAUGUUGCUUCAUGGCCUCGUUGAAGACGGAGUUGAAGCGCGCAUCCGUGCCGGCGUAGUCGAACCAGGACGCCCCGAAUGCCUUGGUGAAUGCACUGCCACCUUCAAGGACCGCGUCCUUCAUGUGGCACCUGCAUAUGAUUUAGUCCAAUCGAUUAUUUCACAAUAUGCAUGUCACUUCCAGUUCAUAACACCACAAAUACUUGUCUAAAUCUGUAUUAGAGAAGUGCAGUAAGAGUUGUCUGAGAUGUGAUAAAAAAUAAUACAUCACUGUAAAACUUUUCAUUUUUUCGGAAUCUGUCCUCAGAAGUGCUAAAAACAUUGAGCACUGAACUCUUUUUCUUGGGUAGAGCUUCUGGAAUGUUUCUUCCGUACGAAAUUACAGCAUAUUAUUGUUGUCAUGAAAUUUAAGCGUAUUUUAUUUUAUUUUGUUCUUUACUGUUCAUGAGGGUGCUCCUGCACCUGGGAGCUGAAAACCACUGUCGUCUGAGAUCUCAACUGAAUUUGAACAUGCUAGCUUCUUUUGACCAGAAAGUUCUAGUUUCUUUUCCUAAUCACUGUACUGAUUUCAUCAUUUCCACGGCCUAAUCACCAUACUUAUUGUUAAUUAGCUGAUUCGCCCAGGAUAAUUACAGAUCACGAGAAAAAAAAAAUCUUGAGGGCCAGAUGACACUGCCAGUUACCUGCUCUUAGCAAUAAAGAACAAAAAACAUAAACAGCCAAAGGUCAAUUACCUACGAUUCCAUGGAACGGACGAUUGAGGUGUGGUUACGCAUUGUUAUGUGUAACAGCACCCCGGUAUACAAUUCGCCCAGGAUAAUUACAGUUCAUAGAGGUGCUGAAAUCCACUGUCUAAUCGAAUGCAAUGCACACGGUACAUAUGUAGUAAGUAUACGGAAAGGAUUCUCACCAGGCCUCCAUGAAGAGCUUGUCCUGGGCGAGGAGGCAGAAGGGGGCCAUGGAGACGCCUUCCUCGUUGGGGGUGAGCCACUUGCACACCGGCUCGGCGCCGUACCGGCGUGAGAGGCUGCCGUCGCUGGACUCGGCCACCACGCACGACACGACCUUGUAUGCUGCCAGCACCCGCAGCAGCCGAUCCACCAUGGACGCCGCGUCCGGGUUGGCCUCGGCUUUGGACGGCAGCUUCGCCGCCACCUCCUCGGGGGUCAGCACCUUCCCACCGGCGCCCACCAGGGUCUCGAGCAGGCCCAGCUCGAUGGACGUCCGUAGCGUCAUAGGCAGGACCGCCGACGAAGCCAGCUGCAGCGCGAACAUUAACGCCUCUUCGUUGGCCAUGUGGACUGUGGAGGGCUAGCUUGCUGCUCGAGAUGGUACGUGUGUUAAUCCCAAGCUUGCUGGUGAACUGGUGGCUGGCUCGCACUUGGCUGAUGUUUGAUUCUAGGAUGGGAUGGAAUCGGGUACUACUUAUAGGAGUUUCGAGGUUUGUAAAACAAGUGGGGUUUGCACAGGUGUUUGGGGUGGGCAGCACGGCCUUCUUGAGCCGGCUUGUGGAUUAUAUUUUUAUAAUAAUAAGAGUUUGUACACAAAUACAAGUCAUACAUAUAACAAAGGGAAUCGUUUCCUACCCGCGCGCCGGCCGGUCGUCCCUCGCGCGCGCGGGUCCUUACAAUAUUUUUCCCACCCACGCGCUUCGCUGGUCAAUGGAUGCAACAUUUUUCGUUUAAAUAUGUUGCAACCAACGUCAUAUUUGCUGCAAGCGUUUUUUUUUUUUUUGCUUUUUUUGUCCAGUAAAAAAGCUGCACAUACGUUUGGUUGCAACUCCAGUUCGUCGGAUUUUUCGUUUACAAUCGAUGUUUUUUUACUUUUGCUACAACCGGCAUCAUGUUUUGCUGCAACCGUUCACUAAAAAAGUUGCAUACACGUCACGUAAAUAUUUGUUACAACCGGCGUUUGACUUUUGCUACCACGUACCAUCAGCUUCGCUUUUUUGCUACGAUCACGUAGAUAAUUUUUUUGCUACAAUUUUUGUUUUUUGUUGCAACCAUUGAAAAAAUUGCUGCAUAGCAUCGAAAAUUUGCUUGCAUGCGGAUCCAACGGUGCGGACGACGCGGGGUUGGUGGAUCCUGCGGCUCGCGCGUUCGGCCGGCGCGUCGGCGCAGAUCAGUCCCCCUAUACCAAAAGCUAUACACAAUGUGUUAACACCCUCACUUCCGCUUCGCUUUCGCGGGCGGCUUGGGACAAACCCUAACCGCAACCGACAGCCACCCCACCUACCCUCCUCCCGCUUCCGCCGGAGGGUGUACGUGUCAAAGCCCUACGUCGUUCCCUCCUCUUGUCCAAACGUGGCGGCGCGGGACGCUGGCUGGCCCCUAUGGGCUCGCAUACGGUACGGUGGCGUGCACCGGCAGUGGUGGCGUAGUGCGCCGCGUAGACUGUGCACCGGCGUGGACAACUGGGUCAACCAAGGAUCUAACGCCGCUUCGCCCCGGGGAGCUCCAGAUUUCACUCCGUUCGGACGACAACAGCUCGUUCCCUUGCCCAUUCACAUGGCCGCAACCUGAGGCUUGUGGCACAGGCUGGUGACGUGGUCAGCAUUGCUUGGUGGGUCGACCGUCGCGGUGACCUUGGUGGCGGACAGGGAGGUGUGCUAUCCAGGGAGAGCAGGAAGAGGACGGGGAGGAGAGCGACUCCUCACGAACAAGGAAGAGGGCGACGUCCAAAGUCGCCGAGGGAGAUCUACCUCCCACUGCCCCUAAAAGGCAAUGCAUGGCCAAGAUGGCCCUGUUUGACCGUGGCUCUCACUCCACCGUGGAUUCUGAGGCUUUUGAAAUGGUUCCUCGAAGAAAACCCUAGGGUCAAGCCCGCGGCCCAAAACUAUGAAUCCGAAGACUAUCGUUCUUCCGUAUUGAAGUUUACUAUUGACCAUAUGCAUACCUUUCAUAUUGUAGCCCAGCUCGUAAACUCCCCACUCACCAGGCCUGGGAAGGGAUUCCCCGCCAGUCGAACUGGAGGAGAGCGAGACCUCAUCACACAAUACACUUCCCCUGGUUGCCGAGGAGGCCAGAGAGGUUCUAUCCCGAAGGACCCCUCCUGAGACAAACACGGGGGGCGGGGGUGAUGAUAUUAUGGCCGAGGUUAACACCUCAAUCGUCGAAGAGAAGGAGGGUGAAUCUCUUGUGGCAAACAAAGAGGGGAGCCUAGUCAGUCUGAGCUCUGUCCGAAGAUAGUUCUGGAGACCCCGAAGCCUCCGGAGUAACCUAUUCCGGCUACUUCAAAAGGGGAAACCGAAGUGCUACCACCGGAGCCACCCGCAGCAGAGAGGGCCAUAACCGGGUGGUCAGCCGUGAUUGGGGAGGCUUUAAAUGACUCCUCACUACUAGGGAAAACCCUAGCAGUUCCAUGGUUUAGAAGCCUAAUAGUAACGCGAGCAGCUGUGCUACUGCUAUGGCACUACAUCUAACAUUUAGCAGUAGCUAGGGCAACCAGCGCUAUUAGAAACUGGGUUAGCAGUAGCGAGCUUUCGUAACAAGCGCUACUACUAUCCUGCAAUAGUAGUUGCGUGCUCUUAGAAGCCGCACAACUACUAAACGGGCGUAUUUCUUUUUCUACAUUUGUAUUGUAUUUAUACACAGUUAUACUAAUUAAUAUACAACAUUCAUAAUAAUUGUGCAAAGAGCAAUAUUUAGAUUAAAGUGGAUGGGUGCAAGUGAUUAAGUUGGGUUAGAGGGAAAAUAUGAUGUUGCGAAUCGUAACAUCAUAUUUUCCUCUAAUUCAACUUGAUCACUUGCAUCCAUCCACUUUAAUCUAAUGUGUGCCAUAUAACUUAUCAUCCUCUUAAUCAUCGAACAACUCAUCAUCCUCUUAAUCAUCUAAGAACUCAUCAUCCUUUCAAUCAUCUAACAACUUAUCAUCAUCUUAAUCAUCUAACAAUUUAUGAUCAUCUAAUCAUAUUAUGUCAUAAAUUAAAAAUGGUCAUCUAUCUUGUCUAGCACGUAUUAUACUCUCAUAGCUAGAACCUACUACUCUCUACUAGGUAACAUAGAGUAAAAAAGGUAAGCUCGACUCUGUCCAUUGUGAAGAAUAGAGAUCCACAUGUGGCAUGCGCAAAUCCUUUGCGUCUACGCCAAGUAGUUGUCGACGGCUUUUCAUUAAUUUGUCAAAUCCUUUAAGUUUUAGGCUUCCAUCCCUUCUAGAAAGCGAGUAUGCAUUGUGGAAACAUAUAGGACAACAUGGCUGUAAGUUGAUAACAUUUAAAUGACGACCUUCUAUAGUCAUCAGUAGUAAAAAAUAACCUUACCAUGCUAUCUAUAUGGAAAUUAUUAGGGUUCAAAUCGUGCACUAGUGGCACGUAUUCAGAAUAACUUUUACCAAUAUCUUCAUAAUUGUUCGUAUAAUCAUCAACAUCAGCAAUAAAUGUGAUUAGAUGGUUUUUCUCCAACCAAGUUAGAUCGGAGCCAGGACUGUAGUACGUCCUGUCUACUGUCUUUCGAGUUUUUUUAAGAAGAGAAAUAAGCUGUCAAUUAAAAAUAAUCAAGUUAAGUAUGGAUGAACACCAACUAUUUUUAAAUAAACAAUGCAAAUCACUUAACAAAUAUGGUUGUCAAACUCACAUUGAGGUAAAACUGGAAAUAUUUUGACAUCCGCCCAAAUGUCGAUAGUACCUUAUGCUUUGCCUCAAUGCCAUCUUCAAUGCCAUCUUCAGGACAAAUAUCGAAUAUUAUUUUCAUAUCCUCCUGAAAUCCAUAUGCUUUCCUUACUGCUUCCCAAGUUGAGCAACCGAAAUGCGAGUGAUUAAUUGCAUUGUAUAGUGUAACCAGAAAUUUGAAACCAUGUUUAGUCCUUAGGUGAGCUUUCGUUGUCUUCAUAUUAUCUAUUUCUUAGAAAACGAGCUUCUCCAAGACAUACCGUCUUGCAUGGCAUGGGAUGCAAAGAAACACAAAGCAAAGAAGCAAAAAUAGUGGUCAUCGUUGCAUACCGUAAAAACAUCAAAAGUCUGGUUAAGUUUGAUGGUGAAGAACGUGCCGUUUGACAGGCGAGUCUUGUCCCACAUACCCCAAUCUUCGCUGCAAUAAUCUCACUUAGGGGUCCUCUCGUCCUCAGACGACAUUUCCUGUGUUCAUGCUUCAAAUAUUAAAAAUCUACCACAACUAUUGGUUUAUACGAAAAAUCAGCAUGGGUUGAGUUUCGGUCUGUCGAGGCUUCGUUGAAACUCUCAUAUCUCAUAUUGUAUAUGGUGCACACUCUCUCACACUGAUAUGAUGGUGUAUGUCAGUGAACACUCCCUCACACUAUCUCUAGCACACGGGAACGAGAGAGGAAGAGGCCCCCACGACAAUAGUUAGGAUUCUUCUUCUUAUAUUUCAACCAUAUGUUUUGAUCGCACCUUAUCUUCUCUCCUUGCGCAUUGUAUCGAGGUAUAUAUCGCAAGAAGAAAAGAAGAAGAAGCGACCCUCACGGCAACAGUCGGUAUUCCUCCAUCAAUAACAUACUGAAAGUGACACAAGGAGCUCCGACAGACUCAACGUUAACACUAUAAGCAUUAGUCAUCCAAGAGGAAAAUGACUAUAACAACCCUAUAAGCAUUUGUCGAAAUAACAUCUAGUUCCUAUUCUGAAAAAAUUUCGGCACAACCUUUCUAAAAACAGAACAUUUCGAGUGCCUGAAAUUUGCCGGAACGGAAAUGAAUCAACAUUCUGGAAAAACAUAGGGCACUCGGAGGUUUCAAUUUCAUGUUCAUUUUCAUUUUCAUUUUUUCACAUGUUCAAACCAGUCGGAAAGACAACCCAAACCAUCAUUGUUUAAAAUUACAUUCCAUUCUACUACUAGUUAAAUCAAACUGUCGAAUACAUUUUUCUACCAACUAAAAUUUUAACUAAUUGAGUAAAUUAUAAACUAUAAACUAGAAAAUAUUACUACAUCUACAUCUCCUACUACAUAUACUAUACUAAAAGCAAGAAACUAGAAACUAAAAAAUCCUAUACCAAAAAUAUUACUUAAUUAGGAGAGAGGAGGUGGGAGGAGUGGGGAAUGAAGAGGAGGAGGAGGAGGGCAGCAGGAGGAGGGAGAGAGGAUGGCAUAUAAGGAGGAGGGCGGUCGGAGGAGGAGGGAGGAGGAUGGUCAGAGGAGGAGGGGAGGAGGGCUGUGGGAGGAAGGGGGGGGGGGGNNNNNNNNNNNNNNNNNNNNNNNNNNNNNNNNNNNNNNNNNNNNNNNNNNNNNNNNNNNNNNNNNNNNNNNNNNNNNNNNNNNNNNNNNNNNNNNNNNNNNNNNNNNNNNNNNNNNNNNNNNNNNNNNNNNNNNNNNNNNNNNNNNNNNNNNNNNNNNNNNNNNNNNNNNNNNNNNNNNNNNNNNNNNNNNNNNNNNNNNNNNNNNNNNNNNNNNNNNNNNNNNNNNNNNNNNNNNNNNNNNNNNNNNNNNNNNNNNNNNNNNNNNNNNNNNNNNNNNNNNNNNNNNNNNNNNNNNNNNNNNNNNNNNNNNNNNNNNNNNNNNNNNNNNNNNNNNNNNNNNNNNNNNNNNNNNNNNNNGGGGGGGGGGGGUAGGAGAUGAUAUGUCCAUUUUGCAUCAUGCUUUUAUAUUGAUAUUUAUCGUAUUAUGGAUUGUUAUUACACAUUAUGAUACAAUACUUAUGCCUUUUCUCUCUUAUUUUAUAAGGUUUACAUGAAGAGGGAGAAUGCCGACAGCUGGAAUUCUGGGCUGAAAAAGGAGCAAGUUUGAGAUACCUAUUCUGCACAACUCCAAAAGCCAUGAAAAUCAGCGAGGAAUUAUUUUGGAAUAUAUAUAAAAUACUGGGCAGAAUAAAUACUGGAGGUGAGCCACUAGGAGGUCACGAGCCUGCCAAGCGAGCAUGGGUGGCUCGUGGGCCCCGUGUUACCCCUCCGGCUCCCAUCUUCUGCUAUAUAGAGGGUUUCGUCCCAGAAGAAAAUCAUGAGAGAGCUUUCGGGAAGAAAUGCCGCCGCCAUGAGGCGGAACUUGAGCAGAACCAAUCUAGAGCUCCGACAGGGCCCUCCUGUCGGGGAAACUUCCCUCCGGGAGGGGGAAAUCGUCGCNNNNNNNNNNNNNNNNNNNNNNNNNNNNNNNNNNNNNNNNNNNNNNNNNNNNNNNNNNNNNNNNNNNNNNNNNNNNNNNNNNNNNNNNNNNNNNNNNNNNNNNNNNNNNNNNNNNNNNNNNNNNNNNNNNNNNNNNNNNNNNNNNNNNNNNNNNNNNNNNNNNNNNNNNNNNNNNNNNNNNNNNNNNNNNNNNNNNNNNNNNNNNNNNNNNNNNNNNNNNNNNNNNNNNNNNNNNNNNNNNNNNNNNNNNNNNNNNNNNNNNNNNNNNNNNNNNNNNNNNNNNNNNNNNNNNNNNNNNNNNNNNNNNNNNNNNNNNNNNNNNNNNNNNNNNNNNNNNNNNNNNNNNNNNNNNNNNNNNNNNNNNNNNNNNNNNNNNNNNNNNNNACAUCUUCAUCAGCACCAACUCAUCUCCAAACUCUAGUUCAUCUCUUGUAUCCAAUCUUCGUCUCGCGACUUCGAUUGGUACUUGUAAGGUUGCCAGUAGUGUUAAUUACUCCUUGUAGUUGAUGCUAGUUGGAUUACUCGGUGGAAGAUCAUAUGUUCAGAUCCUUAAUACUAUUCAAUAUCUCUCUGAUCAUGAACAUAAUUAUGCUUUGUGAAUAGUUACGUUUGUUCCCGAGGACAUGGGAUAAGUCNUAUUCGUUCGAUAUUUUGAUGCGUUGUAUGUUGUCUUUCCUCUAGUGGUGUUAUGUGAACAUCGACUACAUGACACUUCACCAUUAUUUGGGCCUAGACGAAGGCAUUGGGAAGUAAUAAGUAGAUGAUGGGUUGCUAGAGUGACAGAAGCUUAAACCCUAGUUUAUGCGUCGCUUCGUAAGGGGCUUAUUUGGAUCCACCAGUUUAAUGCUAUGGUUAGACUUUGUCUUAAUUCUUCUUUCGUAGUUGCAGAUGCUUGCGAGAGGGAUUAAUCAUAAGUGGGAUGUUUGUCCAAGUAAGGACAGCACCCAAGCACCGGUCCACCCACAUAUCAAACUAUCAAAGUAGCGAACGCGAAUCAUAUGAACAUGAUGAAAACUAGCUUGACAGAAACUCCCAUGUGUCCUCGGGAGCGCUUUACUUUAUAUAAGAGUUCGUCCAGGCUUGUCCCUUGCUACAAAAGGGAUUGGGCCAUCUUGCUGCACCUUUGUUACUAUUGUUACUUUCUACCCGUUACGAAUUAUCUUAUCACACAAUUAUCUGUUACCGAUAAUUUCAGUGCCUGCAGAGAAUACCUUGCUGAAAACCACUUGUCAUUUCCUUCUGCUCCUCGUUGGGUUCGACACUCUUACUUAUCAAAAGGACUGUGAUAUAUAUAUCCCCUACACUUGUGGGUCAUCAGGAGAGAUUAGGUAGGAGAGAGUAGGUAGGAGAGAGGAUUGAGGAGAGAGGAGGGCAGCGAGAGGAGGAGGGAGGGAGACACCUGACGAUGGCGGCGGUGGGAGGGUGGUGGCGGUAGGCGAGGGCGACGAUAGCGGCGAAGGGGUGUGGCAAGAGGGUGGGAGGGGAGUGGAGAAACGGGUGCGCGGGGGUGAAGAUAAGGUGACAUUAGUAGUAGUGCGGGUUGUGUAAGACGCUACUCCUAAGCACUAUAGCAGUAGCACGUGGCUGCUGCCCAGCGCUACUGCUAGGGGCAGCCCCGGUGGGUGAAGAUGUGAUUGAUGUCAACUAUACAACUUUAUUCUUGUAGACUCAUGUUGGGCCUCCAAGCGCAGAGUUUUGUAGGACAAUACUAAUUUCCCCUCAAGUGCACGACCUAAGGUUUAUCAAUCCGUGAGUGGAGUAGAAUGAAGAUGGUAUCUCUCGAACAACACUGCAACCAAAUAAUAAAAAUUCUCUUGUGUACCUAAUGCACCAAAUAUAAUGGUAAUUUGUAUAGGUUCAUUAGUUCGGCGAAGAAAUGCUGAUACAAGUGUAGUAAUGAUAGUAGAUAUUGAUUUUUAUAGUAGUGACAAUAAAAAACAGCAAGGUAAUGAGUAACAAAAGUGAGCACAAAUGAUAUUGCAAUGCUUGAAAUUGAGGCCUAGGGUCCGUACUUUCGCUAGUGAAAUCUCUCAACAAUGCUAGUGAAAUAUCUAAGCAAGGUAAUAUAACUGAAAUAUAUAACAAUCCCUCAACAUGCGAUAAAGAAUCACUCCAAAGUUCCUAUCUAGCGGAGAAGAUAAGAAUAAAUUGUUUGUAGGGUACGUAACCACCUCAAAGUUAUUUUUUCCGAUCAAUCUUUCCAAGAGUUCGUACUAAAUUGACAAGUUAUCCUUUCCGAUCGAUCUAUCCAAGAGUUCAUACUAAAAUAACACCAUAAUAAAUUCAGAUUCAUAAUACUGAAUCAAAAACAAAAAGAACCUCAAAGAGUGCCCCAAGAUUUCUACCAGAGAAACAAAGAGGAGAACGUGCAUCAACCCCUAUGCAUAGAUUACCCCAAUAUCAACUCGGGAAUCCGUGAGUUGAGUGCCAAAACAUAUAUCAAGUGAACCAAUAUGAUACCCCAUUGUCACCAUGGUAUUCAUACCAAGACAUAAAUCAAGUGCUCUCAAAUCCAUAAAAGUAUUUGAUGCGAUAAAACAAAAUCUCAAAGGGAAAACUGAAUUCAUCGCAACAAGAUAGAGAGGAGAAACACCAUAUGAUCCAACUAUAUUAACAAAGCCCCGAUACAUCAAGAUCAUGCCAUCUCAAGAACACGAGAGAGAGAGAGAGAGAGAGAGAGAGAGAGGGAGAGAGAGAUUAAACACAUAGCAACUGCUAUAAUCCCUCAGCCCCGAGGGUGGACUAGUCCCUCCUUAUCAUGUUGGCCAUAGGGAUGAUGAAGAUGGCCUCCGUAGAUGAUCUCCCCCUUCGGCAGAGUGCCGAAAUGGGCUCCUGUUUGGUUUUUCAUGGCUACAGAGGCUUGCGGUGGCGGAACUUCUAGUCUAUGGUUAUUUCCGGGGGUUUCUGUAUUUAUAGGAUUUUUGGCGUCGGUCUCACGUCUAGAUGGGCUUCUAGUGUCCCAAUAGGCACUAGGGUGCGCCAGGGGGGCUAGCGUGCCCAGGUGGUUAGUGGCCACCUCACUUACCUUUUGGUCCUCCCAUGAAGCUUCUAGUGCCUCUUUUGUCCCAAAAAAUCAUCAAAAAGUUUCGUUGCAUUUGGAGAAUUUUUAUUUGUGCAUAAAAAACAACACUACUGUAGUUCUGCUGAACAACGGUAGUCCGGGUUAGUUCCAUGCAAAUCAUACAAAAACCAUGUAAAAUUGUUGUAAACAUGGCAUGAAUACUUCAUAAGUUACAGAUACAUUGGAGACGUAUCAGCAUCCACUACUGGAAUCGGGUAUUUUGCCAUCAGGUUGUUCUUUUCCAUCAGCUGGCUGAAGGCAAAGAGGGUCUUUGCCGUCAAGUGCAAAAAACCAAACGAAAAAGUGAGCUCUUUGCCGUCUGCCAGCUCACGGCAAAGAGACGAAAGGCAAACAACAAAGAGCUGACUGAUGGCUGAUACGUCUCCAAUGUAUUUAUAAUUUUUGAUUGUUCCAUGCUAUUAUAUUAUCUGUUUUGGAUAUUUUAUAUGCAUUAAUAUGCUAUUUUAUAUUAUUUUUGGGACUAACCUAUUAAUCUAGAGCCUAGUGCCAAUUUCUGUUUUUUCUUGUUUUUGAGUAUUGCAGAUAAGGAAUACUAAACGGAGUCCAAACGGAAUAAAAUCUAUGGAACGAUUUUUCUUGGACCAGAAGAAACCCAGAAUACUUGGAGUAGGGGGCACGACACUUGCCGGUAGGCCACAAGCCUGUAGGGAGCGCCCCUGGCUGGUGGGUCCCCUACAGGUCUCCUAACCCUAUUCUUUGGCCUAUAAAUUCCCAAAUAUUCCCCCAUCGCUAAAGGGAUCCAUGAAAAUACUUUUCCACCGCCGAGAGACGUUGUUCCCAUUAGAUCCAAUCUUGGAUCCUUUUCCGGUAACCUGCCAGAGAAGGAAUUGACCACAGAGGGCAUCUACAUCAACUCCAUUGCCCCUCCGAUGAUGCGUGAGUAAUUCACCACAAACCUACGGGUCCAUAGCUAGUAGCUAGAUGGCUUCUUCUCUCUCUUUGAUCUUCAAUACCAUUUUCUUCAUGAUCUUCAUGGAGAUCUAUCUGAUGUAAUACUCUUUUGCGGUGUCUUUGUCGAGAUCCGAUGAAUUGUGAGUUUAUGUUCAGAUUAUCUAUAAAUAUAAUUUGAAUCUCUUCUGAGUUCUUAUAUGCAUGAUUUCAUAUCUUAGCAAGUCUCUUCGAGUUAUUGGUUUGGUUUGGCCAACUAGAUUGGUAAUUCUGGCAAUGGGAGAAGUGCUUAGUUUUGGGUUCAAUCUUGCGGUGUCCUCACCGAGUGACAUAGUAGGGGUAGCGAGGCACGUAUUGUAUUUUUGCCAUCGAGGAUAAAAAUAUAGGGUUUUCAUCAUAUUUCUUGAGUUUAUCCCUCUACAUCAUGUCAUCUUACUUAAUGCGUUAUUCUGUUCUUCAUGAACUUAAUACUAUAGAUGCAGGUAGGAGUCCGUCGAUGUGUGGUGUAAUAGUAGUAGAUGCAGAAUCGUUUCGGUCUACUUGACAGGGACGUGAUGCCUAUAUGCAUAAUCAUUGCCUCAGAUAUCUUCAUAAUUAUCCGUUUUUCUAUCAAUUGCUCGACAGUAAUUUGUUCACCCACCAUAUUAUUUCCAUUUAUGAGAGAAGCCUCUAGUGAAACCUAUGGCCCCUGGGUCUAUUUUCCAUAUUAUACUUUCAGAUCUAUAAACCAAAAAUACCAAAAAUAUCUUGCUAUAAUUUAUUUACUUUUGUUUCUGUAAUCUUUUAUAUCUAUCUCUAUCAGAUCUCAUCCUUGCAAAUAACUCUGAAGGGAUUGACAACUCCUUUUUAGCGUUUGGUGCAAGUGUUUGAUUGUUUGCGUAGGUACUACGAUUGGGGCCUUGCUUAUUCCUCCUACUGGAUUGAUACCUUGGUUCUCAACAAACUGAGGAAAAUACUUAUCUACUUUGUUGCUUCGCCCUUUCCUCUUCAAGGGAAAUCAACGCAAGCUCAAGAAGUAGCAAGAAGGAUUUCUGGCGCCAUUGCCGGGGAGGAUACAUAGCAAGAUCAAGCCUACCAAGGACCCAUCACAAACUCAUCACUUGCAAUUACUUUAUUUGCCAUUUGCCUCUCGUUUUCCUCUCCCCCACUUCUAAAACGAUUUUCAGAAAACACCAAAAAUAUUUGCCUUUUUAUUCGCCCUUCUUCCGCUCAUCUUUUUCGUUUGUUCAUUUCCAUUGCUCAACCCAAAAGUUUUGAUCCGUAUAUUAAGAAGCUGGAAGAUACUAAGAAUAAUGCUAAGGGGUUCAUGUCGUUCCAAUUUGACCAUAAUAGUUUCUUUAGGAACGAGCUUAAAGAACAAAGGUUUAUGCUUGAAUAUAUGAAUAAAGAACUUGAUGAUAUGGCCAAGCAAUUUUGUGGUUUUAAAUUUCAGUUUGCUCACCUCGAAAAUUUAGUAUGCCAAAUUUGUGAUAAACAAGCCACCUUAGUUAAUAAAAUGGCCGCCAAGCCAGAAUCUUUAAGCAUUGAUGAAGAACUUAAAGUGAUUGAUGUCAAACCUACUGAAUCUUUGUUUUCUAGUGUAAAUAUUCAAAAAGAUGGGACUCGAGAUGAAUCAACUUUAGUUAAAAGGCGUCCCAGUGAUUUGGAGUUUAUAAAUCUUAAUGCUAAGAUAGAUAAAAGUGGGAUUAAAGAGGUCAAAACUUUAAAUAGCAAUGAACCCACUCUUUUGGCUUUCAAGGACUUUAAUUAUGAUAGUUGUUCUUUGAUUGAUUGUGUUUCCUUGUUGCAAUCCAUGUUGAAUUGUCGGCAUGCUUAUAAUCAAAAUAAAGCUUUUACUAAACAUAUUAUUGAUGCUAUGAUGAAAUCUUUUGAAGAAAAACUUGAGUUGGAGGUUUCUAUACCUAGAAAGCUUUAUGAUGAGUGGGAACCUACUAUUAAGAUUAAAAUUAAAGAUUAUGAGUGCCAUGAUUUGUGUGAUUUGGGUGCUAGUGUUUCUACGAUUCCGUGAAUUUGAUGAUUGCUCCUUACAUUUGCAUCUAGCAGAUUCUACAAUUAAGAAACCUACGGGAAGGAUUAAUGUUUUUCUUAUUGUUUCAAAUAGGAAUUAUGUGCCCGUCGAUUUCAUCGUUCUUGAUAUAGAUUGCAAUCCUACAUGUCCUAUUAUUCUUCGUAGACCUUUUCCUUAGAAUGAUUGGUGCAAUUAUUGAUAUGAAAGAAGGAAAUAUUAGAUUCCAAUUUCCAUUAACGAAAGGAUGGAGCACUUUCCUACAAAGAAAAUAAGAUUACCUUAUGAAUCUAUUAUGAGGGCUACUUAUGGAUUGCAUACCAAAGAUGACAAUACCUAUAUCUAUUGCAUUAUGCAUAGCUAGGGGCGUUAAACAAUAGCGCUUGUUGGGAGGCAACCCAAUUUUAUUUUUAUGCUUUUGUUUUUGCUUAUGUUUUUGAGUGCUGCACACAUUAUUACCUGUGUAAUAAUUGUGUUUUCUUGUUUUAGUUAGUGUUUGAGCCAAGUAAGACCUUUGGGAUGGUCUACAGUGUUUCAAGUUGAUUUUGCUGAAAAACAUAAACUUUUGCUCUCAGUCCAGGAAUUUUGUAAAUUCACUAAAAUGUGCUUUUGAUCUGAAUUUUUUACACAAGAUUCAUUUACAAAUUUCCUAGAGUUUAAUAAUUAUUCAGAAUUCGUGGAGUUACAGAAGUAUUCGAAGUAAACAGAUUGCUACAGAAUGUUCUAUUUUUGACAGAUUCUGUUUUCUUUGUGUUGUUUGCUUAUUUUGAUGAAUCUAUGGGUUGUAUGGGGGGGUCUGAACCAUGAAGAAGUUAGAAUACAAUAAAUAUUACAUCAAUAUAAAUAAAGAAUGAGUUCACAACAGUACCUAAAUUGGUGAUUUAUCACUAGUAGGAGAAAGGCUACCAGUAGCGCUGGUUUGUCUCUUACUAGUAGCGAUGGUGCCCGUGCUACUGCAAUCGCGAUACAGCUAAUCUGUUAGCAGUAGUGCUAUUUUAUCCAACGCUACUGGUAUACACUAAUAUUCCAACGCUACUGCUAAUGUUACUGCUUUCAAUAUUUAAUUCUCGUCGUAUCAGCAACGCCAUUAUACAGGUUUUCAUACAGUGUCAUCAUAAUACAUCAUUGUCAUAUAACAACUCAUCAUCAUCAUUUUCGUCCAUGAUACAUCAUUUUUGUCCAUGAUACAUCACUAAUUGUUCUUAAUACCUAGGACCUACCCCUGCUGCUCUCUCUUAGGUAAAAUGGCAUAAAACAUGUGUAGAUGCACUCAUGUGCAAUACAGGAUAUCUUGGUCGUAAGCUAACCAUUGUAAUGCAACCUGUAGACUCGAUCCAACGAGGCACAACAGUCAUCGGGAGUCCCUAUUCAAUACAUAGAUAUAACAUACAUAGUAAUGGAGUUUAGCUUAAAAAAUAAUGUAUGCAAAAGAUGCACACAGGACAAAUAGUAAAUAUCUUACCAUCUUUCCUAAAUAGAUGUGGCCGUAGUUCAAUACGCACACUAGUAUCGCACGUUUUGAGUACUAAUAUCUUGAAGUCUAGGAAAAUAACCUGUCUUGACAGUAUCAUGGAUCCUCAAGCUAUGAAACAUAAUGACCUAUCUCCUCGCAGUUUUGUUCAGCCCCGGGACAGUAGUAGGUGAUGUCUACCAAGCGUUGGACAUGUUUGCUUGAAUGAAAAUAAGUUGUCAAUAGAAAUUAGUUGUCAACUAUAUUUAAAUAAAUAAUAUAAAUUACUUAAUAAAUAUGGUUGAGGAACUAUUACUCAAUAUGCAACGGGUUGACUUUAGGUCUGUCGAGUCUUCCUUCUUAAGCUCUUAUCUUACGUAUAUGGUGGAGAGUCCCUCACCGAUUUUUCGACCGUCGAUGAUGGUCGCUACUCCUACUUCCCCUAGUGCAUAAUAAAUAUCAAGCACAAGGAGAAGAAGGAGAAGCGAUCCCAUGAAAACAAUCGGCAUUCUUCUUCUCUCAUAUAUGGUGGACACUCCCUCACUGGUUUUUCGACCGUCGAUGAUGGUUGCUACUUCUUCUUCCCCUUAUGGCCCCUCUACGUAUUUGUGCAUGCCCUAAAUAAUAGUUUCACUUUAUUAUAAUAAACAUGCUCAUCAUAGCGUAUGCAUAAAGUAUCAUGUCAUAUAACUCAUCAUCAUCUUACGUACUCAUCUAACAACUCAUCAAACGACGCUUCAACCUCAUCUGCGACAAUAUCGAAGGAGAGGACGUAAAUAUUUGCAAAGUGCACAUGGAUUUGAAUAUUGCAGAUCCGCUGAUUAACCUCUUCCACGAGCGAAGCAUGAUCAACAGCAGAACUGUACGGGUGUUUGAUUCAUUACAAUGUAAAUCACAUAACGAUGUGAGACUAAAUUAUUGACUCUAGUGCAAGUGGGAGACUGUUGUAAAUAUGCCCUAGAGGCAAUAAUAAAGUAGUUAUUAUUAUAUUUCCUAUUUCAAGAUAAUCAUUUAUUAUCCAUGCUAUAAUUGUAUUGAAUGGAAACAUAAAUGCAUGUGUGGAUAUAUAGACAAAACUAUGUCCCUAGUGAGCCUCUAGUUAACUAGCCUGUUGAUCAAGGAUGGUUAAGGUUUCCUAACUAUAGAGAAGUGUUGUCGCUUGAUGACGGGAUCACGUCAUUGGGAAAAUGAUGUGAUGGACAAGACCCAAACUAUAAACAUAACAUGUGAUCGUGUCAUUUUGUUGCUAUUGUUUUUUGCAUGUCAAGUAUUCAUUCCUAUGACCAUGAGAUCAUGUAACUCACUGACACCGAAGCAAUGCCUUGUGUGUAUCAAACAUCGCAACGUUACUGGGUGACUAUAAAGGUACUCUACAGGCAUCUCCGAAGGUGUCCGUUGAGUUAGCAUGGAUCAAGAUUGUGAUUUGUCACUCCAUGUACGGAGAGGUAUCUCGGGGCCCACUCGGUAAUACAAAUCACAUACAAGCCUUGCAAGCAAUGUGACUAAAGAGUUAGUCACGGGAUCUUGUAUUACGGAACGAGUAAAGAGNNCUGCCGGUAACGAGGUUGAAAUAGGUAUAGAGAUACCGACGAUCAAAUCUCGGGCAAGUAACAUACCGAAGGACAAAGGGAAUGGUAUACGGGAUUAUAUGAAUCCUUGGCAUAGAGGUUCAACCGAUAAGAUCUUCGUAGAAUAUGUAGGAUCCAAUAUGGACAUCCAGGUCCCGCUAUUGGAUAUUGACCGGGGAGUGUCUCAGGUCAUGUCUGCAUAGUUCUCGAACCCGCAGGGUUUGCACACUUAAGGUUCGGUGACAUUUCGGUAUAGUUGAGUUAUAGGUGCUGGUGACCGAAGUUUUGUUCGGAGUCCCGGAUGAGAUCCCAGAUGUCACGAGGGUUUUCAAAAUGGUCCGGAAAUGAAGAUUGAUAUAUAGGAAGUUCGUAUUUGGAUUCCGGAAGAAUUUCAGGCAUUGCCGGCAGUGUACCGGGAGUGACGAACGUGUACCGGGGGCCCACCAGGUGGGCCCACCAUGCCCCAAGCGGUCCACAUGGGUUUAUUGGAUGCGCAAUAAGUCAUAAUGGGCUGACAAGUUAUCCAAGAAAAGCCCAUGAGGAAAAAAGUGAAAAAUCCAAAAGAGGUGGGAAAUUUAGGAAGGAGUCCUAAUCCAAUUGGGAUUGGAGGAGGACUCCUCCCUCCUCCACUUCGGCCAAAGCCAAGGAGGCUCCCUUGGGCCUCAAGGCUAGCCCCUCCCCUCCUCCUAUAUAUACUAGAGGUUUUAGGGUUUUUGAGACACAACUUUGCCACGUGCAACCCUAAACCUCUACUUCGUAGUUCUUCCUCUAGAUCGGAUUUCUCCGGUGCUUAGGCGAAACCCUGCAUGAAUAGAUCACCACCACCACCGGCGUGCCGUCACGCUGCCGGAGAACUCAUCUACUUACCCGUCUCUCUUGCUGGAUCAAGAAGGCGGAGAUCAUCAUCGAGCUGUACGUGUGCUGAACGCGGAGGUGUCGUCCAUUCGGUACUAGAUCGGGACGGAUCGUGGGACGGCGACGAUUUGGAUCGCGAAGCCGUGUUUCUUAUUGCUUCCUGCUUAGCGAUCUACAAGGGUAUGUAGAUCCAAUCUCCCUCUCGUAGAUGAUCAUCACCAUGAUAGGUCUUCGUGUGCGUAGGAAUUUUUUUGUUUUCCAUGCAAUGUUCCCCAACAGCGCCCGCCAUUCAUGGUCCAAGCUUGGCUAAGGGUUUCGAUUACUCUCGACACGAAAAAUGAGGAGGAAUUGUUAAUCUUGGAAAAGGGUAAUAUGUUGUGAUUGUUUCCUAUAUAAUUUUGCUUAUUUCUGCUUUCCUAUGCUUAUUAUAUGUUUAUCUCAUUCUUUUUCAGAACUCAUUGAAGAGUUUGGUAGUACAAAUUCAUCUAAGUCAAAGGCAAGCAGUAGCAAGUCUGUUUGCAAGCCAUCUUGUCCACUUCCAUCCUCCACUUAACGUUGGUGAGUGAGUUGCAAGUAAUUGUUUUGCUCUUGUUCAUGUUUUUUCGUUAUGUAUGAUUCAAAAGAAUGAAAGAUGCACACUAUACAGAUUCCGUUUUACAUAUAUGAAGUUCUUUUAAUUGAUUCAUGUAUACUAUACAGAACAUCACAGAUUUGCACAUGACCUGGCUGGCAGGAACUUGGGAGUUGGGAAGUUGGGAUGGUCAUGAUUCUUCGGACAAGUCAAGAUGUUCCUGUUCAUGAUGGCAAAAAGAGUCUUAUUUGUGGCUGCUCUUGAAGUGCACUUCAAUCUCCUGUGCGCUAUGUCUUAAAGUGUAAUAAUAUGAACAUGUCAGGUUGUGUUUGCUAGAACUUGGACUUUGGUGAAGUGUUGUGCUGGUACAUGGACUUUGAUUAUUAUUGAACUAUGUGUUGGUGCUGACUAUUAUUGGACUGCUAAGACUAUUAUUAUAUUGUAAGAUUGUCACUUAUUUGUUGUGGAUUUUGGAAGUUGAUUGGUUAUGCAUUUUGUGAGAUUAUCACUUAUUUGUUGUUACGAAAUCCUUCUAUAUGAUAUUAUGUGAAAAUUGACAAGUUGUGAAUAUGUUCUAUAUUGUGCCAUUUUUACAAUUUUGCGUCGUUAUGCUGUCAAAAUUUUCUUUAAAGCAUGCAUACUAAUAUGUUCUGGAAAGUGCAUUUUCUAAACCUAAACCAUACUUCGGUGAAAACCGAAAACCGAACCGAAUUCGGUUCGUUAAAUUUUGACUCUACAUUUGGUUUCCACUUUUGCAAACCGAAUUCACAAAUAAACCGAACAGCAGAAACCGAAAUUUCAGGUUCUACCGAAUGCCCAGGCCUACCCGCGCCUGUCCGCAAAAACGUUUUUCCACGAACCUUAAACGAAUUUUGUGGGUCAACGAUAUACGGGUCUGCUAGAGAUGCUCUAGCUGAUCAACUCCCAUCGACUUCAAAUCAUCCAUCCCCAGAUGACCCUGAAUAUUAGACCUAGCUGAACUUUUUGCCUCAGCAUGCAUAAAAUCCCAAUUGUUUUUAAGAUGGCAAACACAAUUUUACGUCGGUCCUGAUGGGCCGCCGUGCGACAAUUUCUUUGACAGGUUCCUUCAUGACAUGGUACUGUAUAUAUCGUUAAUUCGGCGAGAUCCUGGUGCAUCAAUGAAUUUCUAGGAGAGUGGUUCCUACAGUGAGUUGCUUUUAUAUUAUUUUAUGAACCGACGGGUGAGUUACUCAGACAUGGUUUGCAGCAAGUCCAUGAUUGAGAAAUGCUCACUGAUUCUUUGGUAGAGGGAUUAUGUUAAACUAUCGGGUAGUCCCAGUGUACUACAUGGCCGUCAGAUAUAGCUUGGUUUUCUAAAUAUAGUCUUAUAGAAAGAUCUGCAGGUUAUGAUGUAAUAUAGGAUUUCGUUUUUUCUUCUUCUAAUAAUGGGCUUCGAUCUUAGUGGCUUUCCUCCACUCGGGUUUAUCAGGCCACCUUGUAUUUUGACUCAAAGUUUGACUAUAAAUUAUGUAAAUGACAUCUAAUGAAAAUUAUAUUCUUGGGUUUGUAUUCAAAAGUAGUUUUCAAUGAUGCUAUUUUCGUUAGUGUUUUGUUACAUAUAUAAUUUGUAUUUUGUUUCGCAAUUGUAUGAUUAAACUUCGGUUCAAAAUGUAAGGUGGGCAAUAAACCUGGACGAAGGGAAUAUGUACUAUGUGAAUGUCCAUUUGUUAACAAAGUACAGACGCAAGCGCUCACAUACACACGCAUACACUCAUCUCUAUGAACGCACACACGCACACUGUACCAUUAUGAGCACCUUCAAAAGACUCAGACGACAUAUUAUCUUAAGAUUUUACUGUCCCUCUAACCAUCCAACCACAUGUUGAUUUACGUGAAUGUUCAUUUUUUUAAUCUUUGAAGAUGGUAUAUGCUCUGACAUCGAUCCGUUUUGUACUUCAUUUGUUAAUUAAUAAUUAAUAAUGACGUCGAUGUGGUGGUGAUACUUUGAUCUCUAAUCAGAAGAUUCGUUUAAGUUGAUGGCAUCGAUUUGUGGAGCGUGAUUGCCGCUACAGGCCUGUGAACCGGAUUCGUAUUUUUUUGAUACCCUUUAAUGAACCUGAGCAGUCCAUUCUCCUUAAUCUAAUGGUGUAGAUCCAUGUAUAGUGUUUAGAUUAACGAGCAGUGCACAAAUGAGAGGUGUCAAAAUCGUUCGCAGUAUACCAAUCUGCAAGGGCAAAAUUGUCAGACAAGACUAGUCCACGUUGGACCAAAUUAACAUUUAAUUUACUUAAUUUGGGCCGCAAUUUCAUUUUUCAUCAGAAGAAAGAGACCUUGCUUUGAAUGCUACACUAGCAUCCCUAGACCAUAAUUGGACAAAAGACGUAAUUUCCUCCAUUUAGAUGGUGUCGCACGCGAGCGCUCGAACAUCCAGUGUAAUUGAUGUUUCAUGUCAAGCUGCGGAGGGCGCCAUAGUCCCGGCGAACACGAAUCAUCUCACGUCACUGAACGGUGCAGAGGCAGAGAAUCAAUCUUCCUUUAUGGUUACGAGAGAAGUUAGAACCAUUGACCUAAUUACCCUUUAAACAAGUCCAUAAUACUUUAAAAAUCAAUGGUUAGAUGAGGCUUAUACUGCUCCUCUCCAAUAGCAGUAUACGGUACCGUAAAAAAGCACUUUUUUCACGUGUGCAAGUUGUUAGUACCCCGCAAGGGCUACUGUGCCGGAUUUUUUCACGAUUUUGAUUCAUGAGAUGAAAGUAUUGCACGAAAUGAACUCUGAUUGAAAUCAUUUCACGAUCUGACCUUUUUUGAAACGCCAGAGCGCGUGGCGUUGCAGACGCACAUAGAAACGCCAGUCUAAUGUGGCGUUGCAGACCCACUCAAACGCCAGUCUAAUGUGGCGUUGCAGGCCACGCGUGAAACGCCAUGGUCCAUGGCGUUUCAGCACUACACAUGUUGCUGGCAGCAUGCCGUGGGUUGGCUGGAUGUCGUCGCUGCGUUCCAUAGUGGGUCUGCAAAGCCAGCACUGUUGGCGUUUCACAAUGGGCCUGCAACGCCACAUUAGACUGGCGUUGCAAGAAAGAAAAAACGCCACGGUAGACAGGCGUGUCACUGUUGGGCAGCAACGCCAGCACUAUUGGCGUUUCACAGUGGGUCCGCAACGCCACUUUAGACUGGCAUUGCAAAAAAGAAAAAACGCCACGAUAGACAGGCGUGUCACUGUAGGACAGCAACGCCAUGGUAGACAGGCGUUGCAUAAUGGGGCACCAACGCCACGGCUUGUGACGUUUUUAAAAGGGUCAAAUCGUGAAAUGCUUUCAAAUCUGGUUCAUUUUGUGCUCAUGUUUAGAAAAAAAAGUUUAAAACAUUGAAAAAAUCCUACUGUGCCUGGACCGUGCAUGCAACAACAAAUAAAGUAAGGGCUACUGCCUAGGGGUAGCCAAUUAGUUUUCCCUUUGGAAUAACCGUCUGUUUAUUGGCUCAAUAACAUUUCUAGGAAUACUGAAACAAUCAGAAGGACAGUAACAUGACGCUGGUGCUUGCAUUUUUCUGAACUUAGUUCAUGUCUUUCAGUGAUGUGAUUUCAGUGAUAGGAGACAUUUCCGUUAACUAUGAUUGUGUCUGUGACGUCUUCACCAAUUUCAAGAUAAUAUGUUGUCUCGGUUUAUCAAAGAUGCUCAUAGGUUUGCGCAUCAAUUGUACUCUGUUAAAAAAGAAAUUACGCGUGGAUCACGCAUGUGAAUAGUUAAAUCCGGCUGAUUAAGCAGAUCGAUUUCUAGGGUAAUUUAAUAACGUAUGACCUGCUGGUGGUACUUUGAUCUUGUGGAUCUCCCUGUCAAUGAAAUUAUGUGCAUCUUAUUAUGUAACUGAUCAGGGUGGAUCAGACGUGCUUUAUCAAUACUCCUUUUUAGUAGAGAUGUCAUUGCACCGCAUACUCCAGUUGUGCGUGUGUCAGAAGAUUCGGCAAUAUUUGGAGAUGUUAUUAAUAAAGGUGUUAACUAAAUAAUGGCGUCGACGUGUUCGUGUCAGAAGAUUUGGUAAUAUUUGGAGAUGUUAUUAAUAAGGGAAACGCUGUCGUCCCACCGACGGAUCCUGAUUUCGCGUCCACCGUCUCCUUUGUUCGCCACGUGGCCGGGCGGACGAGCCGUGACGGGUCGAAGCCACUGAUCGAGGGAAGGUGCCCUUCCCAUAGAGCUCUAAAAUUGGAAAAAAGUCAAAAAAAUUUCAAUUUUUUCGUUUCCUGAAACAACUCCAUUGUUUCUGCAACUUGGAAGUAGUUGCAGAACGAGAGACCCAUGCAUGGCAACGACGGCUUCCACGGAAAGAGCUCGCCGGCCGCCCCGCCGCCGGCCGCCUCGCCGCCUAGAGCUCGCCGGCCGCCCCGCCGGCCGCCCCGUCGCCUAGAGCUCGCCGGCCGCCCCGCCGUCCGCCCCGCCGCCUAGGUAGUGGUUCUGCAACUUGAGCUUUGUUGCAAAUUUUCUUGAAACAUGACCCUUGUUGCAAAAAAUUCUCCCGCAAAAACGAAGAAAAAAAUCCUGCAACAAGCAAUUGUUUCUGAAACUCGACCGUUGUUUCAGGAAUUAACAGAUCCAAAGUUUAUUUUUUACAACAAAGCGAUUGUUUCUGCAACUCAAACGUCGUUUCAGAAAUUAAAUCAGGAGCGGAUAGGACGGCUAUGGACGAGAUCGAACGGCUGUGGAGGUGAUGGAUUUUUAGUAAAUAUCCACCAGUGGAUUGGUAGCAGCCCCCUAUUAAUAAAGGUGUUAACUAAAUAAUGGCGUCGACGUGUUCAUGUCAGAAGAUUUGGUAAUAUUUGGAGACUUGCCUUACGUUUUUAAUACUAUUUUUCUUGCCAAAUCUUUUACCACCGGGAGGAGAUGAUUGCCAGACUACACAUGACGGCACUCGAACAAUGCUGGGGUAAAACCAUGUGCUUCGUAUCCGGCUGAUUGAUCAGAUCGAUCUGCAGGGUUAAUUAAUGACGUUUGACGUGCCUUUUUAGAAGAGAUGGCAUCGAUUUGUACAGAGUGAUUGCGCCGCAUGCCCCAUUUGUGCGUGUGUCAGAAGAUUUGGUACACCAUUUGUUCGCUAAAUAGUGGCGUCGACGUGUUCGUGAUAUCUUGAUCUUCCAUACAUGUUUUUUUUUAAAGGAGGAUUACCUCCGGCCUCUGCAUCAGCACGAUGCAAACGGCCACUUUAUUAAUAAUAAGGCAAAUAAAUUGCGGUUCAAUAUAGUCUCCGACAAAAUAAAUCAAAAUGAAAGGUAAAUAUAAAAGUGCCACAACCGGUAAAAUAGGCCUAGAUGUCUACUCAUCUAUCUUAUUACUAGACUGCCAUCCAAACCGGUUGAAAAUAUCCCGCGCUACCGCCUCCCAUCGGGUAGACCCAGUAAUCAAAGGCUCCCUGGUUUUCGCAGGAGUGAGUAAUGACCAUGUAUGAAUCAAUGCCGCAUCUCUGUGUAGUACCUGCAAAAAAUGUAUGUUUGUAUGUCUGUCAAAAACCACAUCAUUUCUACAGUUCCAUAUGGCCUAAAAUAGUGCACAAACUCCAAUACGAAUGUGUCUAGCUAUAAUCUCAUCGACUCCAUCUAGCCACGUUCCAAAUAACAUGUCAAUACUGUCGGAGGUAUAAUAUUAAAAGCUAUACGAACCGUGUGCCAAAAAACUCUUACAAGUGGACAGUGAAGAAAGAGGUGUGAGAUGUUUUUCUCCUUAUCACAGAAGCACACCGAGUACUACCGAUCUCCCAUACAUGUGUCGAUGAGAUUUCCCUUACGUUUUUUAUGCUAUUUUUUUCUUGCCAAAUAUUUUGUCAGAAGAUUUGUAUCAGUAGAUGACACAGAUUUGUGCAACGUAAUUGCCGGUACAGAUCUGUCGAUUGGGAUUCGUAUCUUUUCCUCACGUGUGCAUGCUGUUGCGCCACAAGGGCUGCUGACAGCCAAUUAGUUUUCCUUUUGGGAUAGCCUACUCGAAUUUCAGGAUACUAAUAAGGCUGGUUGUAAUGAACAGUAUCAUAUAUUAGUAUCAUGCAUAUGAUAAUAGUGUAUGAUACCACAUCCGUAAUGUAUACUAUCAUAUGUUAGUAUUAUAGAUAAUUCAUUUAUUAUCAUGCAAGACACAUAUUAUCACAUCAUUUAAUAUGAUACGGUAUCAUAAUAUGGUAAUUAACCAUCUCUUUUUUUAUUUAAUUUUUUUUUAAAAGGAGGAACUUAGCCCCCGGCCUUUGCAUUAAUCGAUGCAUGCAGCCAUUUUAUUAAAAUAGGUUCAUAACAAAGUCUGAGAUCCACAAGUCUUUGAAGCAUAAUAAUGAAAACAAAGGUAAAAUGAAAAACAAACUCCCAUAGCCGGCGUAAUUACAAGUAGACUACGAUGCCUAUACAUCUAGUCUAUUAUUAGCACGUCAUCCAAAUCGGUUGAAGAUAGCCCGUGCGACCGUCUCGCAUCGGUUGCACCCAAUAUCCAUAAGAUCCCUGGAGUCCGCAUGACUGAGUAACGAGCACGUACGGAUCCAAGACGUUGCUCUGAAGAUAAUCUGUAAAAAGUUAUUGAAGUUCUUUCCAUUAAAAAUCAUAUCAUUCCUGGUGUUUCAUAUAGCCCAAAAUAAAGCACAGACCCCAAUUCUGAUAAUUUUUGAUAUUUGAACGUCCACUCCAUUGAGCCAUGUUGUAAAUAACGAACGAAUGCAUAAAGGAGGGGGAAUAUUAAAGGCUAUAUGAACAGUGCGACAUAACAGUUUUGCAAGAUUUCAGUCUAGAAAUAAGUGUCUUAUUGUUUCAUUGUUAUGACAAUAACAACAAUUAGGUCUCCCUCUCUAUCUUCUUUUUAUCAAGUUAUCUUUGGUUAAUACCACCCCUUUGUGUAUGAACCAUAUAAUUUUUUUAAUCCCGAGAGGCAUUUUGAUAUUCGAAAUAUGCACCGAUCUAGGUAGUGUUCCAGUGUUAAUGAGAUGCGUGUACAUGGACUUUACAAAGAAUACACAAUUCGCAGCUAAAGUCCAUCGAACACUAUCCGCCUGGUCAGAUAACUGUAUGGGCAUCAGUUUGCUGACCAGAUUUAACCAUUCAUUCCAGCGUUUUCCCAACAAAGCUCGCCUCAACUGUAUAUUAAGAGGUACCGAUUGUAGUACCGUGAACACAUAGGCAUGUUAACAUUGUGCAAUAUCAUAAAGCCUUGGAUAUUGUAGUGCUAAAGGCGUGUCCCCAAGCCAAAUAUCUUCCCAAAAUCUUGUUGAGGUACCAUCUCCACCCACAAAUUUGACCUCCUGAAAAAAAUCACCUUUAUCUUCAUUAACCCUUUGCAGAAAGGUGAGUCAUUUGGUCUAGAUGUAACCUGUGCUACAGUCUUGGAAUAUAAGUACUUAUUCCUUAAUAUUGAAACCCACAUCCCCUCGGUCUAUGUGGAUAUCCCGUAUAGCCAUUUGCUAAGUAGGCAUAUGUUCUUUAAUUCCAGAAUUUCUAUUCCUAAACCCCCUUGAUCCUUUGGUCUACAUAUAAUAUCCCAACGUGUCAAUUUGUAUUUCUUCUUAGCCUCAUCACUUUACCAGAAGAAACGAGAUCUGUAGAAAUCUAAUCUUUUUCAUACCCUACUGGGAAAGGAAGUAGGAACAUAGGUAGGCUUGUUAGUACCCCGCAAGGGUUACUGUUUAUUGGCUCAAUAACAUUUCUAGGAAUACUGAAACCAUCAAUUUCUUGAAUUUUCUUGAAUAUAACAUUGUCUAGUAACAUGACGCUGGUGCUUGCAAUUUCUUGAAUUUAUUUCAUGUCUUUCGAUGAUGUGUCUUCAGUGUGGUAGGAAGUUUUUCCAUUGAUUAUGAUUGUGUUUGUGACAUCUUCGUCAAUUUCAAGAUAAUAUGCUGCCUCAGUUUAUCGAAGAUGCUCAUAGGUUUGCGCAUCAAUUGUACUCUGGUAAAAAAGAAAUUACGCGUGGAUCACGCAUGUGAAUAGUUAAAUCCGGCUGAUUAAGCAGAUCAAUUUGCAGGGUUAUUUAAUAACGUAUGACGUGCUGGUGGUACUUUGGUCUUGUGGAUCUCCAUGUCAAUGAAAUUAUGUGCAUCUUAUUAUGUAACUGAUCAGGGUGGAUCAGACGUGCCUUUAUCAAUACUCCUUUUUAGUAGAGAUGUCAUUGCACCGCAUACUCCAUUUGUGCGCGUGUCAGAAGAUUUGGUAAUACUUGGAGAUGUUAUUAAUAAAGGUGUUAACUAAAUAAUGGCGUCGACGUGGUCGUGUCAGAAGAUUUGGUAAUAUUUGGAGACUUGCCUUACGGUUUUAAUACUAUGUUUUUUUAAAGAGAAGGAUGUUAAACCCCCGGCCUCUGCAUCAAUCGAUGCAUGCAGCCAUUUUAUUAAUUAUUUUACAAAGGUCUAACAAAAGUAUACAUCAAUCCACCCAAAGCCACCACUCACCUACAAACUCGAUAAUGUGGAGUGCUCUCACUCCACAUAUCUAAGACCGGUGUUGUUUCCAAUCCAUCCACAUAACGUAUCGGGAACAACAGCCGGUGCAGCACACCUAAAACGCACACCUCACGCACACGUUUUACCAGCCGCCAUCAUCCUCGAACCACUGAUCCAUCUUCAGGAAAGAGAUCCGCAUCAUCUUUGCCAGUCCAAUCAUCCGUCGACGCCACCACGGCGCCCAACGGCGCCACCGCCCUGCGCUGAUCCGUCCAUAUGCGAAGACUCCGGGGAGAUCUGUCGUGCGUAGCACCUGCCAACCAGGCAUGACUCGGCGUAGCACCCGUCGGCCAGGCAUGACUUGACAGCUCCACCGAAAUUCCGUGCAAGACGAAGCCGCUCCACCUCCUGCCUCAGUCUGCCAGCGCAGCUCCACAAACGAUGCUCCCAAGAGAGAAACGGCACCGCAGUACCGCCAUCGUCCGAUCUGGAAGACCAGAUCCUAACGUUUCCCCCGAAGCAGUGCCCACCACCAGCAACCGUUCAGGACCCACACAGUGCCCACCACCACUCAGCCCUCAAGGCGACGUCUUCAGGAAGGUCACGACGUCAAGGACGCCGCCGCUGCCCACCGGAGUUAGGGUUUUCACCCGAGAGGCAAGGAAGGGGAGCAGAGGUGCAGAUGUAUACCGAUGUCUCCAAAAAGAAUAACGGCGCCCUUGAGCGUCGUCGUCGGCGCGGCCGGCCUGGGCCAACCAAGGGGUUCCCCCAAUCCGAAUCUCCUCCUCCGGCUUCACCCAUAGGAAGGGCCCCGGUAACCACGCCGGCACCGCCAAGAAUCCACAGGAGAGAGGCCCACAGAUCAGGACCUGGGGGCGCAGGUGGCGGUGCGGGCAGUGCCCGAUGAAGGGGAACAGCACACCUCCACAACGACGCUUCCAAGAAAGAUAGCGGCACCCGCGGGCGUCGCCGUCGCGGCUCCGAUGAAACCAGAGCAAGGAUUUCUCCCGGAGCUGCACUCGAUAUCCAGCGUCACCGACCGCUGAGCAUGGCCGCCACGCACCAUCACGACCCCCAGCCAAGGCCACUGCACUGCGCGCCCUGGACACUGCUCAUGCCCAGCCGACCAGCGCAGCCGCGCCCGGCUGCCGCUCCCUACCACCAUGGCCGAGCGCCCCGCUAGAUCCGGCCAUGGAGCCCCGGAUCCGCCCUCCAUCGCCGCCGAUUGGCGAGAUCACACCGGAUCCCGCAACCGCCGCCGUCAGAGCCCGAAGGCCGACGCGAGGGGCCCCGCCGCCGCCAUCCCCGGGGCAGGCGCGGCUUCGCCGGCGUCCCCUCCGACAGCGGCGAAGCGGGAGGGAGGCGGAGAGGGGGUUCGGUGGCAGCGAUGCGUGUCUCUACGCGGAGAGGAUGCGCGUCGGCGACGUGCUCGCAAGGCGCCGGACUGGAGGAGCGCGGGCCGGGCAAAUCGGGAGCCGGGGCAGCGGCGUGGAACUGGUGAGAUGGGGUGGCGGCGGCUGGGUGAGAUCCAAACCUAUAUCUCUGGGAGUGCUUCCUGCUGCUUGAACAAUACUAUGUUUUCUUGCCUAAUCUUUUACCACGGGGAGGAGCGGCACUUGAACAAUGCUGGGAUAAAAUCAGCCAGACCAUGUGAUUCAUAUCCGGCUGAUUGAGCAGAUCGAACUGCAGGGUUAUUUAAUGACGUUUCACAUGCUGGUCGUACUUUGAUCAUGUUAUUAAGUACUACUAUUAGUAAGCCUUCUUAGAAGAGAUGGCAUCGAUUUGUACAGAGUGAUUGCGCCGCAUGCCCCAUUUGUGGGUGUGUCAGAAGAUUUGGUACACCAUUUGUUCGCUAAAUAGUGGCGUCGACGUGUUCGUGAUAUCUUGAUCUCCCAUACAUGUGUCGAUGAGACUUCCCUUACGUUUUUUAUCCUAUUUUUUUCUUGCCUAAUCUUUUGUCAGAAGAUUUGUAUCAGUAGAUGACACUGAUUUGUGCAACGUAAUUGCCGGUGCACGUCUGUCGAUUGGGAUUCGUAUCUCUUCUUCACGUGUGCUACUGACAGCCAACUCGAAUUUUCCUUUUCGAAUAGCCAACUCGAAUUCCACGAUACGAAGAACAUCUUCAACAGUAUGUAUAUUCAAUCAUUUGUAUAAGUGUCCACGUCAGCUGUCAACAGCACAUCAUUUAUGCUCUUUAAUGGAGUGUAUGUGAAUCGUAUGUAAAAUAACUAAACGAAUUCACUAAAUGUUGAAGAAAUAAACAUGCUUGCCUUGGAGCUUGUGCCUGAACCAUUGCUUCAAGUUCAUAAGAUUUCAUUCUCAUUCUUCUUUUAUUAUGUGUCAUGUCAUCAAAACUGUCUAUAUGAUAAUUUUACCAACAAUGGUCAUACAACUAUUGAAGAUGCCCUAAUAAGACAACCGGAAGGAGCUGAUUGCCGGACGUUGCGGCACUUAGACAAUGCUAUGGUAAAAUCAGCCAGACGGAUUCGAGGCAUAACGAAUGAAGCAAAGCAAGCAUGACUAUUAUGAACAACAACAACAACAAUAAUGUGCCCCAAAAAAAAUUAACACCGACCUGCCUAAAAGAUUUGCAACGUCCACCAAUUUCAAUCAUAAUGUGUCCGGUCGUAAGUGUUGAGUUCGUCAUUGUUUAGAUUAUAUAGGAUAGAACAACGGAAAUUGUUUUUGGAGGUCGAGCUCCAUAGAGGCCUCCAAAUGAAAAAUUCAAAUUUCACAAAAAAUUGUAAUUUUAUAUUUCAAAAAAUUCUAAGAAAAUACAUAGAUAGAUGAAGGUAUAAUGCAUAAUUGUGUAAAUUUUCAGAACUAAAUACGUUGAAAUGAGGCUUGUGCAAAAAAGACAAAUAUGAGACUUUUUAACACAUGAUACUAUUCAUCUUUUCAGACCAUAAAUUUGUCUUUUUUUAUACAGGCCGCGUUUUAAAGUAUUUCAACCUGAAAUUUUACACACAUACGACUCGCAUCCUUGCUUAGUUGUAUAUUUAUUUUCAGAUAUUUUUGACACCAGAUUUUCGAAUUUUGAAUUUUUUUUUUAAUUCGACGUCCAUGGAGGCCGAGUGCCAAAAUUCCAUUUGCAUAGAACAAAAUUUAUUUUACCUUCUCUCGUACCCAAAGAAUGUCAUGUAUCUCUAUAUAUACAUCCAUGAGGCUCAAGCAGUACAUCAUCAUCGAUUCCAUCAAUCCCCUCCUAAUCCCCUUACAUGGUAUCACACACAAGAGGUCUUGUGUUCAUGGCCAUGUCAAUGCAGUAUUAAAAACAAAAAGAUUCUGCGGCCUACAUCAAUCCCAUGUCUAAGGAAUAAAGUAGUCCAGACGUGAUGAGGAGUGUUGAAAUAUAUGCUCCGCCUCUCAUUGAAAUCAACAUGGUAUCAACAUUCGUAUUUUUAUUCACGUGAGCAAGUUGUUAGUACCCCUCAAGGGCUACUGUGUGGACCAUACAACAACAAAAGAAGUAGGGCCAAUUAGUUUUCCCUUUGGAAUAACCGACUGUUUAUUGGCUCGAUAACAUUUCUAGGGAUACUGAGACCACUGGGAGGAGCUGAUGUAGUUAUAUAUUUAAAACUUUAAUGUAAAACACAUAUCAUUUGUUUUAUCGUUGGAUGUAGUUAUAUAUUUUAUUUAAUUAUAAUGUAGAUAUAAAUAGUUUUUUCACAUUAACUUGUUCAAUAUUUAUAAAGUUUAAAUUUUUGAAAACUUAUACGCGCAACACUAUGAAACGGGUGGUGUAUAUUACGCUAGGAAUAAAAUUAUGGAACGGAAGGUGUAUAUUACUCGAGGAAAAUGUCACAACUCCAUUGUAAUUCUAUCUUUUAUAACUUUGGAUCCUAAUCUAUAAGUGCAAAUUCAAUAACGAACCAACAUGUAGUUGAUGGUUACAAGGACAGUAGUACCCCUGUCCACCAGAGAUCAAGUUCCAGACAUGACACUGGUGCUUAUGUUUUUUUGAAUUUAUUCCAAGUCUUUCGGUGAUGUGUCUUCAGUGGUAGGAGACGUUUUCGUAGACUACGUAUGUAUCUGUGUCGUCUUUGACAAUUUUAAGAUAAUAUGUCAGCUCACUUUAUUGGAGAUGCUCAUAGAUUUGCGCAUCUGUUAAAAAAGAAAUUAACGCGUGGUUCACGCAUGUAAAUAGUUAAAUCCGGCUGAUUAAGCAGAUUGAUUUGAUGGGUUAUUUAACAACGUAUGACCUGCUGGAGGUACUUUGAACUUGUGGAUCUCCCUGUCAAUAAAAUUGUGUUCAUCUUAUUAUCUAAUUGUCUAAUUGAUCAGCGUGGAUCAGAUGUGCCUUUAUUAAUACUCCUUUUUAGUAGAGAUGUCAUUGCGCGGCAUAAUCCUUUGGUGUGUGUGUCAGAAGAUUUGGUAAUUUUUUUUUUUUUAGGGGAAGAUUUGGUAAUAUUUGGUGAUGUUAAAAUAACGGUGUAAAUGAUCGGCUUUAUACCCCAUUUGGUAAGUAAAAAAUGGCGUCGACGUGUUCGUGAUAUUUUGAUGUCCCAUGCACUCGGUCGACGUGACUUGCCUUACGUACGUUUUUAAUACUAUUUUUUCUUGCCUAAUCUUUUACCACGAGACGGAGCUCAUGCAUGACGGCACUCAAACAAAGCUGGAAUAAAACAAGCCAGACCAUGUGCUUCAUGCAUAAUUCGAAGCAUAACUGACUGAAGCAAAGCAAGCAUGAUUCUUAUGAACGACAGCGACCUUAGAUGAGAAGUCGAAAAAAACGAUUUAUCUUCUUUUAAAUAAAAGAAGACAAGAUAUGAUCUCUUAGCACAGUAUGUCUCAUAAUAUUUUUUUAAAAUAACUAAUUAUAGAAGAUAAGGUUAAGAGAUGAUCCAUUAUAGACUUUCUUUUUCAUUAUCUUUAAAUUACAUUCAUCAUUUAAGAUAAGACUGUUUUAUCAACCAUUGUACAUGCCUAAGCAGUCACUAGCCGCUUUCUUUUUAUCUAAUCCUACGUCCAUUGCUAAAGAAACUGCUUUGCUGCAUUCCAUAGUUUUCAGAAGGAUUGAUUUAGUAAAGCUGUCCUUUUCAACUUUCGAUCUUAAUUACGCGUGGAUUACUCGUGGGAAUAGCUAGUUAAACCUGGCUGAUUGAGCAGAUCGAUCUGCAGGGUUAUUUAAUUAUGUUAGACAUGCUGGUCGUACUUUGAUCUUGUGGAUCUCCCUGUCAGUAAAAAUGUGUGCAUCUUACUAUUUAAUUGAUCACGUGGGUCAGACGUGCCCUUAUUAAUACUCAUUUUUGAAGCGUAAUCUUUUGUUAGCAGAUUCGUCUUAGAUAUGACAUUUGAGUUGUGCAGUGUCAUCGUGUGCCGCACAUUUCAUUUGUGCAAUGUGUCACAAGAUUUUGUACCAUUUGGAGAUGGUAUAUGCUCUGACAUUGAUCGGCGUCACACUCAUUUUGUUAAUUAAUAAUGGUGUCAACGUAGCUCUUUCACGGUGAUUGACGACUUGCAAUUUCGGGUAACUCCGCUUCUGAUUUUUUCCUAAUGAGAAUUCGUUUAACGGUUCAUUUUUGUGUAGAAAAGGUAGAGUAGUAAAUUAGCAGGUCAAUCCACUCACACAACAUGGUCAAUCCCCUCGCACAGCCUUCGUCGUUUUCAUUUUGUUAGCCUCCUUAAUCCCCUCUAACAGCCCCUGCCGUCAAUCCUCCCGUCGACCUUGCCGUCGCCGACGUCUCUUCCGUCGCUCGUGCCCUCGCCGUCGCCAACCCUCAUGCGCUGGAUGACGAGGCGGCGGCCUCCUUGACCUUCAUCGGGCUACCGAUGGCUCUUCUCUCCGCCUUCCUCGUGACGCCACGACUACAAAACCGGCUUCGCAUCCUCGCCCUAGCGGUCAUCCUCAACGAACUCCUCUGCCGCCAUCACCGCCGGGGUCAUCGGCUCCGCCACCUCGCCCUUGCAGCCAUCGUCGCCGACCCCCUCCGUCGUCACCAUCACCGGCGUCAUCGGUACCGCCUCCUAGCCCUAGCGGCCAUCCUCGCCGACUCCCAUCCGCCACCACCACCGCCGCGCGGGGUCAUCGCCUCCGACCUAUCCUUCCAUGCUGCUUUGAACAGAGGAGCCGACCCAGAUCUGUCGGGAAUGACAAUGAGGGUGUGAACACCACAUGUAUCAGACUUGACUGAGAUUGGAGAUGAAACGACGGAUUUGCCCUUUUAGAAGAUGACCAGCCCCACCUUAAUUUUGUAUGGUCCCAUCGUUAAUUGUACUUUCAUGUAAUUUUAGUCUCACAACUUCAUGUAGCGCUUAGAGUGGAUGGACUGUUCUUAAAGUCUCUAAUCACUGUAACAGUUGUAAUAAUAUUAUACAAGAAAGAGCGUGUACUGUGAUUUUAUCAUAAAUGCUGCAUCGUGUAUUUUGAGACAAAGUUUGACUGUAUGUUUUAUUUAUAGAAUAUGAGUUAUAUGUAACGAAAUUAAAUAGUUUGAUUCAUAUUUGAAAGAUGUUCUCAAUGAUACUAUUUGUCUUACAUAUAUUUUGUAUUUUCUUACGCAAAUCUAAGAUCAAACUUCGGCUCAAAAUGUAUGGUGGCCUAAUAAACCCGAAUCUCCGUCUGUAAAAUUGUGUGCAUCUUACUGUGUAAUCCAUCGGCGUGGAUCUAACGUGCCUUUAUUAAUACUCCUCUUUCUUGUGUAAACUUUUGUUAGAAGAUGGCAUCGAGUUGUGCAGUGUCAUCGUGCACCGCAUACUCCAUUUAUACUACUAUUUGAAGAUGGUAUAUGCUCUGACAUUCAUCGGCAUUAUACUCCAUUUGUUAAUUAAUAAUGGUGUCGACGUGGUGGUGAUAUUUUGAUCUAGUUGAUCUCCGAUGCAGUCGAUUGCCGAAACAUGCCUUACAUUCUUAAUACUCUUUUUUCCCGCGAACUAGAAGAUUCGUUUAAGUAGAUGGCAUCGAUUUGUGCAGCGUGAUUGCCGCAUGUGCAUGUUGUUACCCCGCAAGGCCAACAACAACAAAAAAGUAGGGGCUAAUAUUUAGGGAUACUGAGAGCAACUUUCACCGACUGACCCAAACGGACGGCGAUUUUAUCUGUUUUGUUCUAAAGGUCAUAGAAGAAGUCAUGAUCCAAGUAGUCAUGUGAAGUUGAUAUUCGUUCGAUAUUUUGAUGAUAUGAAUGUUAUUAUUUCCUUAAUGAUGUUAUGGAAACGUCGGCUACAUAACACUUCAUCAUCUUUGGGGCUAAGGAAAUGCAUUGUGCACUAGUUUUAUUAGCCUUCAGUGGUAAGGAGACGUUCCCGUUGACUAUGUAUGUGUCUCUGUCGUCUUUGUCAAUUUUAAGAUAAUAUGUCGGUUUCGUUUAUCGGAGAUGCUCAUAGAUUGGCGCAUCAAUUGUACUCGGCUAAAAAAGAAAUUACAUCGUGGAUCACGCAUGUGAAUAGUUAAAUUCAGCUGAUUAAGCAGAUCAUUUUGCAGGGUUAUUUAAUAACGUAUGACAUGCUGGAGCUACUUUGAUCUUGUGGGUCUCCCUGACAAUGAAAUUGUGUGCAUCUUAUUAUCUAAUUGAUCAGCGUGGAUCAGAUGUGCCUUUAUUAAUACUCCCUUUUAGUAGAGAUGUCAUUGCGUCGCAUAAUCCAUUUGGUAAUAUCUGGUGAUGUUAAAAUAACGGUGUAAACAAUCGGCUUUAUACCCCAUUUGUUAAGUAAAAAUGGCGACGACGUGUUCGUGAUAUUUUGAUCUACCAUGCACUCCAUCGACGAGCAUGAUUCUUAUGAACGAUACCGACCUUGCACGCAUAAAAAAUAUAGUACAGACAAUUUCCAUGAUGAUGCGAUAGUAGGCAAGUACUCCAUCACAAUUUAUAAGGCGUGCACGUGUACCUAGGUCAUUAGUUUAACUUAUAUAAAGUAUAUUUUUUAACAUAAAAAUUAUAUUAUUAGAAAAUAGAACAUUUAAAGUUUUUAAUGAUAUAUUUUUUAUAAUAUAUGUUUUUUAUUAAGUUGGUUAAAUUGACGACUUGGAUACACGUGUCGGACUUAUAAACUGAAACGGAGGAAGUAUGGUCCUUUUCAACUUUGGAUCCAAAUUUACAAGUGCACAUUUAGUUAAACCUUGCUGAUUGAGCAGAUCGAACUGCAGGGUAAUUUAAUGAUUUUAGACAUGCUGGUCGUAUUUUGAUCUUGUGGAUCUCCCUGUCAGUAAAAUUGUGUGCAUCUUAUUAUUUAAUUGAUCACGUGGAUCAGACGUGCCCUUUUUUUUCUUCUUUUUUUUAGGGUAGACGUGCCCUUAUGAAUACUCAUUUUUCAAGCGUAAUCUUUUGUCAGAAGAUUCGUCUUAGACAUGACAUUUGAGCUGUGCAGUGUCAUCGUGUGCCCCACGUUUCAUUUGUGCAAUGUGUCACAAGAUUUUGUACCAUUUGGAAAUGGUAUAUGCUCUGACAUUGAUCGGCGUUACACUCCAUUUGUUAUUUAAUAAUGGCAUCGACGUAGCUCUUUUACGAUUAUUGGCGAGCUACGAUGACUCCGCUUCUGUUUUUUCUAACCGUCGGAUUCAGGAAUCCAUUUAAAGGUUUAUUUUUGUGUAGAAAGGGUAUAGUAGUAAAUUAGCAGGUCAAUCCACUCGCACAACAUGGUCAAUCCCCUCGCACAUCCUUCGUCGUUGUCAUUUUGUUAGCCUCCUCAAUCCCAUCGAACAGUCCCUAUCAUCGAUCCUCCUCUCAACCGUGCCACCGGUGGCGUCCCUUUUGUAACUCAUGCCAUCACCGUCGCCGACCCUCGCGCUGCACAACGAGGCGGGGGCCUCGUUGACCUUUAUCAGAGCAUCGUUGGCUUUUCUCUCCGCCUCCCCCAUGACGUCAUGGCUACCGAACCGGCUCUGCCUCCUUGCCCCAGCGGCCAUCCUCGACGAACCCCUCCGCCACCACCAUCGUCGGGGUCAUCGGCUCCUUCACCUCGCCCUAGCGGCCAUCCUCGCUGACCCCCUCCGCCAUCACCACCGCUGGGGUCAUCGGCUCCGCCUCCUCGCCCAAGCGGCCAUCCUCGUCGACUCCCAUUCGCCACCACUGCCGUCACCGGGGUCAUUGCCUCGGACCUAUCCUUCCCUACUGCUUCGAGCAGAGGGUCGACCAGGAUCUAUCGGGGCUGACAAUGAGGGUGCAAACACCACGUGUAUCAGCCUUGACUAAGAUUGGAGGUGAAAUGACGGAUAUGUCCUUUUAGAACAUAACCAUGUAAAACAAUGUUUAGGUGAAAACUUCUCGACGCCCAAUACGGGUGUGACUAUCUCAUAUAUAUAAUGGGAAUACAAGAUACAGAAGUAUACACAGAAGCUUUGGAAACAUACAGUGGUUGCGCAUGCAUCCCUCAAACAGUGGUUGCGCCUCCAUCCCUCAAACUGCGGUUGUGGAAGUGGCUUCGUGAAGAUGUGAGCAAGUUGAUCCUUGAAAGAUAUGAACUUGAUAUGAAGAAGCUUGUGCACUACAAGAAAUAUGCUAACUUGCGACCUUCAAUAUUGGUCACCGAAUAGUCGUUGAUUUUCAUUUGUGACCUUUUUAUGACCAAAACGAGACGGUCAAAAGUUGAGCUUCUCUAAUGAACUAUAGCGACCUUUCUUCUGAAUUGGUCGUAGACAUUUACGACCAAACAAAAGGUAGUAAAUUAGAAUCAGCCCGAUCCAUUCCGGUCGUCUACAUGGGCCAAGCCCAAUAAUUCAGCCCAUUAAAUGUUUUUUCUCUUUAUUUUUCUUAGUUGCACGGGCCGGGCCCAAUAAUUUGGCCUUUUAUUUUCUGGGAUGGAGCCUUUUACUGAGCAAUUUUUUUAGUCCACUCUUAUUUUGGGCCACAACCUUUUUAGUCCAGUUCUUGUUUGGGCCUCAGCCUUUUAUUUUAAGAGAUGCAGCCUUUUAACUAUUUAUUUUUUUACAAUCAACUCUUCUUUUAGGCCCAAGCCUUUUUAGUCUAAUUCUUGUUUGGGCCUCGGCCUUUUGUAGUCCAACUAAGACUAGUGGGGACGGGGCCUAUAGUCCCGGCCCGUAAGGGGCUUUAGUCCCGGUUCACGAACCGGGACCAAAGGGGCGGCCCUGUUCCAAGCCGGGACAAAAGGUGCUCCACGUGGGCGCCUCGGAGCGCCCUCAGGGGCAGGCCCUUUAGUCCCGGGUCUUAACACAGACCGAGACUAAAGAGUUUCUGCAGAUUUUGUUUAUUUUAGGGUUUAGGUGUUCGAGAGAUUAACGUGAUGCCUCGUUUGGUGUUCGGGAAUUAGUUUUCAUAUAAUUCUAAAUAUACAUGUUUAUGCAUAUAUAUAUAAGAUUAACUUAUCUUACAAGCAAACAUAUAUAUACAAUUAUAUGGAGAUCUGAAUUAUCGGGACUAGAGCCCGUCUAUUCGAUUACAUGGACCAACAUCAGUAAUGGCCCCUGGCUACACUAAAUCGUCCUUUGUCAUCUAUAGCUUUCGUCCUCAGAAAGGUCGCAAGCUCCUCUGCAACAGCAAUCGCGCGUUGCUCUCGUAGGACCUUCUCCCUCAUGGUCGUGUACUAUAUAAGAAGAUGAGAUGAAUAUGAAUAUCAAUCAUGAUAACAAAGAAUGACGGGUAAAAAUAGAGGUGUGAAUGUUCAUUGCUUACGUCGUAUCUGUGAUCCUUGUGCUCAGAGGUAAACAUGCGAAUGGUCUCGCAAACAUAGUAUCCGCAUAGAUGCGUCCCCCGUGGCUGCUGGUCGCACUUUACGAGAAUAGAUUAUAUAUAAUCAAAAUAAUAAUCUAGCAUCAUAAAUGUAUUGAAAAUAGAAGUAUAUCAUACUACUACUUACCUGAGCCGCUCUAAAGGUCAGCUUCUCAUGCUCGAUACCGGGAGUCACGCACUUGAACCGCUUCCAAACCCUGCCUGACAAGGAAAAUGAUUUGCUAAGUUUUUCAUUAAUUGAUAUAUCAGAAAAUCAUCGGAAGAGACCGAUAGAGCGCAAGAAUGAUUGAAAUUAUCCUUGGAGCAUGUCCUGCAAGUUUUGGAACCGUUCCAAGGGUCUCGAUAAUGGGUCGAAGGCAUCAACUCUUCCCUUAUCAAUUUGAAUGUCCAACAUAAUCCAAUGGAAGAUGCACAUGUAUAUAUAUAUAUAUGUGUGUGUGUGUGUCAGUAACUUAUCAAUUACACUUAUAAGUGAAUGGACACGACAGAGUAAAGACCCUCACCUGAAGUUAUAUGGAAACAGUAUGUGGUCACAAAUUUUUUGAUCUGUUAGAGACCUUAGAAGUUUUUCCUCCGUCUCCUUGGGUUUAUCAGUUAGCGUCGCUAUAUGUAUUUUAUCUGGGUCAAUAAACCCAAUAUUUAGGAUGUUCCUACUUUUACAUUCCAGAAUCUUCAUUCUGCAUAAUAGAGUACAAGUUAUAUGUAGACAAUGAAUUGAAAUAACUAAACAAGUUAUAUGUAGACAACGAAUUGAAAAACUUACAGACAAUAGCAACUCAUAAGCGAUUUGUCGAGGGCGUCAGCAUUGUACAUCUGGAAGAGUUCAUCAAAGUCGAUAUGGAUUUCUUCGGGGCGGCCGUAGUACUCCUGUGGGACACGCGCCACGAUCAUCGUUCUCCCAUUCUUUGAUUCACUUAAGUACCAUGUAUGCAAGUAACACAUAUUUGUUGGGAGAUCAUCUUUGCUGACCAAAGGCGCUCCCAUGACAAACUGUGGCUUAGGGGCUACCACAACCUGGGGUAACCUGUUGUCUUGGGAAGCCAAAAACGUCUUCAACCGGGAUACCCCAUUCAUCCGCCCACUUCUUUGCUAAUUCCAAAUCUUGCCCCUGCACCAGAGGGGAACAUUCUCGGGUAACACCCUGAGGGGUGGGAUCGACUGUUUGGCCUGUUGUCCAAGCUGAGGAACGUCUAAUCUUUUUUUUGCUUGUAGUUGAACUUGAUUUCCUCCCACUUGCACUUGCACGUGAUCUGCUCUUUUUCCCUUCCUUCUGCAAUGUGCGUGUAUAGUCAUCAGGCUUAUGGUGUAAGUCAUACUGUGAUGGAAGGGUCGUGAAGUAUUUUGCAAAUGCUAUUUGCUUCUCGGUGUAUUCCGGGCGGGGCUCGGGUUCCUUCUUUUUCAUCUGCGCAUCAUGAUGUUCCUUUGCUAUCCUGGCGUUUUCCUCGGCGGUAUGAUCAUAAGGUCUGAUAGGAAUAUUAGCAUGAGGUACCUUUGGGAGGGGCGAUAGUUUGCGCUUUGGGGAGCUUCGUCGCUUAGAAAUCAUCGACGGAGCGUUCUUGCUGGCACGCUUCCGCUUAGUAUCCGGAGCGGGCGGCGGCGGAGACGGACGACCCAAGUCCGGCGGCGGUGAUUGAGAUGGACUCGUGUUGUGUUGUCCGUCGUCAUGUGGAGGGCUUGGAGGUGAUGGAGGUGUAGGUGACCUGCGAUGACUCGGAGGCGGUGUUGUCCUUGGGGCCGAGCGUGGAAGCUUGAUGUAGUUCUUGUCCCAUAGGAUGACUCCACCCAGUACUUCUCCGAGUGUCCUCUCAUCUUCAGGUCCAGCUAUUUCGAGCUCCAUAUCAUCAAACCCCGCCAUGAUUUCAUCCACCCCGACUUUAGCAAAGCCAGCUGGAAUCUCACGGCCAUGCCAUCGUGCAUCAGGGCCAGAAGGUAAAGCUUGUCCGACGGCCACCUUCAUGGAUAUGUUCUUGAAUUUCUGAUGGAGUUCACAUGAUGUUGACUCCUUGAUUCCAUCCACGGGGUAGCCGGGACCGCCCUCUAUCAUUCUUCGUGCAUCGUCGGGCGGGGCCUCAGAUUCAGCCACGCUGCUUUUCCGCUUAGAUGGGGCGCCGGUAAUAUCGAGUGCAGAAUCUUCCUGGCGCGCUACUCCUCUAAGCUCAUCAAUCUGCUUCUGUUGCUCGUUAAUCCUGGCAAGCAACUGGUUGAACUUGUCAUUCUCCUCAUCAUGUUGUCGCUUCUUUGCUCUCGCUCGACUUCUGUAAGUGUCUUGGUCUCUGGCAAAACCAAGCCACCACGAGUAAGAAGGACCGAAGACUCGCGUUCGUCCUCCAUAUUCUUCAUUGCCGAGGACCAGUGUGAGCAAAUCUUUCUCUCUAUCUGCAGUGAACUGUCUUUUUCCCUCCUUAAUUUCUUUCACUAUCUUUUUCCAAUUCUCCCUAGGUAUCCUAAGACCGUCACUGCAGAUGAGGUCCCCUGUUUCUUCGUCGUACGAACCACCAUGCGCAAGGAACCAAUUUCUUGCUCUCAAUUCCCACUCAUCACGGAGUGGUUCAAGUAUGAUGCCUUUAGCUAGCAGAUCUUGCUCUUUCUUAUCCCACUUUGGGAUGGCAGUCUCAUAGCCCCCUGGCCCCAGCGUGUGGUGAUAUUUCUUUUUGUCGGCAUUUUUCUUGUUCUUUUCUGAUAAUGCCUUGGCAUCUUCUGACUCCUUGUACUCUUGAAAUGCCUUCCAGUGAUUCGCGUGCUUGGCUAGAUACCCCUCGAAUACUAGCACUUUCUUUGUCUUCGGAUAGUUUUUCCAUAGCUUCUUCUUCCAGCUACGGAACAGUUCGGCCAUCUUCUUUAGAGUCCACUACUUGACUUUGGCCCUCAGUUUUUUUGCGGCGUCUUCAUUCUCACAUUCUGGCAGGUUGAAAUGUGACAUGAGAUCAUUCCAAAGAUUAUCUUUGUACCUUUCGGCGACAUAGUCACUAUCGGCUGCCCCUUUGCGCUUGUUCCACUCCCGAACGUUGAUCGGGACGUGAUCCCUAACGAGAACUCCGCGUUGCUUCUUGAAUGUGUCAGCAGCAUUCUUAGGAAGCUUGGGUUCGCCCGUAGGCAAUAUCACCUCGAAGGUGUAAUGCGUCCGUGCAUCCAACUUUUUAGUCGGGACUUCGUUUCGUAGCUUUGCUCGAUGUGGAGGCCUAAGAGGGAGAAACAUUCUUCAAAUGAAUGUAUAUGUAUACAAUAUAGAGCUAUCUCCAAUAUUUUUCACAUAUUACAAGUGAUUGUCGAACUUCAUAUGUAUACCUCGCCGGACUUUAUUAUUUCUCCACCGGCUUCUCCAUCAGUGGAGCUAUCACCUUCUCCGUCAUUGGACCUAUCUCCUGCCCCAUCGUCUUCAUCUUCGUGUCGGUCGACCUCCAUUCCAUAUCCGGAGGGGUUUAGAUAUGACGACGGAGAUUCAGCUGGUUCAACGUCGGGGCCGUCUUUGAUUAUAUCUUCAAGAAGUUCUUCCUCUUCGAGGUUCCUGAUAUGUGGAUCCAUAGUUCUGCAAAAAACGGACAUUUGAUUAACUAAUAAACUAACAAACUAUAUAACAGGGGUUGGAAACUUCGAAGUGUCGUUUUAUAUAGGAGGACCUUUAGUCCCGGGUCUUGGCUAGAACCUAAACUCUAAAAUAUGUCUAACGGAUUCUCUUAACCUUUAAGGAUUUAACAAAAUGGCGACAUUCUAGAUGUGUAGAAAAAGAUCCUAUUUUUCCUGAUCUCAUCUACCCUUCUAUAUGUCACAUUGUCUAGUGUCAAAGGACUUUGUUGAACUUUGUACCAAAAAAGAAUUAUUCUAUCAGGAACUCCGUUCCAAAACAACUUUAGUCCCGGUCGUAGCUCCACCCGGGACUCCUAGAUUUCUGCAUAGUAUUCAAAGUAGGAGUACUUUUUCCAAUUUGAGCAUUCAAUAAGCAAAACCAAAUCGUAAAAUAAAAUAGUAUUCAAAUUAGCAUGCAUUCAAUUAUAAGCAAAACUACAUCAUCUCUUGUGUCCGUACAUCGUCGAAUAUUAUCAGUAAUACUCCUCGAAUACUAUCAUACAUAUAGCAUCACUAAUACAGCUAGAACCGUAGCGCCCGACGGGUAUCGUCGCGGGCGGUGGACACAGGAUCAUAGCUCCAGUGAGAUCCCUGAAGAACCUGCCAGGUAUGCUCGAACCUGCCCUCCAACGCAACCAUGUAGCGACGGACGUGCUCAUCCUCCUCGCUGACACGGUGACGUACCACCUCCGCGGUGUCCGGAAGCCUCGGCACCGUCACUGGCCCACGCGACCGCCACAAAACAAGGAUCGGGUCAACAACGGGCUGGCUCCUCACCAACCUACGCCCCCCCGAAGGUAGCACCUCCCAAUACCAGCUGGGCGAAGCCCAGUCCCGGACAUGGCCCCUCUGAUCAAGCAGGUGUCCUCCGCCGAGUCGACGACGAGGAUGCGGGAUAGGCAUCGUAAAAUGAACUAAAAAAAUAAACUAGUUCUAUUAAUUUUCUUGCUAAAAAUAAACUAAUUUUAUAUAUAGUAAAAUAAAGUAGUUUUAUUAAANNNNNNNNNNNNNNNNNNNNNNNNNNNNNNNNNNNNNNNNNNNNNNNNNNNNNNNNNNNNNNNNNNNNNNNNNNNNNNNNNNNNNNNNNNNNNNNNNNNNGAAGACACUGACUAUCAUUGAUCAACUGGCUAGCCAACUAGAGGCAUGGUAGGGACGGUGUUUUGUCUAUGUAUCCACACAUGUAAAUGAGUCUUCAUUCAAUACAAUUAUAGCAUGGAUAAUAAACUAUUGUCUUGAUACAGGAAUUAUAAUAAUAACUAUACAUUUAUUAUUGCCUCUAGGGCAUAAUUCCAACAGUGGGCAUAUCUUUGAAAGCAAUGUAUCAAUGUAUGGGAUUGUGGGGUUUACUAUAGAAAUGUGGGACUGUGGCGAUGGCAGGGGGCCUUCGGCCUCGAUUCCUUCGGCUAGUAGACUGGGAGGAGCUCUACUGAUCUUCUAGACACGACAACAAGGCUUCAGGUGCCCGAUGGCCUCGUGGACGAGUUGCGUCAGACAUCGGUUACUCUCGGGGGUGCUUGGGAUCGAGCGAGAGAAGGGGGAGAAUAGCCAUUGGAGGAGGGGACUGAGAGAGGAGCUCGAGGCCGUCUCUCUCGCGAGGGAUGAGGAUGUGGAUGCUAGAAGGAGGUGGAAGCAGGAGGUGGAGCUCGCGGCGUGCACGGGCGACACGACGCCGUCCUCCUGGCAAAGGAGGAAAACGACCGGCCUCGACCCUCGGUGGGCUGGGCCGCCAGCUAUAGCAACAGGUAAGGCCCAGGUAAGGUUUUUUUUUUCUUAUUUCUGUUUUCUAUGUUUCUGUCAUUUGUGAUUUGAUUUAAAAAAAAUCAAAACAAUUUAUAAAAACAUAAAGUUUAUUAUGUGAUAUAAAUGGAAUUAUCCAGUGUCACACAUUAAAUUUCAGAAUAUAUGGAACUAUAUUUUAUAUAUAGAAAAUAUAAUUCCAUUUUAAAUAAUUGUUUGAUUAAUUCAAAAGUCCAAAAUAAAUGUUUCUGUAAUUCAAAAUAUUGGUUGACAUUUUUACAUCAUGCCAAUAUUUUAUCAGAAAACCAGGGACAUUUCCUUGGAUCAUUUUAAAGCAUUUUUUAUAUUGCUUAGUUUCCAAAAUUUUGAAUGAUGAGGCUUGAUCACUCCUCAUUUCAAAUUCAAAAGAAAAUAAAAAUGCAUGCAUGAAUGCUUUGCAAGCAAGGGUAAAGUUAGGGCUGUGACAAUUUGCCACUAGCUCAAUAGGUACUGGACUAGUUGACUACUUUGUAAACCAGAUUUCUGAAGCUUUCAUCUUCUUCUUGAAUUUUCUGGCAUGUUUUUGCAACUCCACUACCUCUGAUUCCUGCCCACGAUCAUCAGUAUGUGCCACAUAGUCAGGAUCCUCUGAAUCUUCAGGCUCUGAACAUUUUCUGCAAUUUCUGGAAUUGGAGCUAUAGUCUCGCUAGCAGCAAAUGGCUGACAAGGAUUGAUCACUUGAGAACCUUAAGAAAGAGAUUAAAUUCUGAUAUUGUGGUUUACAGGGCUACUUAUCACUUCAGUCACCACACCACCUUCAUUAGGAACCAGGAUAUGUUACAAAAUGUCUUGCUCUAGUACUGCGAUAACUUGUUGCACAUUACUUUGGACAAGAUCUUAUUCUUCUGCGGUGAUACCAUCAUCUGGUUCAUCUUCAUUGUUUAUCAUGCAGUUCAUCUUCAAAAUUUCAGCAACCCUCUAGCUCAUCUUGCUCACCGUUGUACUCUACAAAAAUAUCAGCUACCCAACAUCUCUAAUAUACUUUUGACAUCUUCAGGAAACCAUCAUCAGUAUAUAGAAACACUGAUCCAUUAACUAGAUCUCUCCCAGGUAUAAGAAAAUAUAGCUUUAUACUCUCUUUAAUAGUUAAAUAAUCAGCUAAACAUCAUUUUAGCUCUCGCAGUGACAACUUAUCGCUCUGAACCACUCACAUUGCAGUGUCUCCCGCAACAUAAUCAAGGAACGUGCUAGUAUGGACGAACACACCCCCAUAAUGAAACCUGACAUUCAACACCUCUGUUGGAUCCAUGAUUUGAAAGAACAAAAACUAUACUGCAAUACUUCCAUUCAGAAACAUACAUUCAGUAAGCACACUUCAAUUUCAGACAAUAUUUCCCAUUCAGAAACCGUUGAACAAGAAGGACGCACAUUCAAUACAGUAUUUAAUUUCAGAAAAUCAAAGCUACCACAGACCAAACAUACUUCCGGCGAAACAUACAUGAUUUGGUGGUAAGAAAAUCAAUUAAACCUACAAUUCAGUCAAUGAUUUUCACACCUUAAGAAAACAUGGUUACAAGGUCGAUUGAAAUGGCUACAAAAUCGAUUUAUCCUACAAUACAUACCAUGUAUCCGUCCAUGUAUGAGUCAGUGCCCGAAAAACAUGAAAUUAAACAUCCUAUAAAUUCCCCACAAAACCCCACCUUUCGCUCGUGUAAAAAUCAUAAACCUAACCCAUGGAGGGAAGGAGAAAAGACCAUAGAUCAUUCACAGUUGAAGAGGAUGGUGCACCUAUUCCUUUGCCACCGGCGUGGUCGUCGUAGGUCGCCGCCAUCAUCCGAUCACCGUCGCCAUUGCCGACGCGGGAGAAGGUGGUGCGUUGGGAGAGAAGGGUAAUAGGAAGGUACCCACAACGCCUCGGUGACUCAGCGAUCCGAUCUUUUCCAGUUUGGAUACGGCAAAAGGGCGAAAACGAUCGGGAUUAGAGAUUUGAGGGUGUGAACUUUAAGGAUUUGGAAGUUGGCGUUUAAAACCGAUGACUCGUAUGAGUCCAUGGUUUAAAAUAGACUUUACUCAAGAUUGAUCAGUAGCUGAAGAAAUUUCAGGUAGCCUUCAACGGCGAAUCUGGAGACGUAGUAAAAAUAUAUAAAUCUUAGGUGCUUUAGUUCCUUUAUAUAUAUUUACUAUAUAUAUAUAUAUAUCCGUCAAAAUAGGUGCUUUAGUUCCUUAAUUGUUACAUCUCAAUUAUUACAAACCCUUAGACAAAAUGCCAAAAAAUUAAAACAACAAUCGUAAAUACAGAUGUGAUCCGUUUUGCCAAUAAUAUAGAUACAGACGUGAUUGAUGCAAACACAUGACACCAUUCGAUCGAUACCCCUUAUUGUUGAGUUUAAGGAGACCUUGCAAUCAAGUUGAUGAUCUCCAAGUCCGUCUGUGGAAUGGAAUAGAGAUUACUUAGAGCAGAGGGUGUGGAUGAUCUCCAUCUUCCCAAGGAUCACGGAGGCCUGAUCCUGCACGACCUUCCAUCCAUGGGCAACGUGGUGUUGCUCCGUGAGGGUGCUCCCCACCGCACACCUUAGCAUGAACAUGCCACCUACNNNNNNNNNNNNNNNNNNNNNNNNNNNNNNNNNNNNNNNNNNNNNNNNNNNNNNNNNNNNNNNNNNNNNNNNNNNNNNNNNNNNNNNNNNNNNNNNNNNNNNNNNNNNNNNNNNNNNNNNNNNNNNNNNNNNNNNNNNNNNNNNNNNNNNNNNNNNNNNNNNNNNNNNNNNNNNNNNNNNNNNNNNNNNNNNNNNNNNNNNNNNNNNNNNNNNNNNNNNNNNNNNNNNNNNNNNNNNNNNNNNNNNNNNNNNNNNNNNNNNNNNNNNNNNNNNNNNNNNNNNNNNNNNNNNNNNNNNNNNNNNNNNNNNNNNNNNNNNNNNNNNNNNNNNNNNNNNNNNNNNNNNNNNNNNCCGCCAAACUUGUCCACCGGCCGAAUCCUGAAGCACACGAGCGCGAACGUCCUUUCCGUCACCACCUCGAACCUCUCGUCGGCCCUCACCAUGUCCUCGAACUCCACGGCCAUGCGUACGUGGGAGCGGAUGUGGUCGCGAAGGCCAUGGACGCCGUAGCAGCGGAGCACGAGCCACAUCUUGAGGGCGCGGAACCGGCGGGUGAGCGUCAUGUUCCAGUCCUUGUAGUCCACCACGUCGUGCCCCUCCGACGCGGCGUCCUUGAGGAUGUACUCCUGCUCCGUCCCGAGCGCCGCCACCAGCGCGCUCGGCUUCUUCACCCACAUGACGCAGCAGUCGUUGUUGGCCAGAAGCCACUUGUGGGCGUUCAUGCUGAACGAGUCCACGGCCUCCACGCCGU
rnacentral:lncRNA from 1 species